CUAACUAUUGGCUAUGGGCCGCUCCUGCUGCUUUGUUAGUUGUGUUGUUUCUCGCACUUGGUUACUACUAUCUUCUUUGAGGAAGGUAAGCUGGAACAUCCCGAGGUAGAGAAGAGUGGAGAACUACAAUUUUCUGCUUGAUAAGCGUGCGAUAAUGACUAGGUCCUAUCUGUUUAGUUAAACUAAGUUAUUUCUGUUCUUUACAUCCUUUUUCGGGGUGGACUCAAAACUCAUAAUGUUGGUGGUAGACAAAACUAUCUUUCAAUGGAGAAGAAGAAACAUACAUUUACUUUUCUUUGUCAUUUCAAAUUUCGAACUUUGUCCCCUUUUGAUAUGGAUGUUAUCUUAUUAGAAUAGAGAAUAUCUUGGUUCUGUUAAAUUUCCAGCAAUCCGAUUCCUGAGUUUGAAUGUCAUCUGUAAUCCUUUGGGACCGUUGGAUAACCAUUUCGUUUAGCAGAGUGAUUGAUUUUUACACUCCCUGUUUUACCUCUUGCGUUCCUCUGUUUUGAACCCUAAUGGAAAAUCAUUUUUUGUUUAAUAACCGUUGCUGUUUUACCUCAUGUAUACUAUUGUUUUUCUCUGGCUGGUGGGGAAGUUUGGAAUGGAAGAAAUGAGUUGCUGUUAGAAAAGAAUUAACUGAAUUGAAUUUUUAUAAAAAUAAUCUAUGAACGGAGAAGAGGUCGCACUUGGUGCGAUGGCAAGUGUCUUCGCCCAUGAGCGGUAGGUCUCGGGUUCGAGACUUGGAAGCAGCCUCUCCAUAAAUGGGGGUAAGGCUAGCCGACAUUCACCUCUCCCAGACCCUGCGUAAAGCGGGAGCCUUGUGCACUGGGUACGACCAAUCUAUGAACGGAGACUUGUAAAAUACACAAUUCUGAUUGUUGAAGUUUGAUAUGAAGAGUCUCACAACUAAUCCCUAUUAAGAAAAAAAUAAAAUUCUCUUUGCUUGAAGAAUCUAUACAUAUACAGAUAUAUUAGAUAUCCAGACCUACAAGCAAUAUCUAAGUUGUAAAAUGGUUCAUAGCUUCCCCUUGUCUUCUUGUUCCUGGCAUUAUAUCUACCAGAAAUAUUCAUGCAUGCAACCAAGCAGGAUGGUCUCCUGGCCUUCGCCCUCAUUCUAUCUUCUCCUCCGUAAAUUAGAGUAGUUCUAUUUAUUGUUGUUGGAAUGGCAUCACUUAUAAUUAAGAGGGUUGGGUCACCUAAUUGGUCUUAAAAGUUGCCUUCUAGAGGUCAUUAAAUUUUUAUUUUUGAUAAAUGAUAUUAUCCACAAUAAAAGGAAGAUGGUGGGCAUAGUCUCAUAAUAGGCUAGCAAUAAUGUUGUUCAAAUAUGUCUUUGGCAAAAAUCGAACUUAAGACCUCUAAUUUAAAGUGAAUCAACCUUUGGUGAAAAAUGCAAUACCAAAUGGGCCUUUAAUAUUAGAUAUUGGUAUUCAUCUCUACUUAUAAGUAAGAGGUUUUAAGUUCACUUCUCACCAAAGGCGAAUUUGAACCAAAUAAUUCUGUUUGGUCCUUGGAUGGCUUGGAUGCUGCUCCUUUAAGGGUUGAAGUUGCCUUCAUACAUGUCCUUUGACUACUUGAUAGAAUGCCCAAAAGAGGAGUUGCCCUUCUUCUUUUUUAUUUAUUUUUUAAUUUUUAAAAAUUUUAAUUUUAAUAUUAUCUGGUCAAAACAAUGUUGUGGACAAUUAUAACUUGUAUUGUUAUUUGUCCUAUAAAUGAUGAAUGAUGGAACUAUAGUCUAAUUUUUAAGGUUCUUAUAUGUGUAAGAAAUGUUUGUGAAAUUUUACAUGAGGCCCUCCGUACAAUUCAUAGGUAAAAUAUGACAUUUUUACAAAAGGUUGAUGAAAUGUAGGGAAACAUGGCGUUAUAGUGGCAUUCGCCAUUUGCAAUGGAAAUUAGUCAAAGUGUUGUGUACUCUAAAAACAAGGUCUUUUUCAUUUUGCUUCCAGUAGUGGAACUGCGAAAAUGAGUCAUGUGAGCUACUUAGGUCUUCGCUUUUUGGUUUUUUUUUUUUUCAUACCAUGCAAAUUCUUUGGUUUCUCCCAAAAUAUAUAUAUAUAUAUUGUAAGCAAUAUCUAAAUUAAAAAAUGGCUCAUGAUUUCCUCCUCCUCUUCUUAUUUUCUUGCAUUAUAUCUACAACAAAUAUUUAUGCAUGCAACCAAACUGAACACAUCUCUCUCCUCUUCUUCUUUUGCAAUCUAUCUUCUUCUCUCGUAAAUUGGAAUAGUUUGAUGAUUUUUACCGUUGGAAUGGCAUCAUUUGUAAUCAAGAGGGUUGGGUCAUCCAUUUGCUCUUACCCUCCAAAGGGCUCAAAGGAGGUAUAUUUGUCUCGUCACUUCUAAAUCUCAAACGUCUCACCCACUUGAACUUUUCCCACAAUUCACUUUAUGGGGCACUUGAAACAAAAUUCUUCUUGUCCUUGAAUUGCCUUGAGAUUCUUGAUUUGAGUUAUAACAUUCUUUCUGGAGAGAUACCGUUUUCUUUACCACCCAAAAAUAUUCAGUAUAUAUAUUUGUCAAGCAAUCACUUUCAUGGUGCAAUUCCAUCUUCUUUCUUCCAACAAGCUUGGAAUUUGAUUAGUUUCAAUGUCAGCAACAACUCAUUCUCUGGGCAUAUACCAUCAUCUAUUUGUCUCUGACCGUCUCCUUCCAUAAGAGUAUUGGACCAAUGAAUUUAGUGGCAACAUUUUUCGUGGGCUCGGGGGGAGGGGGGGGGUGUUCCAAAUGGCAUAUUAUGUUGGGAAGCUCUUCAAGUUGAAAUUCAUGAAUCUUGAUUUCAACAGCUUACAAGGUAAUUUGCCCUCGUCUUUGAUGAAUUGCACAAACCUCGUAGAACUAUAUUUGAGAUUAAACUACUUGGAAUGAAAUCUCACCAAGCCUAAUUUCUCCAAACCCAACCACCUUAGUAAACUUGACCUAGGCGGGAAUCACUUCAUUGGUAUCUUGCCGAUAAGCCUUUACUUAUGCAGGUCCCUAAAUGCAAUUUGAUUGAGUAAUAGUCCUUUUCUAGAAGGGCAAAUACAUCCUGAGAUUCUUUCUUGAAAUCCUUGUCCUUCCUCUCACUUGCUUAUGUACGAUUGACCAAUAUCACAUGGGCAAUGAAGAUAUUAGUGCGUUGCAAAAGCCUUCACACACUCCUCCUUGACAGUUUUACUGCGAGGCAAUGCCAAUUGAUGAUGACAUGGUUGAUUUUCAUGGAUUCUAAAAUCUUUGUUUCUUGAGUUUGUCCAACAAUAGGCUCACUGGUCAAAUACUUGGAUGGUUAUCAAGCUUAAAGAAUCUAAAGAAGUUGCAUUUGGGUGAUAAUCAAAUCACAGGGUCAAUUCCAAGUUGGUUAGAUACUCUUCCAACACUCUUUUUUGUGAGGUUAUCAUUCAACCAAAUUUCAUGUGAAUUUCCAAAACAACUUUGUAGAUUGCUAAUGUUAAUGGGGAAUGAAUCUUGAGUAGACGAUUAUAAAUUUGAACUUCCCUCUUCAGCGGCCCAAUAAAAAAUAAAAAACUUUUCUCUCAUACAUUGUCUAACAUUCCUGGAGCAAUAAUUCUAGCCUUCAAUAAUAUUAGUGGUAGUAUACCUACUGAGAUCGGCCAAUUGCAGCUUCUUCGUAAGUUGCAUCUUGACGGUAAUAACUUCUCGGGCGACAUUCCCAACCUAAAAUAUUUAGAGGUUUUGGGCCUCUCCAGGAAUCAUUUGUUUGGAAAAAUUUCCUGGUCAAUGACGAGCCUUAAUUUCUUGAAAGAUUUUAAUGUCUUGUACAAUAAUCUUCAAGGAAAAAUACCGACGGGCACGCAACUCCAGAGCUUCAACACUUCUGGAUUUGAGGGGAACCCUAAACUUUGUGAUGCUCUACUUCCAAAUGAGUGCAAAAAUUGAUACAGAUAAUAAGAACAACGUCGACCAAUAUGCAGACAAUGAACACAAUGAGCUUCCUUGGUUCUAUAUUUUUGCAGCCCUAGGUUUCAUUGUCGGAUUUUGGGGAGUUUGUGGUUCUUUAUUUCUAAGAAGACAUUAAGGUACACUUAUUUUCGGUUCCUUGAUAUGGUACAAGAUUCUCUCUAUGUAAAUUGCAAUGUGCAUGGCCAGGAUGAAAGAAGGCUUAGGGACUAGAUUCUAUUUUUUAUUAGAUAAUUUUUAUUUUCAAUAAAAUUAUUUGGAUACACAAAAUUAACACACUUGGCGAGACAUUCUCUAAUAGAAGUAAGUCUUACAACUGUAUGUGGACCUCACCUAUAUUAAAGAGUGUCAACAGAUGUGUUGAUUUUGUGUAUCCGAAUAGUAUGACUCUUUCAGUUUUUAUUCUUUCUUUUUUUCAUCACGAUGUAAGGAUUGUUCCAAUAUAUAAUAGUACAAUAAACUCUUUGGAUACAAAAUUAACAUACUUGUUGACACACUUUCUAUUACAUAUAAGCUCUACCAUUGUACAUGGGUCUCACCUAUAAUGAAGAGUGUAAAAAAUGAUCAGUUUUGUGUGUCCAAAUAAUAUCCAAUAUAGUUGUAUAUUGUUCAAGUUUUGCCAUGGUGUAAGUUGGAUAUGAAAGCUGAUUAGUAAAUUUUUUUAUAGCAUCUAUGUGAGUAGAAACUUAUUAUAUAUUCGCAAUCAUUGUAUCUGAUUUCAAUCAUGUCUUUAAAACUUCCACUCGGCCUGUGCAAGUACAGUACAAGACUUAGAAAGUUGGAUAAAUUGAAUGUGUGAUGGGUUAAUCAUUUUUUCAUGUAUUAAAUGUAUUAAACUAGACUUAGUCACAGUGUCAAGAGUUACUUAACUUUGGCCUGUCUUUAAAACAAAAUCUUGAAUGUGAAAAUAACUUAAAACAGUUUACGUUUCAAUUUCAAGUGUUCUUUAUGUGCACCUAUCUCUAUACAUUUCUCUCAUGUAUUUCCCCUCGAUUUCUAGACAUCAAUAAAAACGAAAUAUUAUCAAACAAAUUUUUUAUUUUUUACUUUUGUUUUAUUUUUGUAUCUGAUGAUAUGCUGUUUAUUGUGUGGAUUACUCUUUCUUGAUUCAUAUUCAGGAAAGCGUGUUCUCGAGAUGGUACUUCGCAACUUGUAUUACCUUCCUUAAGAGAGAAUUAUGAAGUUCAGAUGAAUGUAAGCUCACACUAUAUACAUUUUUGCAUUGUUAAUUACUUGAAGAUGAAGAGAUGUGUCUUUGGAGGCUUAAAUACAUAGAGCCACAUACACUACUACAAUAUAGGCUAUCACCGGCGAAGCAAAAAUCGACAAGAAACCCAAUUUCUGUUGGAAAUUUGGCAAAAAUCCCACAUAAAACAAUGUAAUGUCGCAUUUCAAUAGCGACACUAAUGCUUGCGUCACAAAAGGCCUUCAGUGUCGGUUUGUUCGCUUAAUCCGCCACUAUACAGCGUCGUUUAAAAGCGACAUUGACCUUAGCGUCAGUUUAAAGUGACAUACAUUUGAACAUUAAUUAUAAUAUAUCCACCCUACUGUCGCUUCUAACCGACAUUCCCAUAAAAUUAAAUAAAUAAAAUAUACCUAAACCGACGUUAUAUAACAAUUAAAUAAAUAAAAUAUUCAAAUUUAGCAAUUUAAUUAUAAUAUAUAUCCACCCUACUGUCGGUUCUAACCGACAUUGUGAUACAAUUAAAUAAAUAAAAUAUACUAAACCGACGUUAGAUAACAAUUAAAUAAAUAAAAUAUUCAAACUUAGCAAUUUAAUUAUAAUAUAUAUCAACCAUACUAUCGGUUCUGACCGACAUUGUAAUAAAAUUAAAUAAAUAAAAUAUUCCUAAACCGACGUAAGAAAACCAUUACAUAAAUAAAAUAUUCAAAAUAGUAACGGUCUUAACUGACACUACCAUUGUUAAUAUUAAUAAAAAAACGUAAAUCUGCAUCAUUUUCAAUUAAUUGGUACUAAAAAAAAUUGUAUAACCAAAUUAAUAAAUUUCAAGUUUUGGCCAAAACAAACGUUAAUAAAAAAAAUUAACAAGACAUAUAGUGCCAAAAUAUACAAAUAUUAUACAUCAAACAUUCCACAUAAUAUACAAAAACUCAUCCGUCACAACAAACACUAAAUCCGACAUUACAAACAUAACAUACAAAAACAAAAAUAUAGAACAAAUGUGUCAUAUUUAUCCACCAAGAAAGUGAACCAAAUAAACUACUCAACCGAACUUGAGCUUGAAUGUGGCCCAGAUCCUUCUCCUCCUUGAGAUCCUCCUUCUCCUCCUUGAGAUCCUCCAUCUGCUCCUAAAUACCUUGUCAAGUCCACAUCAAAUCCACCACCAGCAAGCAUUCCAGAAAACCCCCCCCAACUGGAACUUCAGGACAAAAUCCAGCAGGAGCUACCAUCUCAGGUCGAUAUACUGGCAUUUGAUAAUGCGGCGGCUGCUGCAUGUAUGACAUGGGAGGAUGCUACAUAUAUGGCAUGGGCGGCUGCUGCAUGUAUGACAUGGGCUGCGUAGGCAUCAGAUACAUAGGAUAUGAAGGUUGCUGAUUAUGGCCAGCAUACGGAUAUGCAGGGGGAGGCUGACUAUGUCCCGACUGUUGAGGAGGCUGACUAUGGCCCGACUGUUGAGGAGGCUGACCUGGCUUGACUGUUGGGUUCCCGGGCUAUACGGUGGUUGAGGCUGAAUUUUUGGAGAAACAUAGCAAGCAAUUGAUUACUAUGUUCAAACUUGCCCUCUAGGUCCGAAAGCCGUUUAUUAGUAUUUUCUUCCCUCAUUCUCAACACAUUAUUUUCAGUCAUCAGCACUGCCAUUGCACUAUUAGAUGACCUCCUGGAGGAAUUUGAUGUAGAAGAUGAAGAAGAUGCAUAUGACACCAUAUCAGGAGUCACCCCAUGACCAUUACCUCUGACUCUAUUAUGACUCUCAGGACCCAUUGUAUCAACAUAAACACGGGUCCUAAGUUCUUCAUUAUCCUCUUGGCCCGACUCAAUCAAAUUUUGCAAAUUGCCCUCCAUUGUUGCCUUGCAUAACAAUUUUCAAAAAAAAAAAAAAAAAAAAAAAAUCAAACAAUCGUAAAACAGAAAAUAAGUUAUAGAUAUUAAAAAUUAGUAACAACAAAAGACAAACACGAAAAAAUCAAUUACCGCUGUACGCUCCGAUGUUUCAUCAAUCCAACUUUUAUCCUUUCGUGUAUGACAUUCACUGAAAAAGGUUACUGGAUCUACCUCUUUCCCAUGCUGGUUCCGCUUUAUGAAAAAUAAAGUUUCAUACAAACAAUUUUAAGCACACCUCAUACUAAAAAUAAAAUUUAUAACUAUGUAUUAUUUAAAAUUAAUAACAUUUCUUUAAAGUGAACAAUCCUUACAAAUUCUUGCCGUUUUCUUGCAAAAGAUUUUGUCCCAGUAGUAUGGUUCAUUGUUUUCUUUUUCCGAUUAAUCUUAUUUUUUUCAGCAACCUCCCGACAAAAAAUGGGAAUUUUUAGGCAAAUUUAAAGUUAAAACGAAAUAAAUCAUAUAACAAUUACCCUAGUUUUUUCCUUAUUCCAGUAUGCCACCAAUGUAGCCCACUAUGCAGGAUUCACUUCAGGAGGAGGGUGGCUGCGCUCCUCUUCUGCUCUUUUAGAAUAAUGCUCUUUUUUUAACUUAUUUCUAUAUUCUUUAUGUGCAUGCUCAGCAACCUUAAGCGUCAUAUGGUGAAUUAUAGGCAUUUUCACAAUAUUAGCAUCUUCAAAAAAAAUAUUUCCCUGCAUCCAUAAAAAAAUAAUCAAGCCAAUCAAUUAUUUUUACAUUUAUCGACCUUUUCUUCUAUUUUCAUGGAAAAAAAAAAUUAUAUAUAUACCUUUAUUCUAUUCCACAAAACUUCCUUAUCUUCUUCCUUAAUCUUACGCAAAUCCCUCUCCAACGGGAAAUUUCUGUUGUCUCGUACCUCCGCUGCUACAAGUCUUGAAAAUGCACUAGAAUUAUCACUAAUGCAUUUUCCGGAUGAAUCAAACGAACAAAGCGGUUUCGUCCAUUUAGGAAUUGAGGGUCCCCGCCUCCGUUGAGAUGUUCCUUAUUAUAACAAAAAAAAAAAAAAAACAAUUAAAAACCAAGAAACAAAUGUAAAUUUUCAGUUUAAACAUAAUACUAGUUUAAACACAAAACAAAAACUGAAAUUAGUAAUAAUUCAAAAACGAACCAGCCUCGAACUCCUCUUCCAAAUGAAGUUCCUCAGAACGUUGUUCUUGACAAGAAUUAUCCAUAGCAAAAGUUAGUGGGAAGAAUAUGGAUGAAAUGAGGGAAAGAGAAAGGCUGAAAUGGGAGAAGGGAGGAAGUAAACGAGAGAGAGAAAUGAAAGAGAGAAAUGGAAGCACGGAAGUAAUGGGAAAGAAGGGGCUCAAAUAUGGAUACAAUUUCAACGUCGAAAUAUGAAGAUAUUAUGUCGGUCCAAACCGACACUACCACUGACAAACUGAGACUUUUGGAUUUUGCGUCGAAAUAUUAGAACCUUGCGUCGGUUAAAAUCGACACUAUCCCUGACAUGAACUAGCUACACCUAGCUUGACAUAGUUUUACUCAAAAGCCUGACUGACUUUUGACUAGGGUGAUAUUGCGUUUAAACCUUGCGUCGAAAUAGGGUGAUAUUGCGUCGGUUUAAACCGACGUCACUUUGACAGAUUGACUAUCGUAUCAGUGACCUCGAAAUUGCAAAGGUUGCGUCGGAAUAAGAAAGCUUUGCGUCAGAUUAGUAAGGUGUUGCGUUGGUUCAAACCGACGCAAACUUUGACAUGAUUGAAACAACUUUUCCACACCAUUUCCCCGUGCAAAAAAAACCGGGAAAAUUCCCGCCCACAAUAUUUAAACUAAACCGACGCAGAUGACAUAUGCCGUCGGCUAAAAGCGACAGGAAGCAAGAAAAAAAAAAACGUUUAACCCAUCGUUAAAAAAUAAGUUGUUAUGUUAUCUCAUAUAAUAUUUUAACAAAUAAAAUUUAACUUAUAAAUAAUACUUAAUAAAAAAUAGAAAUAUAAUUUUACGAUAAACAUGGUCUAAUUAAAACAAAAAAUAAUUGAUAUACUUAUUCCCUGUCAUCAUCUGUUAGCUCGUCGUCGGCAUUGACUUGAUUAAAGAGCUCGGUAUGCAACGGUAAUGAUUCAAGAAAAGGAGUCUCUUCCAUGCCAACCCUUGUAUGGAAAUUUUCAUUAUCAAGAAUUCGAUCAUCCAAGUUAGGUAUGGCAUAAUCAUCAAUUGCAUCACUAUCCUCCAAUACGUCAAACAAAUCCCUUGGCUGGGUUCGAACAACUACGUGCCAAUCUUUUUCAAUUGUGUCCUCCACGUAAAAUGCUUGUAAUGCUUGUGAUGCUAAUAUGAAAGGAUCCUCUUUAAAUCCCAAUUGAUUGAAAUUCACCAUAGUAAAUCCAUAUUGAUCGGUUUUCAUUCCUCGUGGACUUUCAUUAUUAACCCAUUCGCACUUAAAUAACAUCACAGCUCGACCCCUAUCUCCUGCCUCAGUAGAACCCCAAUAUUUAACUUCGAACAUCUCUACAACUCUGCCAUAACAAUUCACUUGCCCAAGUGCUCCAGGAACAUUUGCAGGUACAACGACACCACAAUUUUGAUUCUUAUGCUUAUCAUCCACAUAUUUUAUACGAAAUCUAAAACCAUGACUAAUGUGACUUUUAUAUCUACUCACAACCCUACUUGGAUAAUUAGCUAGCCAAUGCAAGUCUUGAGAUAUCAACGUGUCAUUAGCAUGACAUCUUGAAUUCAUCUGUAAUAAGUAUGAAGAUAAAAAUUGACAUAAUAACUAUAAACACGUUAUAAUUAAAAUGCAAAACAAUAAAUAAAUAAUGUGAUUGUUAUAUCAACUCACAUGUUGCUUGAACCAUUCUGGAAAUUCUUUCUUGCUUAGCUCCUUAAUUUGUCGCAUAGUUAACCUUUCUCGACGAUGUUUAGUUUUCAAGAAUUCCUCAUGUUGCCUAGACAAAUAUGUCCAAAUUUAGAUAAUUAAUUUUUCAAAGUUAAGAAAACCAAUAAAACAUUAAGAUGUAUGAUUAAACGUUCUUACCUUCGAAAUGGGCUAACUUCAUCACAAUUAUUUAGAAUGUAUUUAUGGCACUGAUCAAGAACAUUUAGAUCGAGCUCCACAUUUUCUCCUGAACCCAUAUAACAUCCUUUCGAGUCAAAAAUUGAUAACCCACCAGAUACUCCACGUCUAAUACCAUCUUCAUUUCGGCCUCUACGAGUACGAUGAGACUCAACGUCUCUAAGAUACAUGGAACAGAAGGACAAGCACUCAUCCACCAAAUAUGCUUCAGCAAUAGAACCUUCAGGACGACCCUUAUUACGAACAUAGCGCUUCAGUGUUUGCAAAUACCUAUAAUUAUAAAACGAAAUACAAAUCAUUAUAAUUAUUAAUUAAAGUUACUAUAAUUGUAAAAAUUUAUAAAAAUUUAUUCAUUACCGUUCAAUUGGAUACAUCCAUCUAUAUUGAACAGACCCUGCAAGAGUUGCUUCAUCUGCCAAGUGAACUGGGAGGUGCACCAUUAUAUCAAAAAAUGCAGAAGAGAAUAUUUUUUCAAGUUGACAUAAUGUCAAGGCAAUUCUUGAAUUCAGUUGCUUGAAUCCUUCUUCAGACUCCUUCUUACUACACAAUUGUCUGAAAAUUGCACUCAACUCUAAUAAUACCAUAGUAACAGCUUUUGGCAAAACCGGGCGUACUGCAAGCGGGAGUAACUGUUGCAUUAAAACAUGGCAAUCGUGACUUUUCAACCCAUGUAUUUUUCGUUCAUUCACGUGUACACAUUGUGACAAAUUUGAUAAAUAUCCAUCGGGGACCCGAAUAGUAGACAACACUUUGCAAAACGUAGUUUUUUCUUCUCUGUUCAACGUGAACAAUGUUGGAGGUCGAAAUGUUCUGUUUCCUUCUCUACGUGGGUGUUGACUACGUCUUAUGUUCAAGAAUUCAAGAUCUGCAUGUGCAGCCAAUCCAUCUUUAGACUUUUCUAUAUCUAGCAAUGUUCCCACCACACUGUCACAUAUAUUCUUCUCGAUAUGCAUAACAUCAAGAUUAUGUUUAAUCAACAGAUGCCUCCAAUAAGGUAGUUCAUAAAAAAUAUAUUUCUUCUUCCACUGACUGUUACUACUUAUACUGCUCGAAGUUCUUCUUCUGCGUUGCCCAACUGAAGCAUCUUUGUUUGGUUUUCCAAAAGUAAAUCUCAAUGUAGAAAGUUCUUCGACACAUUGUAAACCAGUCCAUUUCCUUGGUGCACUACGAUGCUUUUGGCAACCAUUAAAAGCUAUGGUUUGCCUUCGAAACCUAUGAUUAUCUUCAAGAAAGCAUCGAUGCCCCAUAAAACAAAUCUUACGACUCGCCGGCAAGUAAAUAGAUUCUUUAUCAUGCAUGCAAUGUGGACAUGCUUUAUAGCCAUGUGUAUCACAUCCUGACAACAUUCCAUAAGCCGGAAAAUCACUUAUAGUCCAUAAGACAGCAACCUUCAUUGUAAAACUUUGGUUGGAAUACGCAUUAUAAGUAGGAGUGCCCACCUCCCACAACUCAUUCAACUCGUCAAUCAAUGGACGCAUGUAUACAUCAAUCUCUUUACCAGGACUGCGUGGUCCUGGUAUUAACAGAGACAACAACAAAUUUGGCUGCUUCAUACACAUCCAAGGCGGCAAAUUGUAAACAGAAAGCACCACAGGCCAUGUGCUAUGGUCAUUCCUCAUUUUCCCAAAAUGAUUAAAUCCAACACUGGCUAACCCCAGUCAGACAUUUCGAAUUUCUGACGCAAAAUCCAGAUAUAUAUUAUCCAAAUGCUUCCAUGCUGGAGAAUCUGAAGGAUGUCUCAUAAACUCAUCCUUAGGACAUUUAGUUGCGUGCCACCUCAUAUGUUCAGCCAUAUGAUUCGACAUAAAAAAUUGUUGCAAUCGUGGUUUUAAAGGAAAAUACCAUAUAACCUUAGCUGCGAUCUUUUUUCUUGAGCUAUCAUCUGCGUUGGUAAUUUUAUAUCUUGAUUUACCACAAACCGAGCACACGGUCAAAUUCGAAGUAUCUUUCCAAUAGAUCAUGCAAUCAUUGGGACAUGCAUCAGUUUUCACAUAUGACAGACCCAAGUCAUUUAUAAGUUUUUUUGCCUUAUAACAAGUUUCAGGCAAACAAUCCCUUUCAGGCAACAUUCUUUUAAUUAACUUCAGUAAAGUGGUGAAGAUCUCAUCUGGCAUUCCCGCUAAACACUUAAUCUGAUACAGUCUUACAACUGCUUCCAAUUUCUUAAACUCCUUACAACCUGACCACAAAUCUUGAUCUGCCUCUUCAAGCAACCUAAAAAAAGUCUCCACCUCUUCUGGACGCCCUUCCCUAAUAGGGGGUUCAGUAGACGGCCCAACACCUUAUUCUGUUAAUGGUUGGACAAAUACAUCAUUAAGAAAAUCAUGCAUGCCAAUCACCUCAUCUCUUGUUUCUUCUUCUCCAAUUGCCAUAUUUUGCUCGCCAUGAUGUCGCCACCAAGUGUUUUUAUAAUCUUUAUCCAUAUCAUACAAUAUGAGAUGUUCAACAAUAGUGUUCCUAACAAAAGUAUAUCGAUUACAACAUCUUUUGCAAGGACAUCUAAACUUAUCAGGUCCAACACCAUUUGCAACUGCUUGAUCCAAAAACAAAUUAAUUCCAGCUGUAUACGCUUCAAAAUUUCGAGGUAUCGUCAACCAACUCUUGUCCAUGCUUUACCACUUUACGAGGGUGAAAUAGUACGUUCACACUAAGAUGCCUACAAUCUUUCAAUCCCUAUCAUGUAGGCAUAACUAUUAGAAUUUUCAAUUUCUAUCUUUCAACCCUCGAACUCUAUCACAAUUGCAAUCUUUUAAUUUUCAACACCUAUUAUAGUAAAAACAAAUUAAAAUAACAACAAAAAUUUAUCAAAAUUAUGCUCAUCACAAGAUUUUCAUUCACUCACAAACUUAGUACAAGAGGAAACACUCAAACACUCUCACACUCUCACACUUCUUGCUCUCUUACUUGCUCUCACUUCUUGCUACUUACAUAGCAACACAGUCUCUAUUUAUAGCCUUGAUUAACCGACUCACCAAGUCGGCGGAAUUAGACUAAAUUCCUUCUAGCCACAAGUUUUGUGGUUCUAGAUAUUUCUACUUGCAAGCCUACUUAAAUAUUGCAAGAACUCUCUAGAUUUUUUUAGUAUGCAUGCCUAAUGCAUCGACAACCUUUUGCUAGAAUUUUCUAGCACAUUUCAUGAGUUUUCUAUGGGCUGGAUCAUCUUCUUGGGCCAAGAACAAGAUUACAUUUCAACAUCCCCCCUUAAUCUUGUCUUGUGACGCCAAUUGUGUUCCUCAAUCUGAUAAAGUCUUCUUGCCUGAGUGGUUUGGUGAAUAUGUCGGCGACUUGGUCUUGAGACUUCACAUAUUCCACUUGCACAUCCUUUCUUGCAAUACACUCUCUUAUGUAAUGAUAGCGGGUAUCUAUGUGUUUACUCCUGUCAUGGAAUAUUGGAUUCUUUGCUAGAGCUAUUGCAAACUUGUUGUCGACAUAGAUCUCUGUUGGGUCUUCUUGUGGCAUGCUUAAUUCUUUCAACAAGUUUCUUAGCCAGAUUGCAUGACAAACACAUGAGGUAGCAGCUACGUAUUCAGCUUCGCAAGUAGAGAGAGUGACAAUCGGUUGCUUCUUUGACAUCCAUGUGAAUGCAGUGUCUCCCAUGAAGAACACAAAUCCAGUAGUGCUUUUUCUGUCGUCAGAAUCUCCUGCCUUUGUGUUUAACUUUGUGAGGGAAGAGAGAAAAUCAAACACGGGAGCUUGACGCGUGCAUGGAAACAUUCUUAAUCACUUGAACUACAUGACCGUUCUUCAUACAUAACUUUUUAAUUACCUGAACUAUAUUAUCAUUUAUGCCUGAUGAUGUUUCUUUAUAUAUAAUGUGUUGCCAUUUCGUUUCACAAUCCCACUAACAUUAAAUUGCUUUCGCAUUGGGCGUACGUACGUAUGUAAUAAUCUUCGGAGAUCCAGUCACUACUCACUAGUCGCUGUACCCAUCUUAUUCUUAUCUAGCGAGUGGUAGCGAUUAUCAAGACAUACGGGGUGACGUUUUUUUAACCUUGCAAGCAAAAGCAUCUAUAUGAAUAAGAGUUUGAAAUACAUGAACAACUUCCAUUUUUGGAAGAGAAGUAAAGCAUAUAUGAAGUAGAGAGACCAUUUUUGGAAGACAACUAACCACUCUUGAAGUUGAUGUGUGGAAUUUUUUUUUUAUAGAAAGGUAUAGAGAAAAAAAAGGAGAAAAAUAUAUGAUCGGGAGGCGACCGCAGUGCGGUUGAUCAAUGAUCACUCUCAUACCGAUGGGGUCAAGUGCAUUGUGUGCCACUCCGAUGAACCGUGGCCACAAUGCAACUGUCGUAUUCAAGUCCUUCUUCUUUAGCCACAAUUUUUUGUUUUUCAAAGACUUGAUUUAGAUCCGAAAAUGCAACAUAUAGUCCACAAUUUUUUUCUUUCUUAUAAAACUGAAAAAUAAUCUCUCCACAAGCACUCAGACACACUACGUAUAUGACUUAGAGUUUUUAAUCAUGUGCUCUAGGCGUGACUUUCAAAAUUUUAUUUUAUUUAGACAUUUUUAUUUUAUUGGUAUACUAGCGUUGUGCACAGCAAAAAACACCUUGACACACAUUUUGACACCCGUUUUGUAGCACCCACUUCGUAAUGUAUAUCAACAAUCCAAACAUCCUAAAUGGAUCAUCCUUAAAAAAAUUAGACAAAUCUGAAAUCAUUAAGGCAUUCAUCUGUAGUGAAGAAAUGAACAAAUACGAUUCUACAAACAAAGACUAAGUUUAACCUAACGGUCAUAUGGUUUUGGAUUGGGGUUUUGGUAGACAUGAUCUUUGAGGGAAGACCUAAAAGAUAAAUGGUUCAGAUAGUUGAAAUACAUUACGGAGUGAGUUCUACAAGAAAGUGUGUCAAAUUGUGUGUCCCCAAAACUUGGCCCUAUAUAUAUAAAGCAUCUUACAAAUAAAAUGUGGAAAUAGAAUAGAAAAUUUUAAGUCGUGCAUGGUGCAGUAUCUUACUUUGCUUCUGGUUUUCCUUUUCCUCCUUGGUUGCUCUAGACUCAUUGAAGAAACUGUAUUUCUUGGUUGCAACACAUGGUUUUUCGUUAUACUCAUACAUUUUGAGUGGGGAAUGUAGUUGCUCACAAAUUAUCCAAUUUUGAGCUUCUCUCAUCUUCUCUUGUUUGGCAUGUUGAUCCUCCUCUUGAGAUUCUUCCUUUUCUGCAAUUAGAUUUCAUAGGCGGGACCUACAAUUUUAUUUGUUCUUCUUGAUGUGUCAUUUUAUUUUUUACCUAAUCCUUUUGGAUAAUCUUUUUUGUUUUGCAGCUUUUCUUGCAUGUUCUUACCUUUUAGGUUUUAUUUUGGAGGGGUUUGGUCCUAUGUCCCCCCCCUCCUUCUCUUUUCCUUGUAUUUUCUUUUUGGAGAGGGGCAAGGUUUAUGUUCCCCCCUCCCCUCUUUUUCUUGUAUUUUUUUUUCAAGAAGGGUAAGGUUUAUGUCCCCCCCCCCUAUUUUCUUGUAUUUGGUCUUUCUUUAUAAGAGGUAAGGUUUAUGUCCCUUUUGAUUAGAUGUGACUUUUUUUUUUCAUAUCAAUAAACUUCUCUUAUACCGUCAAGGUUCUCAAAAAAAAAAAAAGAGCAUAGGAGUGCUAAGUGUAUGUUUCAACAAAAAAAACCGUGUACGGAUACUAACUAAUAAACCAAAAUCCUUCAUCUUCACUUGUAAGUUAGAGGUUUUAGGUUCGAUUCUCGCCAAAUGCGAAUUUGAACAAUAUUAUUGCUGCACAUUGUGAGGCUUAGCCCGCUCCCAACCCCUUAGGGCCUAUUUGUUUGGCUUCUCUAAGUCUCACUGGACUGGAUUGGAGUAUAGUCCAGUGUUUGUUUGGAACACAUACUACUUUUAAUGGUACUACGAGGGACUCGCCUCGACUAGCAACCUCCUUAGGUGGUCUUACCGAGACCCCCCCCCCCGAAAACAACAGGACUGCUAAGACCGAAUUUGUUCGUCAGCUUUGCUUGUCUUCUUCGUUCGUCUACUUCGCUCGCCAACUUUCCCAACGGGUCUCAAAUCGCUGGGCUCCAGCUCGGAGAUGAAUCUGGGUUGGCUGGAUCUGGGGCCUUGGAAGAUGACGGUGGUUUGUUGUUUGAUACAGGAUCUGCCGCCAUGGCUGUCCAGUAAUUACCAAACUGCCAUCUCUCUUGCUCGUCAGAUAUUUGUCGACUUCCUCACCCUACUGAUUAGUAAUCGAAUUGAAGGUGAGGUGGGUUUUUUACCCGACUUCCUCACUCGUCGGAUACUUACCGACUUCCUCACCCGACUUUCUGAGAAUGUGUGAAAAGAAUGGAAUUGCUGAUGAGAGAGAGAGAGAGAGAGAGAGAGAGAGAGAGAGAGAGAGAGAGAGAGAGAGAUUGAGAGGGAGAUGGACGGGAAAGUAGAGAGAUUUGGGGAAGGAGACAAGAGAAUUCUAGAAAAAAAAACAAAAUGAAAAUAAAAGAAAAAAAAAUAAAGUAUUAAAAAACAUAUAGAUUAAAUAGUAUAAUAUUAUAAUUUGAUAAUUUAUAAAAACAUAUUAAAAAAGAUAGGGAUUAAAUAAUAUAAUUUUAGAGUUUGUUAAUUAUUUUGCUUCUUAGUCUGACACUGCACAAAACGCUUCACUAAGUUAGUCCAGUUUAGUUUAGUCUAAGUCAGUCCAGCUUAGUCCCUGAAGUUAGUCCAGUUUGAGACAGUCCGGUGCAACAAACGCACCCUUAGUGAAUAUCAUUUGCUCAAAAAAAAAAAAAAAAAAACCAAAAUCCUUCCUAGGGUUGUUAAAACAAAUUAGGAAUUUAGGAUAAUAGGAUGUCAUUUUUUUCCUAUAUUUCAUUUUUUUUAAGGCUUUUGGCUGAGACGAUCUAAUUUCAGUCUCUGAUUGCUCAAAUGAUAAAUUUUUAAAUAUGUAGUUGAUAUCUCCUCGCUAUAUCGUUGACAUCUCAUCCAUAUGUUGUCGAUUUAAUUUUGUUCAAUUCAAAAAUUGAAAUUUGAUGUUAAAUCAUUUUAGCCAGCAUCCCUUAUUUUAAUAAAGAGUCUUAAUAAUUACUUUUAAAUUAAGGAUAUUACAGUAAUUCCAAUUUAAACUCACUCAAAUCUCUCAUAUCUUUUUUUCUUUUCUAAUGUCAUUAUGUCAUUGAUAUAUUCAACAUAUUCUCGAUUAAUUUGUGUGUACCUUUACUACUAAUUUUUUAAUCGAAGAUUUAUGUUGGUACAGAGAGGGCUGAACUAAGCCCAAUAGGGAAGACGCUCUCCCGAACAUUCGCAAUGCCUGGACACCAAUUGGUUUGAUCGAAUGUAACACCAAUUGGUUUUAUCAAAGUUGCGAGCACUUGUUACAUGUUAUAUAAUCUCCACCCUAUGGACUAAAUCUUCACGAGUCCCUGGCUUACUGAUGUCAUUUUUUUUCAUGACAUUGGUUAGGGUAUAAGGCGAAUGCAAACCCUAAGAUGUUAGAGAACUUUUAGGAAGGAGAAAUAGACAAUUUCAACACGUGCACCUACAUUUGCCCACCAUAACAAAGGUUAUGAUUGACUGUAUGAUUGGAGAUGUGUUUUUUUUUUAUGGUGUUACAUUAGUAGGCUCGCCAAAUAUGCCCCAGUCUGCUCAAGAGUUUGAAUAUCAGCAUCACCCUCUCCUCAAUUAUGUUCAAGCUUAACUCUUAAUAUGUCCUUAGCCUGACAUUUCUGAUGUCCAAUUUUACAUUGGUUCAAAUAGAGGAAAUUAACUCUAAGAAGGGGAAGUUUGCGAGCUCAUUAUUUAUCUGUAAGUUUCAAAACGGGGAACAACCUAAUAUAACUGCUCAUGGAUCUAAAAGAGUCUUGAGUUGGCAUUUUUUGUAGCCUAAAAGCCUGAGGUUCUCUUCAAAAGUUCAGGCAUACGCUGCAUCGAAGUUUGGCUCUAUUUUGUUCAUGUCUCGUGGUGUCGUUGAUGCGGUUUAUCCUGAUUAACCAAUAGCAUCAUUGGUGGUUCUGUGUGCAUAGUCCAUAUUGUCGUGAUCACUAUUUGUUUCUUUUGCCAUUUUUCUUUAGAGUUAGUGUUGCUUGUAUAUAUGCAAAAGAGUGUUCUCUUACUAGUUUUGUUGGAAAUUUUGUGUGCAGAGUCUCCCAUGAGGUGGAUUAUGAAAUGAUUGAAAUUUUAGUUGCCUGGAUUGAAGUUCUUUUGGCUUUGGAGUGCUGGAUGUGUUCUCAUGUUUUUCACACGCAAAAAUCCCCUGAUAUAGUGGCUAUUAGAUUGGCAAGUUGGCCUUGUUUUUUGUUUGAGGAUCCAUAGAUUUAACCCAGGACGUCCUAUUUGAAGUUGUCCUUUUUCUUAAAAUGCUAAUAAAACCACUAUCAUUAAUUUCGCCUAAAGAAAAUGAUGCAUUGACAACAUAGAUCAAAUCCCAAAAAAUAAUCAUUUCAGUAAUUUAUAUUUCAGCAAGUUUUCCAAACUCUCAAUCGCAUUUGGAAAGCAAAACAAACAACCUUUACAGGCUUUGAGCGAAAAUUAAGGAGGACUUGCUUUUGAAGAAAAUUGGAAAAGAAGCAGCUAUUUAAACAGAUUACAAACCUAGCUUAGCUACUAAAUUGCGAAGAACAUGAUAAUUAAAACAAGAUGAACACCCAAGCCACCUUAUUAAAAGUAGUUAUAUCGUUCAUUGUGACGUAUAAACGCAAUAAUGAAAUACAAAACUGGGGCUUCUACCUCCAGUGAUACAACACGUAUUUCCCUACAUUCACAAUGAGAGUUCGACUCAACCUAUCCACCACAUCAUAUUUAUUAUUAACAAUGAACAUAUAUUUCUAAGCAUACCCACAGUAUCCAUACUCACAUUUAACCCCAUACUUGCAUUUUUUACCACACUUGCCACAGUUGUUGGCAUCCGAAGUAGUAUUCAUGCAAGUUCCAUUGCAACAACGCAUUCCAAACUUGCAUUUAUUCCCACAUUUUCCACAAUUGUUCUUAUCGCUAAGAACAUUUCGGCAAUGUUUCUUGCAGCAAUAGAGAAUGCCGGUCCCUUUGUUUGCAGAAAUCCCAUUGCAAAUGUUCUUGAUUGGGUUACAUUGUGCACCUUUUUUGAUGAUGCUGGCCAAGAACCUGCUUCUUGAUCUGAAGUUGGGAUUCGGGGAGUCGAUUACGUACACUUCGUCAUUGUCUUCGAGCUCCGACGAUGAGAAGGCCAUUUGAAAAUGCAGAGCUAGGAGUGAAUGUAACAUGAGGAAGAAAAUGGUGGUGAGCUUGAGGAGGUUGGCCAUUGUCUCAAAAAAUAGGGGGUUCGUUGGCCACAAGAGUGUAAAGAAAGGGAGGAUGUGGAUAUUUAUACUGUAGGUUGUUUGUUUAAAUAUAAAAUUAAACAUUUAUAAAGUUGAGUUUUUAUUUUCUCUCUCUAUUUUAUUAAAAACUUAAAAGUUGAGUUUCAAGGAAAGUCUACUUUGCAAUUGAUAAACAAGGAGAAUAAACCAAUUAGGCGCAACUAAUGAGUUAAGAUUAAUUCAUUGAUUAGUGCAUUAUAUUCGGCUAAAGCACAUGAGAUCAAAGAAGUUGGCUUCCUAAUUCUCCGCCCUUGGAAGAGCCUUAGAUUCGUUGUCACAUUGGCAACCCUUCACAUUAGGUAUAGUCACCUAUACAUAUAAAAGAAGAAGAAAACAUUUGUGUGUGUGACUUUUGUACAUGUAUUAAGUUGUCAACUAAGACUUUUAUUUAUUUAAUAAUGGAUUUUCAGAAAAAUAAUUUUCAAAUUAAGUAACAAGAGUUGAAAUUAGAGCAUAUAUAAGAAUCACUUAAUAAACAAAUAAAUAUGUAUAACCAAUAGUCUUUGGUCUAGUGCUACUUGUGAUCUCCACCUUGUUUGAAUGAGGGUUGUGUGUAUUCAUGUAUGUGUGUGUGUGUGUAUCUGUGGUGAAUUUACUAAUAAGUUAAUUGUGAUUUGUCUUAUUGUAGUGUCGUAAUUUGUUUUGAGUUUAUUUUAUGUAAUAUUUGUGAAUAUUUCUAUAUCAUUUAUAAAAAAUAACAUAAGAAAAUAUUUGUAAAAGUUACUAAAAAUUAUCAUUUAUAAAAAAUAACAUAAUAAAAUAUUUGUAAGAGUUACUAAAAAAAAUCUUAUAUUCAUUGCAUUGUCUAACAUGAUGAUAACAUGUGUAUUGACAAAAGGAAGAUGUGUCACAUACAAUCACCAUACGAUCAACAUAUUUUUAUUUCUCAUCCACGAUCUUGAGAGUUCUUUUAGUAUUGCUAAAAUAAUUUGAUAUAUUUAUUACUUAAUAUUGAUAUUUUUCAAAAUAUGUAAAUGGAAGUCUUGUGUUAUUCAGGAUUAGUGAGAUUCGGCAGAUGGCUUGUCUUGGCGAGAUUUUAUGUCUUCGAUUUGAGUGGUUUAUGUAAUGUGUUCAAAACUUCUUAUUUUUCGAUAAAUGUAAAAACCAUGAGUUGUCUUGGAUUUUGAUCUAUUUACAAAUAUCUCUCUAUUUUCAAGUAAAAAAUGUUAGCUUUCAGGAAAUGUGUUGAUGUGUAAGGUUCUAAAAAACGCUGAGUGCUAGCAGAGGGUCAGGUUGGGGCUUAGUGGCUAGGUGGGGCAUAUAGGUAAACUUGUUAUAUAUCGUAUAAAUAAGUAUCUAUUAAUAUUUAAAAGAAAUACUUAAUUAUGUUGGGAUUUAUGAACUGCUAAGUAGAAUGACAUAUAGAUCAUAAAGAAUUAGAACAUAUUAAAAACAUGGGGAACAAACAUAUAAUGAGUGUUCAUCCAAAUAUUCAACAAGCCUCUAACAAUUUAAUGAAAAAUUAGAAUGCAAAAUGUAAGCUAUCUAUGUUUUGUUUAAGUGAGAAUUGUGAUAUAGGUGGGUGCCUAAACAUUUCUAGGCGCCAUUUCUUAAUUUUCAAACAUCUGGAAAUUAAUCGGAACGGUGAUCAUCUGGCUAGUGCCUAUACAGCAUUAAGCAAAGAUUUUUAAUUACAACACUAUGUGUACAUAUACAUUUUUUUAUUUCUAUAAAUGAUGAUUCAAUACCAAAUCAUUAUGCUAACUUAUUGUGUAAACUUAAUAUAAAGUUUUAUCAUUUACAAACAAAAUAGAAACCGUAAAACUUAAUAAGAGUGAUAUAUUUAAAAAGGAGUAAUACGAAAUUAAGUAUAAUCAUUGAAAAAUAAGUAAUAAGCAUUGCUCAUUGAGGAUCUUCUAUUUCGGCAGAAAGUGCGUUUAUGUCACAAGUAGGCCAUGUUACACCCACUAAGGUUGGUUGGUUGAUCCAAUGUUUUGUCAACGUAUAUAAACAAAUCAGGACUGCCAAAAUCGGAAGGGUUUGACAGCUCUCGUGCAUUCUUGCCCUCUGAUUUCUGACCAAAUCAAACAGAGAUUACGCGUGUUGACCCAAUUACUAGGUAAUUCUUCUUUUUAUUCUGGCCACCUACAUCUGACGCCUUAUGUGAAGUUUUGUCUAAUGAUGGCAACCUUUUCGUUUAAACUUUUUUCUUCUAUUUUUUUAUUAUUAUAUUUUGUAUAUUGCACGAUGAUUCAAAUUAUUAUUUAAAAAUUAACUCGAUCAAAAUUAUCUAGUUAUCUAACGAUUGUCUAGUAAAUAGAGAAAUCAUGUCGUUUUGUUAAACACUAAAAUUAUGACAACAUUAAUCGAACGGUUAAACAAUUGAUUGGUCUUUCACGAAGUUGAUAUUUAAAGCAUGAAUUAAAAAGUAGACGGUUUCUGAUUAUCGUGCAAGAUUGCAUAAUGUGGUGGAGAACCAAGAAGAUAGAGAUAGAAGGUACGACUUAGAAGGUCAGUAGCAACCCUUAUUCCUUUUUUUUUUUUUUAACCUUGUUAGAAAAACUAGAAACAUAAAAAGGCUAAAUGAGUAAUAUACAUUUAUUUUUAUUACAAACGAUAUUCUACACUAAAAUAACGGAGAAAGAUUUGAACUUAGGCCACAAUGAAUUGAAAAUAAAGAUCCCUAACUAUUAAGACAAUUCACUAUUUACCAUGCAUCAACAUUUAUUUUAAUUUGUCACAAGUUGUUUACAAAUUGAGGGGCUUUGGAUACUUGUCUCUCUAUGCGCCAAGGAGCAUUGCACUUUAGCACCUCACAACAAAUCUACAUAGGGCUUUGGAUACUUACCAUCACGUGCCAUGUGCAUUGAAGAGUUGGAGGUUUAGCUCCAGCGAACUGCUAGGUCUCCUCUGACGUGAAAUUUUAACUCCGCCAGGAUUUGUCUUUUAAGAAGUACAAUGCUAGCUCCAAUUGAAGUGAGGUAGCUUUUCAUGAAAUCCAAAUUGAAAGACAAAGUGCAAUAGUGCAUGUCGCGCCACUUCGAACCCAAAUUAUUGUCUAUUAGGGCUUUUAUUUAUACAUACUCUCAAACAAGGUGAAUGGAAAUAGGGACCAAGGUGAUCUCAGGACCAUAUGAGUGAGGAAAAUAUAUAGGUGAAGUCUUUCGAUGACUCUUCAAAUGUUUGAUACGGAUCUCUUUUGUGCCUACUAAAUGUUUGAUAUAAUGCAUGUUAGACAUAUCUCGACAUGUUGCGUCGACAACACUUGACAAAUUUUCUCUAUAUCACUUAUCUGAUUGCUUCGGCAUGUGCUGAUAUCUGUUGAUAUGUUUACAACAAGUCCACCAAGUGAAUAAACUGAUUUAUGUUUUUGUGUGCUUUGCGCUCUGUUUUUAUCUGAAAAACUUGAACUUAACACUAGGACCCCAAGGUUCAAACCCUAGAUCCACCACUGCUCUCAAAUCCUUCGUUUGAGUCGUUAGAAAUGUUACGUAGCACGCAAGUUACUCCAUCCAUACGUAGCUAAUUGAUCUGCCACCAUGUUUGCUUCACAAAUUAUAUACUUGAUGUCGACCACCUGCAGAUUAAUUACAGGUGUUUGAAUAUCCUAAAUCAACGAUAACAGACGCCAAUGAGGGAUUUUACGAUCUUGGAGAAACAUCAAAAUUUUCGGGCUUAAGAGCAGGAUGAAACUCAAAGGAAGAACAGAUCCAUCAAAAUUGAAACAAUCUAAAGUCUUUACUUAUCAUUAUGAGAAACGCUAAGGGGACUCUCUCAAAAUGAGACUCUGCAUGGACUAUCUGUCACCUCAUACUUUUGGCACAAUAUUUUACAAUGUUGGCACGAAAUAAACGUUAAACUGUGAGCUGGUAGAGAUCCAUGGAGAGUUUCGCUUUUUAGAGAGAGUCCCCUUAGUAUUUCUUUGUCAUUAAAUCAUUAAAUUUGUUCUGGAUUUAUUAGUCUUUUUAUAAGACUUGGAGAAUAAAAAGAGGAGUGGAACUCAAUGAUUUAAUUUAAUUAGUUGUAAAACAAGAGUCUGAAGAGCUAGACAUUGCUGAGACAAAAUGCUUCCCCAGUUUUAUGGUGAAAUUAUUUUAAGGUAACUUUACUAGCACUCAUGUGUCUCUUGUUUUUCCAGAAACUACGUACUACGUCUCGUGCAUACAUACAUAUGUUUUGAAUCUUAAUGUUGGAAGUAACAUUACCAACAUUCCUCUUACUCGGGAAGCUUUUCCUUAUUUUGUGUUAACCAUGGCUUUUAUGCUUCCCUCCAAGUCACAUGCGUUGAAUGAAAUUGACAUGCACCUAUGUAAGCUAAAUAUUUGGGAUAGACAAUACACAAAAUCAUCUAAGCAGGAACAAAUAGAAUUAAUAUGAAGAGAAAGCGGACAUGGAUAAAGACAAACAGAUUGACUGUGAGUUUUACGGGUUUUAUUGUAUGAAAAAAUGUUUGCACCGUCAGAUUUAAAUGUAAUGUGUCUUAAACUUCAUGUUUGAGCCUAUGGUGUAACAAAAACACAUAUUUGCAUAGCAAACCCGGCUACAUCAUUGUUAUUGAACAUAUGGUGUAACAGAAAGCAGAAGAAAUCAAUCUGAACAUAUGAAGACAAUUAACAAUGUUGUUCUACAAAAAAGAAAUUAAGAGAAAGCAUUCAAUAGUGAGGGCAUAACUAAAAUUUAAUAGCAUCCCACGUUGCCUCAUAGUCGAUCAAACUUCUCUAAUUCGCCAAGAAGUAAACAUAAUCCUGAAUCUUGAGAAAACCAAAUUCAAUUAAAUAACAAUUAAUAAGCAGCAACAAUGGAUUGUUUUAAUCAAAAUAUUAACUUGAUUAAACAACCAAGUCAUCUCAUUUUUGCCUCACAAACAUAAGUUGAUGAAGUUAGCAAGAGGGUACAAUUUGUUAAGCUUAAUAGCCUUUAUGCACAUAAAAUACCUUUUCCAAAACACCUAAAUAGAUAUAUUUUUAAAAUGAAUAACUUCAAUGCUUUAAGCCACAUGAAGCUUGUAGAACAAAGUUAACAUGAAAAAUGAAUAAAAUGACAUGCAUAUCUAUAAACAGCAGGAAAAAAAGGAAAUCAUCAACACUAAAUUCCUCAACUUAACUAUCUCGAGAGUUAUUGGACUGAAAUGAUGCCAACCACAUGAUAGAGAAACAAAUAAAAACGUGUAAAUUCAUAAAUCAAGGUUUUAACUCAAUCAAAUAUUAUUCCAAUGAAAGUUGUAAAAUGCAAAUAAAGCCAUUUAACAACAAACUGUUUCAACCAUUUGACUACCCGCAAUGUAGACAAAGAGACCUGAUACUCAUAGUACAUAACUGCUCUAUUUGUCUCUCUACAUAUGACAAUUAAUAAAAUGGAAAACUGAAGUAUACCUUGGCUAGUUAUUAUUUUGGGUCGCCAUCUCCAAUUGCUCCAAAUAAAAGAGAGGAAGCGUGUGAAGGCAAAAUUGGAGGCUUGUCUUGAGUUCUUGAGUUGGCACUGGCGAUCAUCGACCACGUCUCCUAACUCGUAACGUGCUAAAAUUAUUGAUUCAACAGAGAGUGUUUAACUAAAUCUUAUCUCAUUGGCAACGGCACAUUAUAAUAUCAAGCACAUCUUUUGUGUUUAUAGAUAAUAGAAUUUUACUCUUUUAAGUAGGUACUUUUCAUUUUCAGAACAACAAAAUUAGGAAUUGAACAUAAAUAUGAACAUCAACUAUUAUACAGAAGUUCGAAAUGAAAAUUAAUUAGUCAUGCAAACCUUUUUAAAGCAAUCGCGAUUCUAUCUCUAUUUGAAUACAACACCAUUGAGCUGAGGUUCUCAAUUUUCUUAGCUUGUUGUUGCACCAUCUUCUCUCUUUCAGCUUGGGCUUUUUUUUUCCUCCAACUCCAAAGCCAUACGCUCCCUCUCUAACUCAGUCUGCACAGAAAGUACGCAUGUCCCAUAAUACACUUGCAUUCAACUAAUUACAAUAAAAAUAAAGUGUAACUCCAAACCUGCAAUAACGUGUUUUGCAGAUUGAGGAUUUCCUCUGCCCAACGUUCUGAAUGAUAUAAAAGAGAACUACAAAUUGAAAAACUUGAACUUAAACUGUAUCCUUACAGUUUUAUUUUUCCUUGCUCGAGGCCCAUUCAAAUUGAAAAGAGAACUACACAACCACUAUAAAUACAAAUCUUUAAACUUUCUCCAAAAAUGAAAUCACAGAGAAUUGAAUUUUAAGCGUGAAUCUAAGCCAAACAUACCAAAAUGCCCAUGAUCCGUUACAACACACCACCCUUUGCCAUCAACUUCAGUAGGUCAUCUCUCAAAAACUCCUUAAGCCCUUUUGCAACUGCAUUCAUUUGUCCUUUCCCACUGUUAAGAACUCCAGUGAAUGCUUCCUCCGCCGCCACCGGCAACACCACUUCGUCACCCGAUAACGUCAACUUCAACUGGCAAAAUGUCGGACCAAACCACAUUUUAUGCAAAAAAAUUGAAUCAAAAUUCGAAACUAAAGGUGCAACAUUUGAAGAGUGUGGUGUGGGUGAUUGAGGCAUUUCAACAAACACUUACCUAGAGUACCUGGUGCAACCUCUUUCGGAGGUGCGGCUGCAGGAGAAGGGCUCGUAGCCCUCUGCCAUGACCAGGGCGGCGAUCAAUUCCCGUCGUUGUAGUUUGGUUUCCUGUAAGCCGAUCUAAUAAAAUCAGCAAUUUGAGCCUGUUCACGUUUUACGUCACUAUCUUCAUCUUCUUCAUCUCUCUGGGCAAGUUCGAAUUAAUUCGACAAUUAUCAAGGAAGAAUUCAGAAAUUAAUUGGAUCUUCAUGGCAAUUUCAAGCUAAUUCGACAAUUAUCAAGGAAAAAUUUAAAAAUUAAUUGGCGAUUACCGAUUCCGAGACCAGAUUGGAAAUAAAGGAUGAUGACGCCCAUUGCGGUGCCUUCGCAGCAGCGUCAAGGUCUCUCCAACAUAACUACUAGUUCGAGAAGAUGAUGGGAUUUGGCGACGAUGGAAUGGACUCCGUUUCUUUAGACAACAAUUUGGUUUUUGUAUGGAGGAGUAAGACCCAUAGAGAGAGAGUGGAGGAGGAACGGGAAGAAGUUGGAGCACAAAGAUGGGGAAGUUGGUGUGGGGAAGUUGAAGUGGGACUACUACAACAACUGUUUCAAAUACAGUUUCCAAGUCUCUCUGCAUGUCUAAUUUGUGUCCUCUUUUUUCUCUCCUACCCCACGUUUUUACCAUUUUAUCCCUAUUUUUUAUAUUUUUUGUUUUUCUCAUAACUGUAAAUAAAGGGUCAAUUUUGGAUUUAUGAAUGUUUCACUAUUUUUUCCUUUUGGCUUUAUAUAUAUAGAAGAUAAUGCGAAAAACAUAAGAUGACAAAUAGGUCACGAAGAGUUUCACUUUUGAAAGAGUCUCCUCAACAUUUCUCAUUCAAAAUUGUCCUUAUUAAACUAUUGACAAAAUAAAAAACAGUAAUCAACUUCAUAAUUAAGCAGCGUGUCUUUUAUUAAAGAUGUAACUUCAAUCUAUGAUAUUCAUGUUUGGUAUGAAUAAUUUUGUGCUAUUUAGUGUACUAUCUCUUGUGCAAGUGGUCGUUUACUACAGUGGUAGAAAAAUGUUAAGCCCUUGCAUGAUGAUGUGGGUUCAAACUCUGUCGAUGACUAACAAAAAAAAAAGUGUACUAUCUCUUGUUGUUUAGUAAAGCAAUUACUCAAAGGAAAAAACAAAACUCCUUAUUUGUCAAGCAAAAUAAACGAUUAGCUGGACCUAAAAGAGAUAUGAGCCGAAAAUCCAGCCCAUCUUCUUCUCACCCCCGAAACCAAACCCAACCCACAAAACAACGGCAUGCCGUUCGCGUCUGAUCGGCUUCAUUUCUUAAAAUUCGAAUUCAAAAAACCCCCCAAUUUUCCCACGCUCACAUUCUCUCUUUCCUUUUUCUCUCACUCCUCUGUGCAGCAAUGUCCGCAAACACCACCACCCGCACAACCCCGACCAAAACCCCGUCGGGAAAAUCAUCCCGCUCCCGGAAACAUUCUCACCCCGAUUCCACCGCCGAGAGCGAAAUGUCGUCUUCGUCGUUGGCCUCCCUCGCCAACUCCAAGUCCCGAUUCGAGGCCUACAAUCGCCUCCAGGCGGCCACGGUGGCAUUCGGAGAGAAACUCCCGAUUCCAGAGAUCGUUGCCCUCGGCGGACAGUCGGACGGCAAGAGCUCUCUCCUCGAAGCACUCCUCGGGUUUCGCUUCAAUGUCCGGGAAGUCGAGAUGGGCACUCGCCGUCCUCUCAUUCUCCAAAUGGUCCACGACCCCACCGCACUCGAGCCCCGCUGCCGAUUCCAGGUCUGCCUUCUUUCGUAUGCCAUUCGUAGCUCCUUCAUUGUUUUGCAUUUUGUUGAUCUAGUUAGUUCAUGAUGAUUUUAGGGUUUUUUAGUCGAUUCUGUUUGGUUGCUGAGGAUUCUUGGGAAAAUUGACGAUAGUUUGAGCUUUAAAUGUACUUGUUUUCUGCGGAUUCUUAAUGUUUUCGACAUUUCGAAGCAUAUGGGAAUAAAAAAAGCACAUUUGGAAUUGUGUGUAAUGAGCUAUAUUCUGUUUCUGAGAAAUUGGGGGAAAUAAACGGCCAUGAAGAUUUGAGUUUUAUUAGUCUUUGUCAUAUGCAGAAAUGUGGAAUACUAACGCAAUUACGAUCAAUGCAGAAAACUUGUUAUAAAUGGUGUACUGAUCGAGUUUUUGGCACAAAGGUUGGGUAGGAUGGUUUCUGAAAUGUUGUUUUCCUUUUUGAUAUUUUUUUUUUGGGUUUAAAGCAAAUCGAAAAACUGAUAGAAAUGAAAAACGGAAAGAAAAAAGGGUUUCCAUUUAUCUGGUGUUGGUUCCAAAGGAAAGCGGUAACUCUACUCAGUCAUUUACUACACAACAUUCGACAUAACUAAAGUUUCAUACUGUUGAAAUCUAAACUUUCAAGCCUGACUAUGUAGGUGAUGUUCUUGCAAUUUUUUUUAAUGCCCUUGGACUUCCUCCAAUAAUUUCAGUUGUGUGAUAUAUGAUGGUUUAAUUACACAAUGUAUUAAUCAUUAGAGUAUUGUAAACAGGAAGAGGAUACUGAAGAAUAUGGAAGCCCAGUCGUUUUGCCAUCGGCCAUUGCAGACAUCAUUAAGUCCCGCACUGAGACACUGUUGAAGAAAACUAAAGGUGCAGUUUCUUCAAAGCCAAUUGUCAUGAGAGCAGAAUACGCACACUGCCCGAACCUCACCAUUAUAGAUACUCCGGGCUUUGUUCUUAAGGUGGGUUUUACGAUUCAAGUACUGCAACAUAUGUGUGUUUAUUUUGAUUUGUGUUAAUGGUUUGAAUUUUGCUGGUAGGCAAAGAAAGGAGAACCUGAAAGAACUCCUGAUGAAAUUCUUUCCAUGGUGAAGUCACUGGCUAGUCCUCCACAUCGUAUACUCUUGUUUCUCCAACAAAGUAGUGUGGAGUGGUGCUCCUCGUUGUGGUUGGACGCCAUUCGGGAUAUUGAUCCGACCUUUCGAAGGACGAUUAUCGUGGUCUCGAAGUUUGAUAAUCGGUUAAAGGUAUGUAGUUGUUUAAAUCUUCAUUAGCCCAUUUAUGGCAUGGUAAAUAAUGUUACUGAGAACUGAAAUAUAUGAAUAGCUCACUAAGUAUUCAUGGCAUGGUGCAGUGUAAAUUGGCUCUGUACUUCUGUUGAUAUGCUGUCUGAUAUGUUAAUUUUGGAUUUAUGAAUGUAAUAUAUGCAGGAGUUUAGUGACCGGUGGGAGGUGGACCGCUAUUUGAGUGCAAGUGGUUAUCUUGGCGAUAACACUCAUCCAUUUUUUGUUGCACUGCCAAAGGAUAGGAAUACUAUUUCAAAUGAUGAAUUUCGCCGGCAGAUAGCUCAAGUAGAUUGUGAAGUUUUACGACACCUUCGUGAGGGUGUUAAGGGAGGCUUUGAUGAAGAGAAGUUCAGACCAUAUAUUGGAUUUAGCUGUUUGAGAGACUAUUUAGAAUCCGAGCUUCAGAAAAGGUACAAAGAAGCCGCACCAGCAACUCUUGCUUUGCUUGAGCAGCGCUGCAGUGAUGUCACCUGUGAACUAGCCAAAGUGGACUCAAAAAUACAGGCCACCUCUGAUGUUGCUCAGCUCAGGAGAUCUGCAAUGUUGUAUGCAGCUUCUAUAAGCAAUCAUGUGGUAAGUAAUAACUAAUAUCUGUGACAUGUUUUCAAAAAUAUAAUACAAAGUAUAAGUUUUACUUGAAUUUAAGUUUAACUUUCCAUAGUAUUUCCUGAAGUUCUCAACGCUUAUUAUAUGCGUGUCUUUUCUAUUUUUUCCAAUCAUCCUCCAUUGCUGCUCCAUUAAUGCGAAUGCCACAAGUAGUCAGGAAAAAACUUAGUCUGCAAACCAAAAAAGCACUCGUCAGAGAAAAAUUUAAUUGUUGAUUCUCAUUCUAUUUACAAGUAAUUUGUCAGCGUAUUUCAUCAUCUUUUGUUCAUAUGCUACAAUAAAAUCUUCUCUUUUCGAGGUUCUGAUUAAUUUUGAGUUUGAGAGGUAUAGCUUGACUGUAUUCCCUCUUAUUGGUAAAUUUCGAAGGCUACUUUGAUUGAUGGAGCAGCAGACCCUGCCCCUGAGCAAUGGGGGAAAACAACUAUGGAGGAGCAAUCGGAAAGUGGUAUUGGGGGAUGGCCUGGCAUCACAGCAGAUAUAAUGCCUCCCAAUGCUACCCUUCGACUUUAUGGAGGAGCUGCAUUUGAAAGGGUUAUGCAUGAAUUUCACUGUGCGGCAUAUUCAAUUGAAUGUCCUCCAGUGUCUAGGGAGAAGGUAAUACAUAUUCUGCUAGAUCAAUAUAGCUAGGAAUUUUUUAUAAUUUGUACAGAGGCGAGUUCUAAGACUUCUUCUAACAGGUGGCAAAUAUCCUACUUGCCCAUGCUAGCCGAGGAGGGGGUAGAGCAGUGAUGGAUGCAGCUGCAGAGAUUGCACGUUCUGCUGCACGCUCAUGGCUUGCUCCUCUUCUUGACUCUGCAUGCGAUCGGCUUGCAUUUGUUUUGGGAAAUCUUUUUGAUCUUGCCAUAGAACGAACUCACAACCGUGAUUCAGAAUGUAAAAUGCUGUCUUCCUUGCACUUUCAUUUUUCCAGAUCAAAUGUUUUACAUGAAAUGUGCAUUAACAGAUGAGGGAAUGAGUAGAAUGUGGAACUUUGAGAAAUUUCAUGCUCCUUGGAUUUGAAUAUUCACUGUAUCUUUGGCUUCCUGCAUUAACACCUAUUACAUAAAUGCUUCUCUUUUAUAUUUUCCCCUGAUUUCUUUUUGUUGAGUUCUCCAACCUAGGAUUCAAAUACGAACGUUAAUAUUUAUGGGACUCAUAGUACUCAGUUCUGGUAUUAAAACCUUGGGCUACUUGUUUACUGUGUAGGUGGGAGGAAAUCUGGAAAUAUGGAUGGAUAUAUUGGUUUCCAUGCUGCUCUUAGGCAGGCACACAACCGAUUUAUAAAGGAGCUUGCUAAACAGUGCAAGCAACUAGUUCGGCACCACCUCGAUUCAGUUACAAGUCCAUACUCUUUGGUUUGUUAUGGCAAUGACUUUCAAAGCGGUUUUGGCUCCAGUACAGCCUCUUCUUAUAACUUUAACCAGCCUUCAGUCACAUCAUUUUUACUUGAGUUAUCUGAUGCCACGAUGAAAGAUCAGGAGAAUAUACCUCCAGAAAAGAAUGCACAACAAACUACUCCUGGAAAAGGUACAGAUGCCAGAGAUGCUCUUCGAGAAAGCCAAAUGACGGUGCCUGAGACCCCAUCACCUGAUCAGCCAUGUGAUGGUGGCUUGAAGAAGGAUCUUGGGAAUGGCAUUGACAUAGGAGCAAGAAAGCGGAUUUCAAGAAUGCCUGGAAAUAACAGAAAUUCUGACAAUACAAGAACACAACAAAAUGGUGGUUCCCUUUUGUUUGGAAAUGUUGAUGGCACUUUAAAAUCAACCACAGCUUAUACAGAAAUCUGUUCAUCAGCUGCACAGCAUUUCGGGCGGAUACGUGAAGUUCUUGUGGAGAGAAAUGUGGCAUCAGCUUUGAAUUCUGGUUUCCUAACACCUUGGUGAGUUUCCUUAACUAUAUUUUGAUUGAACACACAGGUUGCUGAUCUUACCAAAGACCUUGCUUCACUAUUUUAGUAGUUAGUCUACUUCUGCAACUCAAAACUUUCAAGACAGCGAGAUUUUUCGUGAAAUUGGAACAUUUCGAAAUAUACGCGUCAUUUCGUUUUUCAUGUCUUUGUUUUCCUCCUGUCUGUCUUUCGUACUUCUUUCAUACGUAUUUUUAACUUUCCUACUGAACCCUGCAAAAUGCCCUCAAAUACUUAAUGCUUCAGAACCCUGCUACAAAUAAAACAAAUUCGUCGUUCUUUAAAUUCUAUUGUUUUAUUCCACAUAAUUUGGCUUGGAUAUAAAUCAUACUAAUAUGUAUAUUUUCAUGGAAAUCAUUCCUUGGCAGACUUAUGACAGUUAUGGUAACAUUGUUAUAUAUUUUCCUGUUUUAUGCAGUCGGGAUCGGCUUGUUCUGGCUAUUGGUUUGGAUUUGUUCGCUGUGAGCGAUGAGAAGUUCAUGGACAUGUUUGUCGUACCUGGCGCAAUUGAUGUACUGCAGAAUGAGCGACAAUCGCUUCAGAAGCGUCAAAAGACACUCCAGUCUUGUUUGAACGAGUUUAAAACUCUUGCUCGCGCACUUUAAUGGUAGAAAUAGUUUUAUAGGGGUUGUAUCCCAAGGUUUACUGCCAGUGAACAAUUGAAAAUUUCACUCCGAGGCUAAAAUUUGUUGUUGCUAAUCAUUGAAUGCCUCAUCGGCUGUGUUGUCUGUAACGCCAUUUUUUCUCAUUUGGCUUUCAUUUUUGUGUAUGUCACUCUGCACUUUUAAUAUUGAUUGAGCGAAGAAUUCAUUCUGCAGUUUCAUAUUAUUUAGUGUUCUGCAAAGUGUAAAGGACCGCGUAAUUCGGAGCAUCAAUUUAAAAGCAUAAAAGAACUGAAAUUGAACAGAAUGGGCGGAACUGAGACAUCGAUCUACAAUACGACUGAGUCAUGGAACGAUUCAAUUGGACUGUUGUUUUCUUAAAGGGACAUUGUCAAGAGCAAGGAAGAAAUUAAAGGGACAUUGUCAAGAGCAAGGAAGAAAAAAUCGAUAAUAUCGGCGAUAUUUCGCCAAUAUUAUCGUUUUUUUGAAGAUUUGAAAGUAUAUAUUGGUUGGCCUUUGGGCUAUGAUCAAGUGUAGUAUGCGUUGGGAUUUCUCAACAUUUUUAAGUAUUUUUGAAUAUUAUAUUUCGAUAUUAUCGAUAAUUUUGAAAAUAUCACAAUAUUAUCGAUAAUAUCACGAUAUUUUCAAAAUUAUCAAUAAUAUCGAAAUAUAAUAUUCAAAAAUACUUAAAAAUGUUGAGAAAUCCCAACACAUACUACACUUGAUCAUAGCUCAAAGGCCAACCAAUAUAUACUUUUCUGAGCUUGGGAAUGUGGAUUUUAAAGGCCUUCUUGCUUGCUCACUGCCCUCGCAUGGGCGAUGUGGGACUCGACCAAGGAAGAAAAUAGGAAUUUCGGCCGGAAAUCCACACCCACUUUAAACGGCCAUAACUUUGUCAAAACUCAACAAAAGCAAGCAAGACAAAAACGAAAGUUGUAGCCCUCGAAGAGACGAAGAGAAUGGUACCUACACGACGUCUGAAUCGUCGUGGUUUGGCCGGAAAAUGCCUCGAAAGUCAUUGAGGUCGCCGGAAACUGGGUAAGAUUCAAAUAAGUAUAACUUUUUCAAUACUCAACGAAAUUGAGUGAAACAAAAAGGAAAGUUGUACUACUCGACGAGACGAAGAGAUUGAUACCUAGCACGCCAGACAACUCGCCGUGGUUUGGUCGGAAAACCAGUGUCAAAUUCGGCACAUUAUUCUUUAUCAUUUUAUUCACUUCCCUUUUCUUUUUUUUAAUAUCCUAAAUAAAACCUCCCAAUAUUGUACUAAUUAAUUAUAUAUAAAUGAUUAUGGUGUGUUUAAACUUCUUUCAUUAAUUACUACAUAUUUUCUACUUACAAUGUUUGCCAGCUCGCUAUAUAAUCAACUUAAAUCAGUUAAAUCCAUCAUGCAAUGCAUUUCCUUCCAAUUUUUUGUGAUAAACUAAUAGAUAAUUGACUAAAUAAACAUCCUGCAAAGUUUCAUUAAAAAUUUCCAAGUUUUUCUUACAAUUUCCAUGGUUUCCAUGUAAUUUUUAUCGAUAUCGAUAUUAUCCCGAUAUUUCCAUCGAUAUUUCCGUGUUUUCGGACUACCGAUAUUUCCGAUAUUACCGAUAUUUUCUUCCUUGGUGAAGAGUAGGCUUGACAUUUUGGACCUAACCUGUUAACCCGACCCGACUCAACCCGUUAAUAUUUGUAUUUGAGUGGAUGCUUAACGGGUCGGGUCGUUAACGGGUGAACCCGUUAACAACCCGUUAAAUAACGGAUCACUUUGGGUCAACCCGUUAGACCCGUUAGGACCCGUUAACACCCGUUAGUUGAGAAUAUUUUAGUAAUUUUAGUAAAGUCUUAAUAACAAAAAAUAAACUUUAUGCAAAAAAAAAAAAAAAAAUAAUUGUUAACGGGUGAAACGGGUGACCCGUUAGUUUAACGGGUCGGGUUCAAGUGACCCGUUAACUUAACGGAUCGAGUUCAACCCGAUCUAAACCUAAUAAACCUGACCUGUUUACAGGUCUAGUCGAGAUAUACUGCUGCACCAAUUCCAGGGUUUUGCCAAGCCGCAGUGGCUUGAAUCUCCUAGCAUGACAGUGUUAUUAAUUUAUCAUUUGCGAUCCAAGUUUGGUGCACAAACUAAAAGCAUAUAUGCAACAAACGUGUGUAAAAACCCUUUAAUUUUUUUAUAACGAUGAUGAUGACGGUGUCAUGCUCACCUCUACCUCCUCUUUCGCCAACUGAACCUGGAUCUGACAGUCCACCGUAUUCGUGCGUGUAGCUGGCCUCCACCGAAACUUCGAUAUCCUACCUUUCAUGACAAAUGGAAUCCUGGUUUCAAAGGUGAUCUUGGCGCCCGCCUUAAUCGACAAGCUUCGUGGAGAAUUUGUGUGCGAAGCUGAUGGUUAUGGCGACGGGAUCAUCUUUGCUAGUUUUGUUUGUGGCAGUUUGGCUGAGCACUGUGAGCGGAGUCCCGCAUCAUCGAAGGGAAAUCAACGGAAACGGUCCUCUUCAGAACGGGCUCUUCGACAAGCAAAUAUGUUUCUUUAGUCAUGCUCGGUUUGAUGGCUGUUAAAAGUAAGCUAAAAUCCCCACCUUUACCACCUGUCCAAUCCAUUAGGUGUGAGAUUUUAUAACAAAAAACAUCGAUAUUAGUUAGAGUAAAGUAAUUAUAUUUAAAUCCAUUGGGUUUCUUUGAACCCACCAAUGUGGGACAUUUAACAGUGUUGUCGGUAUUGCUGUCAUGCCUGCAAAACUUGUUGUACAAGCUCCGGAGAGCGAUGGUCUUACUGUCCACCGUAACUACCUGAUACCUUUGAAGCAACUUGUCGUCUUUCUCUUCGAAUUCAACGAUAGUCGAGCCCGGAACGUCACUAUCAUCGUAAGCCAAUAGGUUUUUCUCCGGUGGAUCUGUUCUUUAUGCAAACUACGGUACCAUUAGCGUUAUCCGGAAUGAUUUUUUGGGCUACCGAAGCAACUCCGAUGUCACCGCAUGAGAGCUGCGGUAUAAUCAAAGACUCCUAGUUGGUUACUGUGAAGGCGUCUGCCGAGUUUGGGUCUGGCUAGACUUGGUAUUUUAGAUCCGAUCCGGCUUGACCCGUUAAUAUUAAUAUUUAAAUGUAUGCUUAACGGGUGAACCUAUUAAAUAACAGAUCAUUUUGAAUCAACCGUUAGCAUCCGUUAUAAAUUAUAACCACACCUUAUCGGCAAGGGCCUUCUUAUCGCCCAAGCUCUCCGACCAGACCCUCCUCCGCUCCCUCCACCAUCUCUCCCAAGAAAUCUCCCCCGCUCCAUGAUCCGCAGGUCAACCCUCCUCUCCAUCCUCUUCGAAGACAUCAUCCGUAGCUCCAUUCAAGGCUUGAAUGGAUUCUUGUAUUGUUUGGUACUGCAGACGGGGUACGAGCUCGCUGUUCUUUCGUUCAACUUACACAAUGAGGUUUUCCAUGUGAUGCGUCUGCCAGGAGAAUUGCAGGAUUUCAAGCACCUUGUACCAUUAUUCUCAUGGAAUAAUUCAGUUGCAAUUAUAACAACUACAUCUUCAUUAGAUGAUGAAUAUUACGACCAAGUGCUUUGGGUGAUGAGUAGUAGCACUACUACUGCGACGACAAAGCCAACUUGGGUUCGACAAUUGAUAAGCAGAUCCAAAGCAUUUGCGGCAGGAGCGACCGAUAUUUUCGCGUAAUUAGGGAUUCGUGACACUUCAAAUUGCAGAGAGGAGCUCGAGAGUCUCCGGGAAGAGUUCCAGAACCAGAGAAAUCCAAGUCGCAGCUCCUUGUCUGUUUACUAUAUAUCCAAGUCAGUACCUUUUUCACUGUCAGCACCCUUUUAUACAUCCUUGCAGUUUUGUAAUUGUAUUGAAAAAAAAAAAAUGUUAACAGGUGACCCGAUAGAUUAACGGGUCGGGUUCGGAUGAUCUGUUAACUUAACGGGUCGAGUUUGGGUGACCCGUUAGCUUAAUAGGUAUGAUUGAACCCGACCCAAACCCGAUAAACCCGACCCGUUUACAGGUCUAGGUUUGGCGUUUCGCUGUUUGUCAUGCAUGCAUGCAUUGUAGUCGGGUUGUAAUGGACCUCUACGUAGUCAUCAUUCACACGAUGUACCUAUUAAAAUCAUUUGUAACUCAUUUAUUUGUGAGCAUUCACAUUUGCACUACAUAUUUCGAGUUUGAUUUUUCACUCCCACGAUAUCAAUUGAAAUAAAAUAAAAAUUCAUUAGUACAAAAAAAGAGUUCAUUUUCACACACCUUUUUUUAUUAGGAAAACUAAUGAAAGGGCUUGAAAACUUUGAGUUUUAAUGAUAAGGACAAAAUAAAGGGUAAAGUGAAUAGUAACAUGAUUGACUUUUUAGUGUAAAAAUGUGGUUUUUCAUUAAAGUGAACAGUACCGGGUGCUUUUCGUUAAAGUUCCCUUUUUUAUUUUUAUCAAUCAAAUUAGUUAAAUCAAAUACAAUCAACGAUCAUAAUUAAACAUGUGUGUUUAUCAUUUCCGUCAAGAAAAUGAUUAUCAAAAUGGUUAUAAAAGGGAUGUAAAGAAAGCGAUUCCUGGUUUAGGUGAAUUUAGAGUUGACAGGAUGUGCAGUUGAAAACUCGAAGGAUCAUUUCUCGCUCACCGGCUCAAUUGGAUUCACUUGGGCAAUGAUAAGAGAACGGAUUGGACUAAUCCCACACAUUUUUUGUUUUAAAUAAGAGCUAAACCUGAUAAUGAGUCUUUGGCGAGAAUCGAACUUAAGGUUUUUCUCUUACAAGUGAAGAGAAAUAUCACUAUACCAUAGUACUAAGAGACAAUUCAAAAGCCUAAUAUUAUGUUUUAAGCUCAUAUUAGAGAUUGAAUUGCCAUAGCUCGUAUAAGAGCUGGCAAUUCCUUGCACGACCAUUUAAUCUGAUACGAAAUGACACGAAAACAACAUGAAUCAAGAAACACGUUAACUAAUCGAGUCGUUAUUGAAUUCGUUAAGAGCUAGUUAAUAACGAGUUCUUAACAGGUCUACCUGCGAGUAACCUUUUUCAACCCAUUAAGAAAAAUGUUAGUUUGGUAAUUUUAAACUACUAAAAAAACCUUACUUAGUCAAGUGAGAUUAAAUCUUUAUUGUUGGAUUCUAUAUCAUACCUCUCCAAGGCCAUAGUCCAAAGGCUCCCAGUCCUAACUUUCUUUGUAUUCUCUCUGUCUCGACUCUCGACGCUCAAUCUCUCUCUACCAUCGCCAUCUCUCCGUCUCCAUCCAAGCCACUACCACAAGCACAGACGUAUCUAAUCUCGUUGCCCAAACCACCACUACAAGAUAUCACCGCACCAGUGAUGAAUCACGACCACCACCGACUCCGCCCAUAGCCCAACUGCAAGGUUGUAAAUCGAGAUACAAAUUCCCAGCUGACAAAUGAUAUUUGACCACCAAUCUCUCCCCACCAUCUUAGAUCUCCACCGCCACCACCAUCGAAAGCUUCCAUUGGAAAAUCCGAAGUUCUAUACUACUUGGCUCAAGCCGUAUGUUUUCCAUGAAGUCAUGUACUCCAUUAUUAUUAUUAACAUGAUUUUGAUAUUAUAGAGAAUUUUUAUUAUUUUAUAUCGUAUUGGGAGAUCUUGUCAAUUUCACCAAAUAAAUUUGAGGUUUCCUCGUGAUCGUGCUCUACGGUUGGUUGUGAAUAACUCCCAUCAUUUUGUUGUUUUUCGUCACGAUAAUUGUGCAAGAUAGUUGUGGAAUGUAAAGUAGCCAGUGCAAUUGUUGGACCAGCCACUCAUAUCCAGUGGCGAAGCCAGGAAUUUUCGAUGGGAGGGGCGAAAUUUAAAAGCAUAAUAGAUUAAAAAAAAAAAAAGGAGACAAUCAAAUUAUUCUUUUAGAUAAUAGAUAAUAUUAAUGUCGUUAAUAAUUUAUCAAUACAAACAACUUGCAAUUGUUGCUGGCAAUGCUUCAUGUCCUGAAACGGUCGCAUAAUAAACUCAUUAUCAAUAAAAACAUCUCAAUAUAUAAAUCAAACUAUCACACAAUUGUUGUACAUCUAUUGCAAUAUAAACAUCUCUCAAUAAAAGCAAAAACAUCUCUCACAUAAUAAGAACACUAAUAUCAUUUUCCUCACAAAAGUUUUGUAUAUCUGAAUCAAGUUCUCAAAAUCAUCAUUUCUCAAGAAUUAAAGAACAAAAUAUAAAAUAAUUUUGAAUACUAGAAAUAAUAACAAGAAUAGAGAAAGAACAAUAACAAACAUCAAUCAUUUGUAUUAUAAUUUUAAAUACUAGAAGUAAUAACAAGGAUUGAAAAAGAACAAUAACAAACAUCAACCUUUUGUAUUUCUAUAGUCUAAACAAAUGAGAGAGAGGGAAGAGAAUUAAAAUGGUGCGCUGGUAGUGCGUUUCUAAAAGAAGACCACAUCAAUAAAAUUAAAACUCAGCAGUGUAGCGCUUCCAAAUUUCAGCAGGUUCAGAAGAUCGGAGUGGUCGAAUUCUCGCUUUCAUUGCGAUUUCCGACGACCGGAGGGGGGCGGUCGCCCCUCCUUGCCCCUAUGUAGCUUCGCCAAUGCUCAUAUCCCAAAACUUUUGAGCAAGUGUUUCUCGCCCGUUGGAAAUUAUCUGUUACAUAACAGCAUAUGUACCACAUCAAUUCCAUCACAGGAAUCAACAGCUCGUGGUGGAAACUAUUCAAUUAUCACGGUUAAAUGUAGCUCGUGGUAGAUAACAUUAAUUCACCACAGUCAGAUUCUGAUCCGUUGUUAAAAGUGAAUAAUCUACAACGGUUUUUAAUCCCGUGAUGGAAUAUCAAAAGCACCACACAAUAUGCUCGUUGUGGUUACUUCAAAUGACCACGCCACCUUUUGAAAAUUCACCACGCCAUCGGCUUGUGGUGGAUUUUUUUUUUAAAUAUUUUGGACGAUAUAUUAAAAUCUAAAAUCCCAAUUAUUUCCCCUCGUGUGAAAUUGUGAAACUAGACAAAAACCCUAAAAAGAAAACGUCAAUCCUUUUGUUUCUCCAUCUCUUCCGUCUCCAGCCGGUCUCGGUUUGGUCGUCUCUCCGGUCAUCUCUCCCUCAAUUAUUGGCAACCUCUCUACAUCACUUAGGUUUCUUUUAUCCUAUAUCUUUUGAUUUCGUUUUCUUGUUCUGAAUAAGCAUUUAAAUUAUCUCAUCGAACUUGGAGAUGUGUAUGCAUUCUUGAGGCCUGCUAAUGUUAAGAAAUAAGCUGAUUGGGACAAAUUUGUUAAACAUCGAUGCUCUCCUGAGUUUGCUGUAAGCUUGUUUGUAUUAAAUUUUACAUUUGUUGAUGCACAAAAUUAGUGAGGAUUUUGGUACAACAGAAAGUGUUAAGUUUGUGACCUUCGCUAGAUUGCUUCGAUCACUAGCGUGGAUAAGUAUGUAAAUGGAUAGAGACAGGGAAGCAAACACAAGAUGUACGUGGUUCACCCAGAUUGGCUACGUCCACGGAGUAAAGGAGUUCUCAUUAAUUGUGAAGGAUUUACACAAGUACAUAGGUUCAAGCUCUCAUUUUGUGAGUACUAGUGAAUGAUUUAGUACAAAUGACAUUAGCAAAUAUUGUGAGAGAAUGAUCUCUAUUUAUAGAAGAGAGUUUCUAGUUUCAUUCUGACAUUGACACGUGUCGUGUUGUGAUUGGCUUCUGAUGUUGACACGUGUCGCGCUAUGAUUGGCUUCUGAUGUCGACACGUGUUGUGCUGUGAUUGUCCUCCUGGUUGGAGGGAAACUCUUCUGGGUCUUUGAUGAUAUAACGUUCACUGGUGCUCAGUAGUUUCGGGAUUGGUCAAGUAUGGUACAAACAGUGUUCCCCUAAGUUCCUGAGUAAGGGAAGCUCCUCGGUUGGGGACUUGCAAGAUCCAAGCCAUUGAGUAAUCACGAAACUUUGAGGUUGAAACUUUGUUGGGUACCAUGAAUUGAUUUUGCUUCACACUAUCUUGAUUAAGAUAGUGUGAAGCUUUUGUAGGUGAAGCUUUGUAGGUGAAGCUUUUGUGAGUAAAGCUUUUGUGGUGGGGGAAGCUUUUGUGGAUGAAGCUUUUGUUGGUGAAGCUUUUAUGGGUGAAGCUAUUGUGGGUGAAGCUUUUGUAGGUGAAGCUUUGGAGUUGAAGCUUUUGUUGGGUAUCAUGAAUUGAUUUUACUUCACACUAUCUUGAUCAAGAUAGUGUGAAACUUUUGAGAAUUUGUAGUUGUCCUCCAUUGAUGAAGUUUUUGUUGGUAAAGCUUUUGUGGUGAAGCUUUGUUGGGUACCACAAAUUGAUUUUGCUUCACACUAUCUUGAUCAAGAUAGUGUGAAGCUUUUGUGAAUUUGUAGUUAUCCUCCAUUGAUGAAGCUUUGUUGAAUUUCCCUUUUUUUUUUUUUUUUUUGGGAAACUAGAAAUUUGAAAAUGUGGGAGAGACAACAUAUACAUUUGCUUCCACACUGUUGAGCAAGAGAUUUUGAUGCAAGCCACACCUUGUAGUAGUCGAAGGUUUGGAUGAAUCAUAUAAAUUGAAUUUGCUUCGAAGGUUUGAGAAUUGUAGUUGCCAUCCAUUGAUGAAGCUUUUGUUGGCACCAUAAAUUGGUUUUGCUUCACACUGUCUUGAUCAAGAGUGUGUGAAGCUUUUGAGAAUUAUGGUUGCCCUCCCCUCCAUUGAUGAAGCUCUUGUUGGCACCAUAAAUUGGUUUUGCUUCAUACUGUCUUGAUCAAGAGUGUGUGAAACUUUUGAGAACUGUGGUUGCCCUCCAUUGAUGAAGCUCUUGUUAGCACCAUAAAUUGGUUUUGCUUCACAUUGUCUUGAUCAAGAGUGUGUGAAGCUUUUGAGAAUUGUGGUUGAACUCCUUUGAUGAAGUUUUUGUUAGCACUAUAAAUUGGUUUUGCUUCACACUGUCUUGAUCAAAAGUGUGUGAAGCUUUUGAGAAUUAUGGUUGCCCUCCAUUGGUGAAGCUCUUGUUGGCACCAUAAAUUGGUUUUGCUUCACACUGUUUUGAUCAAGAGUGUGUGAAGCUUUUGAGAAUUGUGGUUGCCCUCCAUUGAUGAAGCUUUUGUUAGCACUAUAAAUUGGUUUUGCUUCACAUUGUCUUGAUCAAGAGUGUGUGAAGCUUUUGAGAAUUGUGAUUGAACUCCUUUGAUGAAGCUCUUGUUGGCACCAUAAAUUGGUUUUGCUUCACACUGUCUUGAUCAAGGGUGUGUGAAGCUUUCUACGAGUUGUAAUGUUUGCAUUGUUACAGAUGGGAAAUGUUUGAAGCAGAUGCAAGAGGGCUGAAUAGCUUGAUCUUUGUAUGGCAUGCACUGAAGUUGUUGUUGGCUUGCAAUAAGACUUUGUUGGUGACUAUAACUCUUGUUGGGCAUAAGUGCUCCCCUAGUUGAGUUGUCAAGCUUGAGGGUUUUUUAUUAUUUGUGAAUGCUAGGAGUUCAUAUGUACAAGUUGUACCACUCGUCUUCUGGUAUGUGGAAUGAAUGGUAAGUUGCUUUCAUCACUUGAUUGGUGGUACGAAGGUGAGUUCCUUCAUCACAUUUCAUCACAUGGUUGGUGGCACGAGGAAAAGUUCCUUCUUCACCUGGUUGGUGACAUGAGUGGCAAGUUGCCAAAUGAUAUUGGAGAGUACGGGUUGUACAUUUCAUCACUUGGUUGGUGACAUGAAUGGAAAGUUGCCAAAUGAUAUUAGAGUACGGGUUGUACUUUUUAUCACCUGGUUGGUGGCAUGAAGGAGAGUACGGGUUGUACAUUUCAUCACCUGAUUGAUGGCAUAAAGAUGAGUUCCUUGUUCACCUGGUUGGUGGCAUGCAUGACAAGUUGCCAAAUGAUGUUAGAGUAUGGGUUGUACAUUUCAUCACCUAGUUGGUGGCAUGAAGGAGAGUAUGGGUUGUACAUUUCAUCACCUGGUUGGUGGAAUAAGGGCAAGGUGUCUAGGCACAUUGUAUCAAGUGUCGAAUGACAUAAAGUAUGUUGAACCUUUUCGAAGCACAGCUGGCUUAUGUAUGGAUGUGUUGGAAUGUAUAAUGUUUAUGUAUGAAUGUGUUGGAAUGUAUGAUGUUUAUGUUGAUUGAUAUGAGUGAUGCUUAUGAAUGAUUUGUUAUGCAUGAAGGGAUCCAUGCUUUUGAUAUGUGAACCAUGUUGGUUGUAACACUUAGUAUCACAUACUUUGUGUCAAACUACGCAUGUUGAAGCUCUGAGUUUGAGUAUAAGGGUAGGUCAACGUAGACCAAGUGUUCCAGUGCUACGAACGCAAAAGACUCAGAAGAAGUUGUCUGAAUUCCCUCUUCUUUAAAUAUUUGCCGAAUGGCUUGUGUGACAAAUGAUCUCAAGCGGUUGAGAGUCAAAACAUUUGUAAUGUGUAUGCCUUCUUAUAAUAGCAUUUCCUUCAGUACCUAGUCCCCCACUUUGAAAGAGCGAGGCUUGGCCCCAUAGUUAUAAUAGUCGACGGUACAUUCAUCCCUGGUUGUCUUGAUACGAACUUUUAUCCAUCUUGUUGUAAUGGGCUUGCUGAGAGUAAAAAUCCUUCUUCUUACCAAGAAACAUAUAUGUUUGGUGGCUUAGCGAGUAGCUAAAUGAGGCAGAAGAUGAUGUAAUGGGUGUCUGAAUGGCCAAUAUCUCCUCACUUGGUAGAACUUGACUUCCACUUCCCACUUGUUGAUAGGGGUUAACCAUAUGGGGGUUCCCUUGGUAUGUCCUUGCUUCGGCGGAGGCGUGAUUGUAAGUAUGUGCCAUCACCUCAGAGUAAGUCUUUUAAGUAUUGGCAUUGAUCAUGUACUUAAAGAAACAAUCACGUAGGCCUGCCGUGAAGGCCUUGAGGGUGGUCUUGUCAUCUGCCUCAGCCAGCGAGAAUACUCAUGGCUGAAGUGACUGGCAUACUCUCGUAGUGACUCAUCUGACUUCUGGCGAAUAGUGUACAAGUCAUCUGCAGAAUGCAAGCAAUCGGUCUGGAAGAUGUGUUGAGAGACAAACAGUUUCCUCAGUUCCUCAAAUGAGUAUACUGUUUCAGGUGAAAGACGGCAAUACCAAUUUAGAGCUCCGCCAGAGAGGGUGGAGAGGAAGAGAAGACAUUGCUCUUUGUCGAUGUGAAUCCGAUAUGCCAUGGUGAACUCAAAGAGGUUAAGGUGUUCAAUUGGGUCUUCCCUUUCAGUAUAGAGUUGUAAACCAAGCUUUUGUUUUGUCUUCGCUUGAAGGGGGUGUCGAGGAUCCUUCUUGUGAGAGGGCCAGGCCUGGGUUGGUUCCAGUCAGGUAUCUCGACUUGACAUUCGGUCUUCAACCUGUUUACUUCCUCAAGGAGCUGUAGGACAAGGGGGUCCUGAGUGGAGUCAUGUACCACUGAAAUUUUCUUUCAUAAGUCUCCAUCGCCUCUUGGAAGUAGGAAAGUUUGAGCAAGGGCGUGUGGUUUUUUCUUGGACUCGCUUACUAACUUCUAGGGCGAGUCUGUUGGAAUAUCUCAGAGUCCCCUGUACCUUCAUGUUCCUCUGGGACCUGUCGUUCCUUCCUUAGAUUGGCAGCUGGCCUGGGUUGUGAGAGGAGACCAAGUCUUUCAGAAACCCUUGGGUUAUUGAUCUUCGAGCAUAUGUGGAGGGGAUUAUCUUGACGUUGCUUUAAGAAGUCUCAACAGUCAUGAUAAACGACUUUUGAUCCUUCCAACCUUUCUGCAAGGAAGUGUCUUCCUCAUUUGUUUUCUGCUUUGGGUCGAAGCAUCUGGGUUGAGAGAAGUCUUAUGUUGAUCAAUGUUUUGAUGAUUAGCUUGCUCCUCAUCAGGGAUACCAAUGUCGAAGGAAAGUGACCCUUCGUGUUAGAGGGCACCCAGAUGAUGGUUGAUGCCCACAGGGGCAACGAGCUCGUGUGUUUGAGUACGCCUAGUUUCGUGGAGCGUCUCAAAGAGCUUCUCAUACUGCUCUUGGAAAACCUCAUUCUUCAUUGCUAUCUUGUUGUUUUGAGCUUCUAGCUUAUCGACUUUAGCUUGAAGAGCAACCCUCUUUCUUUCAUUCUUUCAUUGCUUCACACUAGGUGCAAGAGGGGUGUCAUUCUGUGUGCUAUGGCUUCCUUCGCUCCUCAUGUUGGAGAUGGAUGCCUGGUCAAAAGAGAGUGUGCGAAUGGUGGAAACGAGCUUGGCAAAGCUGAAGAGAGUGGGAAUAAGUGUCAUUCCCAUAGACGACGCCAAAUGUUGAUGCACAAAAUCAGUGAGGACUUUGGUACAACAGAAAGUGUUAAGUUUGUGACCUUCGCUAGAUUGCUCCGGUCACUAGCGUGGAUAAGUAUGUAAAUGGAUAGAGACAGGGAAGCAAACACAAGAUGUACGUGGUUCACCCAGAUUGGCUACGUCCACGGAGUAGAGGAGUUCUCAUGAAUUGUGAAGGGUUUACACAAGUACAUAGGUUCAAGCUUUCCUUUUGUGAGUACUAGUGAAUGAUUUAGUACAAAUGACAUUAGAAAAUAUUGUGAGAGAAUGAUCUCUAUUUAUAGAAGAGAGUUUCUAGUUUCAUUCUGACAUUGACACGUGUCGUGUUGUGAUUGGCAUCUGAUGUUGACACGUGUCGUGCUAUGAUUGGCUUCUGAUGUCUACAUGUGUCGCGCUAUGAUUGGCUUCUAAUAUCUACACGUGUCGCGCUGUGAUUGGCCUCCUGGUUGGAAGGAAACUCUUCUGGGUCCUUAACGGUAUAACGUUGACCGGUGCUUAGUAGUUUCGGGAUUGGUCAAGUAUGGUACAAACAACAUUAAUGAUUAGGUUUUCAAUGAAUGGAUGUUGGUUAAAUGAAGUUUCUUGUUAUCUAUUUUUCUUUGUUAGGCAAUUAGUGAGAAGUUCAAAAAGUCGAAAUCAUUCCAUACUCUCCCUCAUGUGAUGAGUCGUAAAGGAUAUGCAUGCUUGGAUGACGAGUUGGUAUGAACAUUUAUGUAUCUUUUAAUUUCAUUUCAGUGACAACACACUUAUACGGAGUUUAAAUUAUGGAUUAAUUAAUAGAGAAACAAAGGCACACCUGAGGAGGAUUUAAAUAGAGUCAAUCUCUGGAUAGCUGCUCGUACAAGAAAAAAUGGUCAACCCGUAAAUGAGAUAGUGUAAAAGAAAAUGGUAUAAAGCUUCAGUUUGAAAUUAUCCUUGUGUUAUUUUUUAUUCAUUUUUCUUUUAAUCUUGUAAAUGAUUUUUAAAUGUAUAGGAUGACAUUAAGUUGGUUAAUGAAAUGCCAACAACAAACAAUGGUUCUAUAAAAUAUGAUGCUUUAUAACAAGCACUUGGACCUGAACAUCGAGGUCGACUUCGAGGAGGUGGUUAUGGGGUUACACCUUCUAGAUAUGAUGCCCAAACAUAUGCCGGCAUGAGUAAUUGAGAGCUUAGAGACCGACUAUAAAAUGUCGAAGGAAAAUUGCGGGAAGUGUUUGAUCUUGUGUUGGCUAUACAACAAAAUGAGGUAAUUAUAUAUGCAACUUUGUAUAUACUUAUAAAAAUGAUAAAAGAUUUACGUCAUAUAGCUGCAGGGAAAUAUAUUCUAACUUCUAAUCAUAUCGCUGCAGGGAAAUGGUAAAGAAACUAAUACCAAUUAUGCAAUUCAAGUCUCCACAAAUAGGCCUCAGGUAAAAAUGUGUCAUUGGUAAAUAUUGGUAUUUUGUUGAAUCUAAAACUGAUCAACUUCUAUUUCUUACAUAUUCACUAGUCGCAGGGAGGCAGUAUAGAUCUCCAAAGAACUAAGAAUGGUGUAAAACAGGUUCCCAAUUCCAGUUACCAGGUUUCCAGAUCAUCUCCCCAGGUAUGAAACUGAUUUUGUAUAACUUGUCUCGAUGUCUUCAUCAUUAGAUAGAAAUAAAAUAGUGAACAUGUUCACUUUCAAGCUUAGUUAGUCUAUGCAGCUAAUAGUUUAUUUGCAUCUAUCUUGUUAUCAGAUGUUUCAUUUGAUUUUGAUUAUUUGCAUUUAUCUUUUUAUUAGUUACAAUGUAAUAAAAAAAGUGCACUAGAGGGUAACGAUGGUUCUAGACACUCUUCAAAAGCUAGUUCUUAGGUACAUAUAUGAUCCCAAAUAUAGCACGGUGGAAAUUAUAAAUUUUUUAUAUAAGUAAAUCAAACUUAGCUUUUUCUAUGUUUGAUUGUCUCAAAGAGUUAGUACAUGUCAUAUGCUCCAUUAAAUGUUUAUAAACCAAGUAGAGCUUAUGACUUGGGAAACCAAGUAAAACAAGUAGAGCUUAUGACUAGGGAAAGUUUGACGAGGAUGCUUACAUGUCAUAUGCCCCAUUAGAUGUUUAUAGACUUGAUGAUUGUGUAGGUGAUGAAGAUGAAGGUUAUGUUCGGGCAAAUUGUGAGGCCAUUCCUAUGUAUAACUAGACUAUUAUUGAAUGAAAACAUUUUUCACAAAUUUCUCUACCUUUUUUUGGAUCUCUUCUUAGGAAAACUGAUAUUUUCUGUAAGAUGUAUGUGUUUGGUUGUUUUUUUCUUUAAAUCAGAAUUAAAUCAAAACGAAAAACUUCUCACCAUAAAGUCCCCAGCAUGUAUUGUUCCCAUCUCCACCAACUGACCAUUCUCUAAUCCUAGUUGUUUCACUAUGUAUUCUUUUGCUCGGCCAAUUUCCUUCUUUGUGGUUCCAUUGGCGGUAGAGCAAAUUUCUGUUUUGUUAUUAGAUAAUUAGAUUAUUUUUGUUUUGUGAGGCCAUUCCUAUGUACAGAUAUACUAGGACAUAACAGAUGUUGAUAAUUAGAUUGUUUUUGUUUUGUUAUUAGAUACAAUGUGAUAGAAGAAGUGCACGAGAAGUUGACGAUGCUUCUAGACAAGCUUCCAAAGCUAGUUCCCAGGUAUACGAGAACAAGUACUAAAUAGUUAGCUUAUGAAACUUAUGAGAUUUUGAUAUAAACUGAUCGAAUUUUGUAUCUUCCAUGUUUGGUUGUCACAGAGAAGUAGUCCAAACAUAAAAAGAGACAACAUUAAGAGAAAAGAAGGUUCUAAAGCCACUUCUCAGGUAGUAACUCACACUUGAUAAUAUUUGCUAAAUAGUUUGAUAACUUAAUCAUUUAAAAUUGAUGUUCUUAUUUGAUUUCUUUAUGCUAGUUACAACUUGUUGGUAUUUUACAAGGGUCUUCAUGCAAGUUACUAAAUUGGCUUGAAAAUGGACAAGUUGUUGCAACUGGAGAAAUAGAAUCAACAAAUCCUGAGGCGAAAGUUCAUCACAUGGUGCUUGGUCCUAAUUGCUGGAAAGUUUGGGUAACUGUUGUCAGAGUGGAGAACAUAUCUUUGUACCGCCCUACAAAUGAAUUUCGUGUCCUGGAGGAUGCUAUAUCUAGUACAAUUGCCUGGCCAUCAAAGUACAUCCGAGUUGGAGAGUAAUUUUAGUUCAUACUUAGACUAGAAAAUGAUACUUUGGCACUACAUGGAUACUACUUUAUGACUUCCAUUGUUUAUGUAUUCAGUAGCCACUACAUGGAUACUACUUUAUGACUUCCCGUUGUUUAUGUAUUCAUAUGGAAACUCAAGUAUUUUUAAAUUAUGUUAUAAUAUUAUCAAGUAAUAAUUUAUAACGGGCAUUAGAUGUGGUUAAUUAGUAAUCGACAACGGUCAUAGCACGUGGUGUUAGAUCUCAAUCUACCACGGGUACAAUCCGUGGUUAUAUUGCAUUUAACAACGGACAUAGCCCCUGGUAAAAAUUGAAACUUUUUAUCACAUCCAGAAUACUAACGGGCACAGUGUUUGUGGUGGAUUACAAUUUAUCACGGGCAUUCACCGUGAUAGAUGAACUUUUUUCUUCUAGUGAAGCACACUCCUAAUCCUACACACUAAUAUUUGUUGUUUUUUCUUCGAGCACCAUUAUCAUGGUGCAUGAUUAUGAUAUUAGAAUUCUCAUGUUACCUAUGAAGAAUUUGGGAUGAGCUGAAAAGGGAUCGGAAUAAAAUCAAUCUUCAAUUUUUUUUUUCAAAGUCUGUCAUGAUAAUUUACGAUUGUUGGGGCGCAUGCAGGGUCAUUUUCUAUCCCCUCAAUGAUUCAUUGAGAUUGUUAUGUGAUGGUCUCUGAAUUCUUGGGUUUUUCUACUUCUAAUAUAAAUAUAUUAAUAAUUAUUCACUUUGACUUUUAAGACAAACUAACAAAAAAGUAUUAAUAAAAAGUCAUACGGUUGACAGCUAAUAUCUGCCCUAAAAAUUCGAUGGAACUAUCAUGAACCUGUGAUAGACGAGAGGAUCAGGUAUCAAAUAUGUGAGUGUGGAGUGUGGUCCCUCGAACUUCCAUGUUCCAUCCUCAAAUGUCCCUAAUCUCAGAGACCUAAUCCGACAGGAUAAAAUUACUACUACUCCUUAUAAUAAGUUUACUAUAACAACCUUUCUUACUGGUUGGAGUGACUGCUCACCAUCCCUACACAACUUUAUUUGCUCAACUUUGUCACAUUAUCGAGCUAAAAAUUCAUCCCACUAAUACCAUUUUAUGCAGCGUUUUAUUGAAUGAUGAAAGUAAAUGAAAAUACUUAUAAUGUCUUUAUUUGAGAAAGUUUCAUUUCUUACGAUGAGUCUCACUUAAAAAAGAGACGAUGGGAGAGAAAAUCUUUUAAGGUAUAAUCAUAUUAUUUUAGAUAGUCCGACAUGUUAUGUUAUCAGAUUGUUUGUUAGAAUUGUGUAUCUAAACGUACGUUAUCAACUCAACAAUUUGAUUGAUAAUACCUAACAAGAUAAUAUGUUCAAUUGUGUGACAAGAAAUUUUUAUAUGCUCAUACUAAUUCUAUAUAGCAAAGAAAUAAUACAUCAUAAGGUUUUUUAUUAGGUAAAAACUUUUCUUGCCAAAAAGAAAUUCUCAGUAGAAGGCAUACAAGACAAAUACAACUUGGUAUGGUCAGCAAAAUACAACUUGAAUUAUCACACUAAACUUUUAUGUGUUUUAUGCACUGUUUUAUUGAAGGGUUAGAGUGAAUGGUCUUUAUACCUUUCACUUGAGAAAGUGGCUUACUGCAUUUGAGUCUUGGUAAGAGGAUAGAUAGGAGAGAAAAUCUUCCAUAGAUGAAUAUUCAUCUCUUCUCAGAUAGUAUGACAUGUUUUUAAAUAUUAUCAAUUAAUAUCGCAUAUACAUUCUGAUUUAUCUACUUAGCAAAUAUAGCUGGUAACUAACAGUAUAAUAUGUUGGACUGUGUGAUAAGAAAGUUACUAACGUUCUUAUUUAUUUGUGUGUAACAAAGGGAUACAUCAUAAAGUUUGAUAAUUAGGUGAAAGCCAACUUUUGUUUGCCAGAAUAAAUUCUUAUUGGUGGGCGCAUAUACAAGACAAAAUACGAGUACAACUUGCUAUGGUCAGCAAAAUACAAUUUGUGAAAAGGACUGCAUAUUUUUAUCUCAAGCAUAUUGGUCUCAAUUUGACUUGGUUCAUAUGACUAUUGUGUCAUCAACAUAAAGAACUAAGAAGAUCUAUUAAAUUCCAAGUAGGACUAAUAAUUUCUUACCAAACAGGUCUGUCAAAUUACAAGCAUGGUGUUGUAGGACUGAUCCAUCAUCACGAACGACCAUUAACAAAUAUUUGGAGUUAAAAUUUAUAUUUGAUUCUUAAAAUGACUUAAUUCUUCUACAAUGCACCGAAAAAGUUAGGGUCAUAUAUGUCUUUGGAGUUAUAUGCAAAGUCACAUUUGACUUUAGGUUUAACUCUAGAGUUAAAAAUGACCACCACCUUAAUUACAAGAUACAAAUGUUCUAUAUGACUAAAUUUUGACUCAAUGUCUCUCUAAUGCACAAAAGUUAAAAGUUGAACAUGGAUUUACAUGCAUUAGAGAUAAUAAAACUUACCCCACCAUAUUUAGAGUCAAAUAUAACUUCACAACUUUUAAUUUUUUAUUUCUAAACUACUCAAAUAAUCUUUUGGAUUCAUAUUGUAAGAUAUCAACUACAUAAAUUACCAUCCCUGAAGAACCUCAACUUGGAUAGAGAGAUAAAUAUAAUAGGAAAAUAUCGAAUAUUCAAAAAGAAUUGGAAUUGGAAUUACCACUAUAUUGAUAAAUUUUGUUUACUCUGUGCCUGGAACUAAACUGAGAAGGGUUGUUUUACUGUCUUCCCAAAAUUAAGUUCGAGUAAUCACUGUGUCGAAGACAAAGUACAAUGUGAUAAUCUCCAUGGAUGAUGAGUCUGGAGGAUAGCAUCUUCGAUCUUCCUACCCAAAACCUGAAUGAAAAUAUUGCACCCCACCCAUGUUAAUAACUAAAUAGAAAAUAUUCUUAAAUAAUUUAUAGAUUGAUGGAAUUUUUUUUAUUUUUUAUUUAAAAAUAAACAAAACAAAUAUACGUCAUCCGGAGUCUCUAAAUAGUCAAUUUCAUAUUCCAUUCGUCAAAAGUAUAUAAGCUUUUCUUCAUUAAUGUGUUUGUGGUUUUAGUGAUUAGGAUUUUGUUCUACAAUAGAAGGUGUAAAUGGGUUUGAGAGCUUGAAAAAAAAAAAAUAUAUUAGGAUAUAGGUUAUCUAACUUUGGGGUGUUCAGAAACAAAAAACCAAAAAAAAUUUGUUUUAAAAACCUUAUGGAUUCUAAGCAGCCAUUUCAUAUUAGAGCAUGCAAGUCAUUUAGCAUUAACUUUUUACGUAGGGUGUAUUCAAUAAAUAUGUAGUGUAACAUCUCAAAUCUUCUAGGGGAGUGGAUCUUGUAAGCCUUAUAUGUAUAUUCUCAUCUCUACCUAGCACGAGGCCUUUUGGGAGCUCACUGGCUUCGGGUUCCAUAGGAACUACGAAGUUAAGCGAGAAUGGGGCCAUAGCAUUCCCAGGAUGAAUGACCCACUACGAACUUUUGGUCGCGUGAGUUCCCAAAAACAAAACCGUGAGGGUGUGGUCGGGGCCCAAAGCAGACAAUAUCGUGCUACGGCGAAGUCGAGCCUGGGAUGUGGUGGGGGCCUGGGCCGGGAUGUGACAUGUUGUAGGGUGCCAAUAAAACAACCCAAAUGAGAAUGAAGUUGAUUCUCAUUAAUAUAUAUAUAUAUAUAUAUAUAUAUAUAUAUAUAUAUAUAUAUAUAUUGGUGCUUUAGAUUUUGGCCCUUAUAAUUCAUAAUUUCUAGAUAAAAACCCAUCUACGUAUAAACGUCUAAUAAAAGCCCAAAUUUAAAAUCUGCAACCACAUCGGAACAUUAUUGACCUACUAAUACAAUUUAUUUACACCCAUGCCACUUUCUCAAAUCCCUAAAUUUAUUCCAAUUUAAAAGUUGUAAAAAAAGUGAAAUAAAAUAUAUAAACUGUUGUAUUGCAUUAAUUGUAUCCAUAUCAUACAAAAAAUUUACCUUAUAUAUAUAUAUAUAUAUAUAUAUAUUGCAUUAAUUGGGAAGUAAAUUAAUUUGUUCCAAUUAUUGUUGUAUAAAUAUAGGUAUGACAUAAUAAUUUCAAAAUAAUACAUCAAAUUACAUUUCUUCUUGUUAUGGGUAAAUUAUUCUCCAUGUAUUAGUGAGAAAAACAUAUUAUAUUACACACGGGGUAUAAUUUUUUUGUAGGUAAAUUAUUGGAAAUUAAUUUUGUCACAGCCCGUCCCGGAAAAUAAUUCUUGUUGACGUGAAAAGACGGAAAUACCCUCGGACGUUGAAUGAUGUGUGUAUGAAAUGUUUUGGUGUAAGUAUUUGGGAUUGGUGACCCAAUUAGAACUAAGAUUUUUCUUAGUUUUGGUUGGUGGCUUUUGGACCCCACACACACCCACCUACCCACUCUCUCUCUCUCUCUCCUUCCCGUGUUCUCUCUUUCUCAGACUCACUCUCUCUCUUCUCUCUUGUACGGACACAACCAUAAGCCUUUGCAAACAUGGCAGAUAGAAGAAGAAAAUGGUACCAUUGUGUUCCUAUGGUCCUCACGAGUUCAAAGGUACCAAAUAUAAGUAAGAUUACCUUCGAUUUCACGUCAAAUCACAAAACCCGAUUUGAGGUACUAUUCAUGCUCACGUAAAAUGUUGAUUUUUAGGGAAUUUAAAGGACAUAGGGAGCUUAAGGAGGUCCUUACGAAGCUCGGAGUACUUCAUUUGAAGAUUUUGGACGUCGGAAUAGUGAGAACGGAGAGUUUUAAAUCUGGCAGGAAUUAUCGAGGCUUUUUCCAGCCAAUUUCUGACGAGUCGAAGGUCAAGCCAGGUACUGUUUUGUUCAUCUUUGUGAGAUCUUCAUUUUGGUAUAAAGUACGUAGAAAAUGGUGCAAAAAUGAAGAAGAAACCAUAGUUAGAAAUUUUUCCAGUUUUCCGACGUCGACGACGGUCGCCGGAGUUCUGAAGAAGGAGACGACGAAAUAUUCCGUCAAGUCUGAUGGAAUAUUCUGAUGCCGUCAGUUAGUUCGGAUGGAUUCUGUUAGGGCUUAACAGAAUAUUCUCAGAAUAUUCCUAACUGAUGCCGUCAGUGUGCCUGCCACAUGGCCGCGCGUGGGGGACGCGUCUGGCCGUGCCAUUGUCGGCGCGUGGGGGCGCAUGAGGCUUCCAAAAAUUUAUCUAAAAAUUUGGGGAUGAUCCUGAGGUUGUGUAGGUCACUGUGGUAUAUUCAUAUACCCAAUUUGAGCAAUAUAUGAGAAGUUAUUACCUAUUGUUGGUUAUGUGCGUUAAAUAACAUUUAUUCGAUUAUUACGCCUAUAGGUGAGGCCUAUUCUCGGGACGAGCGUAAUCAAUCGAGGCUCAGGGGCUACGACCCAUUGACAUCUCAGUGAGUGGGCAGUUAUUUUCAGUAUAUAUAUACUUGACGUUUUUCCCAGAAAACGUAUUUAAAGGAAAUGCAAUUUAAAUGCCAUGCCAUAAAUGCCAUGCAUAUACAAUUAUGUUUCGUACAUGAAUUGGUGUGUGAUACCUUAUAUAUAUAAAUGUGGUGUUGUGGAGGCACAUGUAAGUUCAGGUAAGUUGUGUUUGGUUAUGUAAAUCAUCGAUGAUGCGAUAUGCGAUUGAGAAGCAUUAGCUCAUAAACUUGCACCCAGGGUGAUUGCGAUUUAGCCAGAGAGAGAGUUGGCACAGACUUGUAUAUCAUGUCACCUCUCGCACCAUAUGCUCUCAUUGGAUCCAAUUAGGUGCACAGUCUUGUCGUACAGACCACUAUAAGUGGUUCCGACUCGUAGGUGACUAAUGUAUUAUCGCACAUCUAGCAUUGAGAGAGUAGAAUUGAGCAUAAUUAUAUUACACCCAACCUUGUCGUACAAACUCUUUUUAGUGGUUCUGACUUAUGUGUAGUAUAUUGUCGUAUAGGUCAUUAUAGUGACUCUGGCUAGAUUGACUAUUGAGCUAUAAACUUAGCCGUACAGACCACCUCAGGGGUUCCGGCUAACAUAUCAUAUUUCUAUGAAAUUAUUCUUACCUGAAUUGUGUACUUUGUUAUAUAUUGGCAUGGCAUGCAUAUGUUUAUGAAUGUGUAAAGCAUGAAUUGAAUUGAAAUGAUAUAUUUAUAUACUUAUUUAUGUAUUCUAAUUUCUGGGAAAAUAAUCAUAUACUUGUUUUACGACGAGGGGUUCAUAUACUUGUUUUACGACAAGGGGUUAGUAUAUUCAAAGGAAAAUAAGGUUUUCGUGUAAAUGUGUUUUACUGACUCAUUCAACUUUGUUUUUUUCGCCCCUCCAGGUCUUAGAUAACAGAGUUUGGUGGCCACGAGGAAUCCAACGGUGUUAUGACAGAAUCCAAAAACGUAGGAUUCACCUUCGGGUGUUGUAUUUAGCAAUCAUCCCUUGACUGCAACUAGACUUUCUUCUUGCUCUGAAAGUGUAUGUACACUUAAAUCCUCACUAGCAUCCUUUCUUAUUGGGAUUGUUAGUUGAUUGGUUUUAAAUUGUUAGUUUUUCUCUUACUUUUUAUCACUUCCGCCUUGUGCACAUGGCUACGUCACUCUCACGUGACGGCCAGCACGUCUUGACUUUGGUCGGGGUGUGUCAAAUUUGUUCCAAUUAUAUAAAAAAUAUAUAUACUACACCUUGAUUAUAUAUAUAUAAUUUUCUUUUUGAGAAAACCUAGAUUAUAUAUUUUGAAUCAAAUAACAUUUUUGUAUACAUGGUAGCUAGGUAAAUUAUUUUUCAUUUAUUAUUACAUAUAUUAGCCUAUUAGGGACCUUUUUUUGGUAAAAAUAUAUAAAGUAAUAUGUAUAUGAUUGUUUGUAGGUAAAAAGAUAAAAUCAAAAGCAUGAUCCAAUUCCUAUGUUUAUGCAAUAUUUUGUUGUUGGUAUACAAUAUUUUGCAUCAUUGAAAAUGAACAUUUCAAAUAGUAGGUAGGUAAAUUAAUAUGGCCUAAUUAUAUAAAUACACGCGUGAGCACACACGCACACACACACACACACACACAUACAUUUUGAAUCAAAUAACAUUGUUGUACAUGGUAGGUAAAUUACUUUUUUUUUUUAUGUAUAAACAUUUAUUAGGUUUUUUUUUUUAGUAAAAUUAUAUAUAUGAACUUAUAAUGCCAGAUGCAUGGAAUUAAGCCAACAAUUCUCAUAUUUGAUAUUAAUAUGCAAUGAAUUUUUUUUAACAUUAAUGUCUUAGUUUCUUAUUUUUCUUUUUGUAAAAUCAUUAACUCUCUCCUUACAAUUUGCAUGGAAUUAAUUGUGCACAUCAAAUAUGCGAUAGGAGUAUUUUAAGCAUCUAAAAAAUGUAAAAUGUGUAAGUUAAUAUGUAAUUAAUGAAUUCACUUAGGUGGAUCCUAGUCACUGAGUUUUUGAGUAAAAAAAAUUAUGUCGGGUUUUAUAUGAAAAAAAUUGAAUUUUAGGGAUUAAAAUCAUAUUUUCAGUUUUUUUUUUAAUUUUUUUUAUAGCAAAUAUUUGUUUACCAACUUCUACAAUGAUAUUCAGUUAGUUCGCUACCAAAUUACUUUUUCUCCACAAAUAAGAAGAAGAAAAAAUCAUUUAAGUUUUUAUUACAAGUCAUAUUAUUAUUUUAAGCUAAGAUAAGGGGAGAUGAAUGAUAUGAAUUCAGAACGUUGUGAGUUGAAGAAAAUGGCCUUGUUUCCAUAACAAUUCACUACUUAGUAUUUUAGAAUAAAACUAGAAAUUUGAUAAAUGUAGUGGACACUUAAAAAUCUCAUUUUACACUAAAAAAAAACACUUUAGUCUUUAUUAUAUCCAUACGGGCUGGGGAUGAGCUAUUAUUAUCAUCAUCGCAAAUACCAAAUUAACGUGAGGACGCAGAGAUGUAGGACAUCUGCAAUUUUGACUCAGAAAACAAAGGCUUGCAUAUGGAUAUAUAUCUCUCUCUAGUCUCUACAAAUAUAAAAAAUAAAGAAUAAAAGAUUCCAGGUCAUGGUCCUCCUUACUUAAACAAUCAAAUUGUUCAGGUCCAACCAAAACACUCACCCACCACGACACUUUCUGCGUGCUUUCUUCAACGUUUCUGUACCCUCUACAUUGAUGCAUUCAUGACUUGUUUGUAUCUAUCUUCUAUGAGAUCAGAUUUGAUUAUGAUAUGGUUUUCUCUUACAUGCACACACUCACAUUACAUAUAUAUCGUUUAAUUCAAUCGUCGAAGAUAAUCGAACUCUUGGCUCAAUCUAAUCUUAGUUCGUUUCGCUAUCUGUAUCACAUAUCUUCAGCGACCAAAGAAAAAAUUUAGCAAGCCGUGUGCCAUGUUAUGCUACCGAAUUUAAUCAUAAUUUUUUUUUAUUAACAGGGGAGUGAUGAUCCAAACUAGAAUUUUCUUUUAAUAUGAAAAAUGAUAAAUAUCACUAAACUAAAGGCUAGUUAAUUGCCGUCAAAAUCAUUGGUGGACUACAUAAUAGUGUACCAAAUACCUUUGAAAGGCAACAAUUAAUAUUUCUCUUUUUUUCGGUUAACUCUCUUACUUGUAAUAUAUUACUUAUACAAUUAGCAUCCAAGGGACGUCCAUUUCAUGUAGCCUUAUCAAUAAAAGUUACCUUUUUUUGCAAGUCAUUACUUCAAAUCAGUAGACAACCUGCCGAAAGAGAUCAGUUUGGGUCUUGCUUAAUUUGGACAACUAUGUCAUCUGUUAUAUUCAUCAUGUUGACUAUGUCAUCUGUUAUAUUCAUCAUGUAUUGACUUGUCUCACCCUUUCUUUGCGACAUAUCAAAGAAACUUUUGCCUGAUCAUAUUAUAAUUAGUUGAUAAAGAAUAAUUAAUAUGAAAUGAAAUUUUUGUUCCUCCUCCUUAGUGUAAAUAAUAUCGUUUUUUUUAAUAAAUAAAUAAAUUGGUAAACGGUAAGAGGGAAGAGGGAUCCAUGAGGAUUGAACCCACAUCAACGUGCAUAGGUAAUAUUACGUGGGUUAAUUGUUAAAUGUUAUAGGGGAGAAGAAUCAGUAAAGAUCGAAACCAUAUCAAGGUGAAUAAAUAUUAUUAUUUUCUGUCACUACGAUAAAUCGUCAUGUGCUAAUAUCAAAUGAAAUUUCAUUUUACGUUUUUUAUACUUUUUAUUGAAACAAUUAUUUGAGCAUAAUAGGAGGUGGCUUUGGCUUCUCGCAAAAUCCUUUUGGCCAAUCGAACAGUUUUUAUUUAUUUAUUUUUGAAUAAACGAUAUUAUCUACAUUAAGGGGUGAGCUUAACAUUACAAUAGGCUAGCAAUAAUGUGGUUCAAUUCACUCUGGCGAGAAUUGAACCUAAGACAUCUCGCUUACAAGUAAAGAGGAAUACGACUAGACCGCACUACUAAGUGGCGGUCAAUCGAACAGUUACAUCCUUAGAUAAAUUGAUACCUGUUAUGGGGGGGGGGGGGGGGGGGGAGGGGGGGGAACUAUGUACACCACUUGGCUCUAACUUGUAAUUACUAAUUACAUUGCGAAUUAAAUGUUAAAAAUUAUAUUUCUAACAAGAAAUCAUGAUACUUUGGCUGCUUCAUAAAACUAGUGAGAUAUACGGAUUAGUUUUUUUAUAUUAUGCAAGAAAGACGAUGGUAUUAAAACUAAAACCUUCUCACUGUUGUUAGAAAAGCUUUUUUUUUAUUGUACUAAAAAUAGUUGUACUCCAGGAUCCUCUAGUUAAUUAAUUUUACUAUACUACAAAAAAACAAGUAUUAAAAGUGAACCUUCAAGUACAAGAAACAUCUUGGAGGAGGACAAUAUGAAUAAUGAGGCUUAUUAUACAAAAUAGUCUCUGAGAUUUGCAUGAUCAAUAGAAAUGGUCCCUGAGAUUGAAAAUCAAUAGAAAUGGUCCAUGAGAUUAUCCACCAUCCAUGAUUUUGGUCAUUCCGUUAAAAAAAAUUUGGGCAAUUUUUAAAGCUUCGUAACUCUCGAUUCUUAACCAAAUUCGACCCAUAAUAUACCAAACUGAAGAUAAGAAAGUGUAUAACAAGAUUAUACCUAUUUGGAAGCCCAAUGAUUGCCGGAGAUGGCCGAAAAAUAGCCUAAAAUGUGACUGGUCCGCGGGAAAACUGGAAAACUCGCCGGAAACUGGGUAAACUUUAAAUGUUCAUAACUUCUUCAAUACUCAACAAAAUCAAGUGACUCAAAAAUGAAAAUCAUACUUCUUGACGAGACGAAUAUAAUGGCAUCUUUUUAGACUUCUAAAUCACCGUUGUUUGGUUGAAAAACUUCUCGAAAGUGGCUAACAAUUUUCGAGCCAUUGUCCGACCAAACCACGGUGAUUUAGCCUUUGAAAAAGGUACUAUUCUUUUUGUCUCGUCAAUAAGUAUGAUUUUUGUUUUUUAAUCACUCGCUUUCAUUGAGUAUUGAAGAAGUUAUGAACAUUUAAAUUUUACCCAAUUUCCGGCGAGUUUUCCAGUUGUCCCGCGGACCAGUCACCUUUCAGGCUUUUUUCUCCGGCAACCAUUAGGCUUCCAAAUAUGUAUAAUCUUGUUCUACACUUUCCUAUCUUCAUUUUGAUAUAUUAUGGGUCGAAUUUGGUUAAGAAACGAUUGAGUUACAAAGCUUUGAAAAUUGCCCAAAGAAUUUUUAACGGAAGGACCAAAAUCAUGGAUGGUGGACAAUCUUAGGGACCAUUUCUAUUGAUCAUGUAAAUCUCAGGGAUUAUUUUGUAUAAUAACCCUCCUAUAUAUUAUACCAUAUAUGUAAAUAAGUUAUAAUUUUUUUAAGUUCCAUCUUACGAAACUUGCCUCGACAUAAUACUAAUUUUUAAUAAAUUAAAAAAUAUGUCUUAUUAUGACAAAUAAAAAGUUUAGAUAAAACAAAAUACUUUUCUAAAUAUGCACUAGCUUUUAGAAAUUAGAGCAUCUGCAAAUGAGAUGUCAAAGAUGUCAGAUAGACACAAAUGAAUAUUUUUAUAGCAAAAGCGGCUCCAACCAAUGAGCCAAUGUUGACUUGAAUUGGAGGUGCUCCCAGAGUAAAAAAUGACUACCAGGAUCCUUUUUGUAGGGAUCUGGGGAUCAAUCAAUCGUGUCCAUUCAUCGUACAUCGUGCGAUCAGUUUUUGUUAAGCACUAUUUAUAUUCAAUUUUAAAUAAAAAAAAUUCAAAAUAAUUUCUAAUUGCAUGAUGUACGAUGAACAAAUACGAUUGAUUGAUCUUUCGGAUCCCCACAAAGAGAAUCUGGAGAGAAUCCUAUUCCAAAAAUGACAGCAAAAGAGGUUGAUGCGAAAUUAUUUUAAUUUAAUUAAAGGUAGGACUCACAAUAAAUACAACCCUUUUUUUUGUAUCAGAAUAAAUACAACCUAUUUAAUUUGUUUCUUUGAAGCUGUUACUUUCCACCUUUUUAAUAAAUAACUCAUAAGCCACUUAGUACUAGGUCUAGUGGUAUUUCUCUUCACUUAUAAGUGAGAGGUCUUAGGUUCGAUUCUGGUCUCUUAUGACGCUUAGCCUACUCACCCACCCCCUCAGUGUAGACAAUAUUGUUGUUAAAAUAUAUAUAUAUAUAUAUAUAUAUAUAUAUAUAUAUAUAUAUAUAUAUAUAUAAACUAAAACAUUUUGACAUAUCGGGUUGAGUAAGAAGUUUAGCAUGGUGCCAAGUUUCCUUUUAAGCCAUCAAAUUUAAAUUUGAUAUUCUGCAUUUGACAUCUACUUUAGAGAUGCUCUUAGGUGUCUUACUUUAUUCAAUUUUAUAUCUUGAAAAUUGACAUGAUCCACUACUAAUACAGUUUCAUGUAUUUAAAUAAGUGUCAUUAAGGAUAACUAAGUCAUUUUUUAUUUUAACUACACUGCUAAUAUAUAAUAACUUUCCUAUAAUUAUAAAAUUAAUUUGAUCUUAACAUUAUGACUAUACAGAAUGUCACAUCCCGGCCCGAGGCCAUACCACAUCCCGGGCUCAAUUCCGCCGUAGCACGAUAUUGUCCGCUUUGGGCCUCGACCACGCCCUCACUGUUUUGUUUUUAUGAACUCACACGAGAACUUCCCAGUAGGUCACCCUUCAUGGGAUUGAAGUCGCUGCGAACUCACUUAAUUUCGAAGUUCUAAUGGAACCCGAAGCCAAUGAACUCCCAAAAAACCUCAUGCUAGGUAGAGAUGGGAAUAUACAUAUAAGGCUUACAAGAUCCACUCCCUUGGAUGAUGUGGGAUGUUACAAUCCACCCCCCUUAGGGGCCUGACGUCCUCAUCGGCACACUUCCGACCAGAGAUUGGCUUUGAUACCAAAUUGUCACAUCCCAACUCGGGCCCCCACCACAUCCCAGACUCGACUCCACCAUAGCACGAUAUUGUCUGCUUUGGGCCCCAACCACACCCUCAUAGUUUUGUUUCUGGGAACUCACACGAGAACUUCCCAGUGGGUCACUCAUCCUGGGAUUGUUCUCGCUGCGAACUCGCUUAACUUCGGAGUUUCGACGGAACCCGAAGCCAGUGAGCUCUCAAAAGGCAUCGUGCUAGGUAGAGAUUGGAAUAUACAUAUAAGGCUUACAGGAUUCACUCCCAUGAACGAUGUGUGAUAUUACACAGAAUUUCUAAUGCAUUGCUUUGAAAAAGUAGGUCAAUGAGUGUAGUGAUUAACUGUGGAAAUAUAUUUUCAAAGAGAGGGUUUGUACAAAACAAGUCAUGCAUACAUGCAUCAAAUAUAAUUAUACCUCAUCUGAAUGAUUGUUUGAUACGGAUCGAUCCUAUUUCUAUAACUAUGAUGUCUUCUAAAUUGCAUCGAAGUUUUGAGUUCAUAUAUAUACGCAAAAAUCAGGCACUUUGAAUUUAUUUUUAAAAUACUAUUGCAACUGUUGUGUACUCUGGUAGAGGUACUUUAUAUAUAGGAAAAAUUAGUAUCUAGUCUUUAGUUACUAAUGUUCAUUUACUGAAAUUUUAUUAGUUUUUAGAUUUUGAUCCAAGUCCGUAGCAUUAAUGUAAUAAUUUAUUUACAUGUCAGUUACAUAAUUUUUUAAAAUAAAAAUUAAUAAGUUAUUUAGAAUUUUAAUAUUCACACCUUUAUUAAACUUCUAAUUAAUUUUCAAUUCAAAACAUUUUCAAAAUAUAAAAAAAAUUAGAAUAAGUUUGUACCCAUUAGUUUUUUUAAAAAAAUGUUUACCCAUUCAUGUAAUUUUUUGCAAAUUUUUAAACUUAAAAUGUAUUCUUACAUAUACCGAUUUCUUAUAUGUAAAAUGUACCCUCUUUUUAUAUAAAAUAUAUUCAAUUUUUUUCUGAUUCAUAUUUAAACUUAUAUGGGUACAUUCUUUUUUCUUUGAUUUGAGAAUGUAUCUAUGUCAAGUUUAACCGAAGAAAUUUACUAAUAUUAUUAAGCCUAAUAUGUCACAUCCCGGCCUGGACCCCACCACAUCCCGGGCUCGACUCCGCCGUAACACGAUAUUGUCCGCUUUGGGCCCCGACCACGCCCUCACGGUUUUGUUUUUGGGAACUCAUACGAGAACUUACCAAUGGGUCACCCACCAUGGAAUUGCUUUUGUGCAAACUCGCUUAACUUCGGAGUUCCAAUGGAACCCAAAGCCAGUACUCCCAAAAGGCCUCGUGCUAGGAAGAGAUAGGAAUAUACAUAUAAAGCAUAGAGGAUCCACUUCCCUAGACGAUGUGGGAUGUUAAAAUCCACCCCCCUUAGGGGCCCGACAUCCUCGUCGGCACACAUCCGGCCCUGAUACCAAAUUGUCACAUCCCGACCCGGGCCCCCACCACAUCCCGAGCUCGACUCCGUCGUAGCAGGAUAUUGUCUACUUUGGGCCCUGACCACACCCUCCCGGUUUUGUUUUUGGGAAUUCACAUGUGAACUUCCUAGUGGGUCACGCAUCAUGGGAUUGCUCUCACGCAAACUCGCUUAACUUCGGAGUUUCGAUGUAACCCGAAGCCAGUGAGCUCCCAAAAAGCCUCAUGCUAGGAAGAGAUGAGAAUAUACAUAUAAGGCAUAGAUGAUCCACCCCCUGGGCGAUGUGGGAUGUUACAAUCCACCCCCUUAGGGGCCCGACGUCUUCGUCGGCACACAUCCGGCCAAGGAUUGGCUCUUACCAAAUUGUCACAUCUCGGCCCGAGCCCCCACCACAUCCCGGGCUCGACUCCGUCGUAGCACGAUAUUGUCCACUUUGGGUCCCGACUACGCCCUCACAGUUUUGUUUCUGAAACUCACACGAGAACUUCAGAGUUCCGAUGUAACCCGAAGCCAGUGAGCUCCCAAAAUACCUCAUGCUAGGAAGAGAUGGGAAUAUACAUAUAAGGCAUAGAGGAUCCAGCCCCUGGGCGAUGUGGGAUGUUACAAUCCACCCGGGCUCGACUCCGUCGUAGCACGAUAUUGUCCAUUUUGGGUCCCGACUACGCCCUCACGGUUUUGUUUCUGGGAACUCACACGAGAACUUCGGAGUUCCGAUGUAACCCGAAGCCAGUGAGCUCCCGAAAUGCCUCAUGCUAGGAAGAGAUGUGAAUAUACAUAUAAGGCAUAGAGGAUCCAGCCCCUGGGCGAUGUGGGAUGUUACAAUCCACCCCCCUUAGGGGCCCGACGUCUUCGUCGGCACACAUCCGGCCAGGGAUUGGCUCUUAUACCAAAUUGUCACAUCUCGGCCCGGGCCCUCACUGUCACAGCCCGUCCCGGGAAUUAUAUAUCGGGGACGUGAAUUGACGGGUUUACCUUUGACGUUACUAAGGUAUGUGUGCGUAACGUUAUUUGGGUUAAAUUAUUAUAAGUUUUGGGGAUAAUCGGGUUUGCAUUUUUGUUUGUAUGGUUAGGAUGAAAAUGGAUGGUGUGGAUUAGUUUGGACCACACACAGGACCUCUCUCUCCCUCUCCUUCCCCGUGUCUUCUCUGUCUUUCUCCCUCACGAUCUCUCACACUCCCACACACCCAAAACGUACGGCACACACACAAAUCCUCCAAAAACUCGACGGAUCGAGGCAACCAAGGUAUGCAUCUUCAUCCUUUUGACGUUCUGAGUUCAUUGGUACUAGUUUUAGGAAGUGAAACCUUCGAAAUCACGUGGAACCCGAACCUCCAUUUUUGAGUUACUGUUCAUGCACACGUAAAAUGUCGUGUUUCAGGGAAUUCUAAGCUUAUAGUGAGCUUAGUGAGGUCCCAAGGAAGCUCGGAGUGCUUCGUUGGAAGGAUUUGGACGUCGGGAUCACGUGGUUCCAUUUUGACCGAAUUUCUUGGGAAUUUUCCAGUGAGAUUUCUUGAUUUUUAGAGCCUUAAACUAGUCUAUCAUGAUUCUUCAUGUUUGGGGCUUCAAUUUGGUAUAAAAUACGAAGAAAAUGGGUGAAAAACGAAGGAGAACGAAGAGUUUUAAAACUCGCCGGAAAACGGCCGCCGAAAAAACCAGUCCGGCGAGCCAAGGAAGAAGGAGAUGCGCGUGGGGGGCGCGUGGACCCGUGCCACGCGCGGCGCGUGGGGGCGCGUGAGACCUCCAAAAAAUUUUCUAAAAAUUUCUCGACGCUCGUGACGUCGAGUAGGUCGAUGUGGUAUAUUCAUAUACCCAAUUUGAGCAUCGUAUGAGAAGUUAUUUCGAAAAAUUGGUGAUGUGUUUAAAAUUAACGUUUUUAUAGUUGUUUCGCAUAUAGGUGACACAUAUCCCGAGGACGAGCGCAUCCAGGGACGCCACGGGGGUUACGACCCGUCGACUUAUCAGUGAGUGGGCAGUUUUGAUUUCGUAUUUACCUAUAUACAUUUAUUUUCCCAGAAAAUACGUUUUUAUGAAAGUUAUGAAUUUAAUUGCCAUGCAUGAAAUUAUUGAAAUAUCUAGCUUAAGUAUUGAUGCAUAUAUAUAUGAAAUUACGCGGUGGACGCUCAGGUGAGUUUAUUUAUUAUUCAGCUGGGUUAUUUAUGUGAAUUGCAUUGAAAGCUCAUAACCUGCACCUAGGUGAUAAUGCUUAUAUUGUUAUUCACCACACCGCACGCUCGUCUUGGAUCCAAGUAGGUGGAUGUCGUAUAGACCAUGUGAGGGUUCCGACAUGCUAGUUGUACAGAUCACUAGAUGUGAUUCCAACUAGUGGGUGACCUUAGUUAUGCGCGCUGAUGAUUGAUGUGAGAAGCACUAGAGCGUAUUCAUACACCUGUCAUCGUACAGACUACUAUAUGUAGUUCCGAGUGACGUGCAGAGUUGAACCGUACAGGUCACCGAGGUGACUCCGGUUGGAUUGGAUGUUGAGCUUUAGAAUCAGCCGUACAGGACCAUUGUAGGGUCUCCGGUUGAUUUAUUAUUCACCUAACUAUUUUUUAUGCAUUCUGAUUAUAUUUUGGGCUUGGUAUAUCAUUUCUGAGAUAUUAUGAUGAUGAAUAUAUGUUGAGUUAUGAGGUUGCCUAUAUAUAUAUAUGUUAUAUACUAUUUUCUGGGAAAGUAUACAGGUUUUACGGCGAGGGGAUAGAAUUGUUUUUAAUGAACCGUUUUGGAAAACUAUUUGAUUUUACUGACCCACUCAAUUUUGUUUUGCGCCCCUCCAGGUUCUAGUUAGCAGUUGGUGGCUCUCGAGGUCUCUUUUCCGGCAUUCUAACAGACUCUUGACAUGUAGGACUCACCUGAGGGUGAUGUAAUUUUAUUUUAGUCCUACUUGACUGCACUUAAACCUAUGCUCUGAAUUCACCUGUUUGCUUUAUAAUCCGUCCUGUUAUAUCUAGUAGGUUGUUCUGCUAGAGUUUGGUUUGAAUUCCUUCUUAUGUAUGUUAGUGUUUUGCUUCCGUGUCGCGCUUAUGGUUACGUCACACUAACGUGACGGCCAGCAUGCCUUGAUCCUCUGGGUCGGGGUGUGUCAGUUUGGUAUCAGAGCCAGGUUUCGAUCCUGGGACCUGUGGGUUAUGGGCCCACCACGCUUCCGCUGCGCCGACUACCAUGAGUUUUUCGAGAUUUUGGUCAGGAUGGAAGACUCUGAUAAUCUUCCCAGUGAGAGUGACGAUGACGAGGAUAAGAAUGACGGUCAGAAAAAUGAUGAUAAAGGUAAAGGUAUUACAAUUCCCGGGACGGGCUGUGACACCCACCACAUCCCGGGCUCGACUUCGUCGUAGCACGAUAUUGUCCACUUUGGGUCCCGACCACACUCUCACGGUUUUGUUUCUGGGAACUCACACGAGAACUUCCCAGUAGGUCACCCAUCAUGGGAUUGCUAUCGCAUGAACUCGCUUAACUUAGGAGUUCCGAUGGAACCCGAAACCAGUGAGCUCCCAAAAGGCCUCGUGCUAGGAAGAUAUGAGAAUAUACAUAUAAAGCAUAGAUGAUCCACUCCCCUAGGCAAUGUGGGAUGUUACAUAAUAUCUUAUUCUUCUUUUUCUUUUUGUGAUUUUGAAGAAUGUACCCAUGUUUUGGUAUAAUAAUUUUUUGCUUAAUUUUGAUAAAUGUACUCAUGUUUAUACACACACACACACACACACACACAAUAGUAUAUUUAUAUUUCAAUAUUUUUAAUCUCACAAAUUAUUGUUUUUUAUUUAAAAUCUCAUUAAUAUAAGAAACUAUAAAUUUCAAUUUUUAAUUUAAAAAAUAUAGUAACAUACAUAGAAAUAAAUUAUCACAUUAAUUUCAGGAAUUUCGAUAAAAAUUGAAAACCAAUAAGGUUUCAAUAAAAAAACUUCAUGUUAGGAACCGCAUCAAAAAUCUUCCUUAUAUAUAUAUUACUUUUGAAACCUAUCUACUUAUUUCAAAAAGUUAAUUCCUACGAAACAAAUAUUUAAGACCGAAACUAAAAAAAAUAAAAAAAAAUAAAAAAAUAAAAAAAUAAUAUAAAAAAGAAGCUUAAAUAGAUGACAAGGCAUGCUGCAAUACAAACAAGAAGGGACCAGUGAUAUAUUCCCUUUGACUGUCUCCAAUUUGAACCAAUUCAAUGUCGACAAAUUUUAGUCUAGCUCAAUCUCGCGAGACUCUUAUCUCAUAUGAUACCCACAGCCUCUGCAAAAUUUUAUUUUUUUUUAUUUUUUUUAAUUUGGUUUGAGUGUUAAAAAAAAAUUAAUAAUUAAAUUUAGGGGUGUGAUAUCCACACACUAUAUUUUAUUUCUCACACAUCUUUUUAAUUUUCAGUCAUCGAAUUGGAUGAAUUGAAAAAGAUCAACGGACAGAAAUUAACAAGGGGUGUGUGAGAAGUAAAAUGGGAUGUGUGGAUAGCACGUCUCUUAAAUUUAAACUAGCGGCCGGUUUGUACGAAGAAAAUAAAAAAUAAAAACAUGUGCCUAACAUUAAGGUGCACCGGCUGCGACGGUGAAGUAACAAGAAGACUACCAAAGUCGGCGGACCCUACAAAGUCAGCAAUAUCAAGCUAUAUGAUUCUUCAUGAAAAUUGUCACCCUUCGAAGCAUAAGAAGUAUCAAAAAAUGCCACCUAAUAUUUGCAUUGUUUAUGCACUUUGGUCAAGCCGGCCGACCUAAUUAAGCAUAUUAUAAAUAAUUAUUGUAGAAAAAGUUUUGAACCUAAUAGCUAUGUGCUUAAUUUGCAGUUCGAUUAGUGAUAUUAAUUAGGGUUGAAGCACACUUAUACUACCACAUCAUGAAAAAUUUAUGUUGUCAAAAUGUGGGAGGACCACAAGAAAACCCAACUUCUUUUGUAUUUUUAAAUCAGCACUUGUGUAAGAUAAGUUAUAUAUAUUGACACGAAUACACUUUAAUCUUUACAGCUAUACAUGUUGAAUUUUUAUAGUGAACUUGGAAAAAUAGGUAUGGUCAAAACAAUAAAGCGAACGUUAGCAUUAGUUACAUAAGCGAGUUUAAUUAGCCAAAUUAACUAGUACGAAUAUGAUUCUCAUGCACUUAAAGUUUGAAAAACUUUUCCUGUGAUUUGGAUUAGAAUAGAGCACAAUAUCGUCAUUUCAGAAUAAUAAAAUAUGUUAGCAUUAGUCCUACUAAAUGUUUUAUCAAUUGUUUAAUCAAGAAGUUUUACGGUAGAUUUACAACAUAUUAUUCAAUCGUUAAAAACUGUGUGCAUAUUCAAAUUUGACUUAUUUCUAUCCAAUGUAGGAUUAAACGUUAACUUGCAUGUUUUGUUGCAGAUUCAGACACUGCAAGUCUGCAAUGCAGUUUUUGUUUUGUGGUUCUGUUUUUCUGUGCAUUCAAGUGGAUGUUUGAUUAGUUAGUUGAAAAAAUUUUUAUGGACCUUUCAAAUUUUAUAAUUGUGUAAUUUGAUUAUAAUAAAGAAAAAACUGUAAUGCAGGAUUUACAAAUUCUGCAUAACAUAAAUUGCAAUGCAUUGUCUAAAUCUGUAUUGACCUAUUUCAAAAUAUAAAAAAAUAUGAGAAAAGGGUGUCAGCUACCCUAUGUGCCAGCUGGCAUAUUUUAUAAUUUAUGUUUAUCUUAGAUGCAUUUAUAUAACAUAAUAUAUGAUUAACCUAUUUAUAAUUGGAUAAAACUUGUGUUAUUCCCAUAGGGGAACCUACUUGUCUCCCACCAAUGAUUAACGUAUCUUCAAUGUAUGAACUUCAUAAUAGGAACCAUUCAUUCUUUUUAUCAUCAACCAAAGAUCACAUUUGCAAAAAAUCAUUCAAUUUGAAUAUCGUUUAGCCGUCAAUACGUGUCAAAACAAUCAACGGUUUUGAUAACAAUUAACACCCUAAUUAAUUAUGAACCUUCUAUUUGUUUGAUGCAUAUGAAUGGCUAAAAUGUAUCUUAAUUGAAUGAUUUUUUCACAAAUGAGAUGUUUGCAUGAUUAUAAAAAGAAUGAGCGAUUCCAAUUAUGAAGUUUGUAUGUCAAAACUACAUUAAUCAUAAGUUAGGGAACAAGUAGGUUCCCACAUAGGGUGAACACAAGCAAUAUCUUUUAUAAUUAACAUAAAUAUAUGUUGAUAUAUUGUUAAUAUUGUAACUUUGUAUUGGUUUAAUAUAAAGUCGCCAUUUUCUUUAUUGACCGUCCUUGAUUUCUUGAAUUUGAAAGUUAGAAAUAAACUAGUAUUAUAGGAGGAGAAAAAGUGUAAUAAAAUUACUCGAAGUAAAAAUCGGUUUGUAAACCAAUUUUAAAUUUAAUUAUCGAUGGCUCAUAUUUAUUUUUGUUUGAACUAUUUUAAAGUUUCAAUAAUAUUCUUUAUAAUCUCUCUCUGGAUUUAGGAUGAACCAUCUCCUCAUGUCAAUGGACAACAUUCAUGUCCUUCCCCCAUAAUGAGGGGGUCCAUAUCUCCCCUCUAUUUUCAACAUGAGAGCUUCUUUAUUUUGUUUUUUGCUCCUCAGAUUCCUUUUUGCAUUGAUGAACCUGUUGGCAUAGGGAUAUAAAAAGUUUAUGGAUUCAGAAAAUUUAGAGAAAAAAGAGAAGAAAAAUAUGGUCCUGCAAUAAUACUCAGUACAGUGAAAGAUCACUACAUAAUUCACAUUGCUGGUAUUUGCUCAUUGGUAACCAUCCCUUCCCGGCCUACUUGAUAAUUAAAACUGAAAAUAUAACUUUAGCUCUUAAAACUUAAUUUUUUCCACAUAAAAUCUGACAUAGGUUUUUUACUUGAAUAAAACCCAUUAACUAGAUUCCACAUCAACAAAUUCAUUAAUUAUAUUUGACUUCACAAAUUUAAAAAUUCCGAAUGCCUAAAAUACCCCUAUUUGAUUUAUUUUUAUUGAUAAACCUUAUUGGGAAGUUUGAUGUACAUAAUUAAUGUCAUGCAGAUUGUAAGGAAGAAUUAAUGAUUUUACAAAAAGAAAAAAAAACCACUAACGUUAUAAAUUCAUUGCCUAAUAUAUAAUAACAUAAAACAUGUCUAAUAUAUGUUAUUAUACAAGCUUAAUUAAGUCAAUAAAAUUAUAUUUUACAUAUUAAUGUAGAUAAAUUAUUUCACAUACACAUAUAUACAUAUAUAUAUGUAUAUAAAUGCCUGAUAUAUGUAAAAUUCAUGUAAAAUAAUUGAGCUACAAAAAAUAAAAACAUUUGAUUCAAAUAGUGCACCUACUAUUAAAAUUUUAAAAUGUUAGAUUGCUUAAAAAAAAAAAAAUUUACCCAAGAUAUGUAAAAUACAUGAAAAAUAAUUUACCUACAUAAUAACAAACCCAAUAUAUGCAAAAUACAACCAAAAUAAUUUAAUAAAAUGUGUCAAAUAUAUAUAUAUAUAUAUAUAUAUAUAUAUGAUAUUGAUACAUACAAAAUAAAAUACCUACAUAACAAAAGAAUGCUAUUUGAUUCAAAAUUAAUUUACUUACAAAAUAAAGCAAGGUUAGUUGAUUCGAAGUUAAUUUGCCUAUUAUUUGUACAUAUCUUAUAAUAAUAAAAUGUGUCAAAUAUAUGUAAUAAUAUAUGAACAAUAAGUUACCUACAAAAAUAAAAGAAUGUUAUUUGAUUCAUUAUUAAUUUACCUACAAAAUAUAUAUUAUUUGCUAAUCAUAAAUUUACAUAUAUAGGUAAGACAUAUGGUAGUACUUAUUGGUAAAUUAUAUAUAUAUUGAAUUAUAGUAAUACUAUAUACUUUUCACGUAUGUGUGUCUAUAUAUAUAUAUAUAUGUAUGUAUGUAUAUAUAUAUGUGUGUGUGUAUGUAUAUAUAUAUAUGUGUGUGUGUGUGUGUGUGUAUAUAUAUGUAUAUGUUAGGGGUAAUAGUAUGUGCAAUAAUUAUUUGUUCAUUGUAAUUAAGGUGAGUAACAACAUUUAUUGAUUUGACUUGAAUAUUGUGGCACAAGUUGUAAAUAUUUUGUAAUAAUAGGUCAAUUACUUUUUUACUUGGUAAUCUUUUUCAAAUUUGGGUUUUAUUUGGAUGUUUAGAAUUAGGUGGGUUUUUAUCUAGAGAAUAAGAGUUGCAGGGGUCUAUAUCUAAAGAACCCUAAUUAAAACCAUCAUUUUGCCACGGCUAAUACUAGGGAGAUCAAAAUUUUAAAUUAAAUUUUACAAACCAAAUGAUGUGGUUAUUGAUAAUUGGAUUAUAAUUCAAGUGUUGAUUAACGUAUUUAUUUUUUAUCUAUGACACAUCAUUUGAUUUACAAAUUUAGUUUAAAAUUUUGAUCUUUCUAAUAUUAUCCUUUUGCCAAAUUUAAUAAUUGUGAGUCUUAUUAUGAAGGAUAAUAUUAGGGAUUCCACAUCAUUUAAUUAAUAGUUCCAAGCUCCUUGCGAGUUGAUCGAGUUUCAAACGGAAGGAAAAUAUUUAUGGCUACUUUCAAGAAACCAUAACUUUUAAAUCAAAAUUUCGCUUAGUAUUCAAUCUAGUUGUAUUUCUUUUUCCUUGUAAGUAAAAAGUCUUAGUCCGAAUUUCGUGAAUGAUGAGUUCUAUACUAAUUUAUUCCUUGCUCAUCCCUUGAUAUAUAUAUCAUUGUAAACUCAUUCUAAUUAGAUGAGUUGAAAAUCAUGAUACGCUAAAACACUACAAAAUUGUCAAGAAUGCUACACACUCCAAAAAGACUUGCCAGACUCACAUCACCUGAAUUACAAAACAUCAUUUUUAUAAAGCACUAAUCGUAAUCUUAAUAGACAAAGAAUCCAAAUAUUUAACCUACAAAAAAAAUCCUAUACACAAAAUAUAAAAAAUGGAUAAUUCUAGGGAAAGCAAAUUUGCAAACCAAAUGAUGUGUCACCAAUAAGAAAUAAACACACAAUUAAUAAUCCAAUUAUCAACAACCCCAUCAUUUAGUUUACAUAAUUUGAUUUAAAAGUUUAGUCUUCCUAGCAUUACCCAUAAAAAAAAUAAAUAAAUAAAAACCCUCAACUAAUAAUAAGCCAAAAAGUUAACAAAUUAACUUUUCCAACAAGUUUGUAUCCAUCCUUUAUUACCUUUCCCAUGUCCUUCACUAACAUCGCAAUGGGAUAUUUAUUCACCUUAAUUAUGUUGGUUUCUUAUAUACACACUAAACAAAUCUUACAAGUUAAUUAAGCUAAUAAUUACUAUGUUUAUAAGUAAAGAUUUGUCCACAUUACAAACAACAAUGAUUGUCAUUAUGAAUUUUUUUUAUUUAUAAUUUUUUUAGUUGAAGAUGUGUGUAAUGGACUUUUGGUCCCUCCCUCCGCUUUUCUUUCCCACCCCAACUCCGAUAAGUAGAAUUUGAUUCUUUUUCUUUUUAUUUCUUUGCAAUAUUUUAAAGUGCACAAAAUAAGAACCACAAGUAAUGUGGACAGGGAACAUACUAAGAAUUGGAUUGGAGAAAAUGAAAGUUAGAAUCUAACCAUUACUCUCAUCGUGGAACCGAACUGAUUCAUGUUCCCAGAUUUAUAUAAAAUACUAAUAACCUUUGGGUUAAUGGAGAUAAUAACAUUAAUUAACAUGAUAAAAUAUGAUAUUUUUUAUAUGUUGGAAUCUUACUUUUGACAUCACAAAUGAGAUGAUGAGGUAACUAAUUAAAUAACUUGCGUACAUGUAGAUGUAGUCUCAUAGUUGUGCCACUACAUGAAACUUAAAACCCAAGUUUGUCCUUAAAAUAAUUAGAGAAAAUAACUGUUGAUUGUAGUUUAUGAAAUACAAAUUCAACUCUCUCUCUCCCUUCUAUCAAUUUUGUUCCGUCUAAAUGGCUCUACAUGUGUGAGUCUUCCUGGCUUCCGGAAGGGGUGGAUAACCAUAGUUUGCCACCAGUUGUCUUCCUUAAAAAAAAUGGCUCUACAUGUGAGAUUCACUAUGCAUUGGUGGGGUUAUGUGUGAACUAGUGUCAUACACAUUCUGAUAGUCUCACACCAAAAUAAAUCCAAUUUUAAUGUCUAUAAAUCCAAUUUUUAUGUUCUUAAUAAGUUCUAAAAACAAAUUUCAAAUGAUGGCAAAGUGUAUAAAUAGUUUCAUAUGUCUUAUGAGAUUUAUGAGUUUAAGAUUCAAGAUUAGGGUUUUUUAUUACAGAUAUAUCGAUAUAGUAUUAUGUUAGCAAAUUUUCGUUGUCUUCAGUCUUGACAAAUUUGUAUCUACAAAAGAGAUAAACAUCUUUGAUCAAAGCCAAAGCCUUAUGCACCCACGAGGUGAGGGGGAUUUGGCCAAUGGAUCUCACUCUGAAAAGAGUGAGUGUCUAGGGCUUAAUUAUGUCGCAAAAUCUUACCAUGAAUUGGUGGAGAUGGGGUAUUUAGAGGGAGAUGGUCGACCAUAGGGUUAGAGUUUUGCCCUACACAUGGCAGCUUCCCAUUGACCAAGGUGUGUCAUCCAUAGGAUGGAUGAGGAAAGAAUAAUCCCAAAGAUACUAAUUAUCUUGAGAUGAUGAUGGAAGUAUCCUUAAUUGAUUGUGAUGAGGAUUCCUUACUUGUUUGAGUUGAUCUUCAAUUAUGAAUAUAUUAAAGAUAUGAUUUAGUAAUUAAAACUUUUCCUCCUUUCCGCAAGAAGAGGAGCUUGAUGAUGUUGUAGUCUACUACUUAAGCCUCCAACAAUGUUGGAUUGUGCAGGAAAAUGUUUGAGGGCCCUGCCCAUUUAAAGAGGGCGUUCUUGUCUUCUUUGAAAGAAAAAAAAAUUGCGUGUUGUAUUCUGGAUAUUUGGCAUUAAUUUUGGCUCACAAAUUUCACUAUAAUAGUAUUUUUAUUUAUUAUUAUUAGAGAUGCAAGAUAUAAACUUGAGACAUCUUUUAACAUUGAAAAGAGAAGUGACACUCAAAGCUAAUUGGCUUAGUGUAAUUGUACAUUGUGAUUAUAUAUUGUGGUGCAUUUUUUAGUUAUUAUAAUGGUAUCUAAUGUGGGUCGAGCUUAUGGACAUGUUAUUUUCGGUAUAGAAAAAUGGUGCAUGUUCUGAUGCCUUUAAAAUUACACAUGUUAUGAUACGAGUGGACAACAAGUUUAUAUUUUAGAUUUAUAGUAAUAAAAAAUAAAAAUAAAAACAAAAUAAUGAACAAUUCUUUAGCAAUGAGAAAACAAAAUAACAAGAACGGUCUGAAUAGAUAUUUAAAUCUUAUUUAUUUAUGUGUUCAGUUUAUACUAGCAAUAUUCUAUUUUAGAUGUGACAACAUGUCCCUACUUUUACGAUUUUAUUAAUUUUUAAAAGCAUGAAUUGACGAAAAUGCCCUAUAGGCGAGAUUAUUGACUUCAAUUAACCGUCAUUUCGUGACACAUACGAGCUAUUAUUUUACCGUGUUCUCGAAGUACUCGAUGGUACGAACGCAUAAGCGAAAGCCGCUUACGAAUUGGGAUUGUAACGGAAAAGUUACGGACAAUUGGAAACAUUUUAUUACAUUUUAGAUUAGAAAUUAAUAAACUCCCACCUUGUGGGAAAGAAGCCCAAUUAGAUUGUUGUUUGAGUGACCAAUCAGAAAUUUAGGGGAAAAAGGAUUGGACCAAUCAAAAAUGAGGGGGAAAAGAAAGAACCAAUCAGGAGAUGAGAGAAAGAAUGACCUCCCCAGCCUCCCCUUCGACUCGUACACCCAACCCGUUCGACCCAGUGUAAUUCUUGCCAGCUUCCACCAUUUUUCAGGCGAAAUUCAUCCAUCCAUCACAUGCAAUCUCUUCCUCAACCUCCCCUCUACCAUUUCUGACCAAGAUCGAAAGGUUUUUGGUUCAAAACUCGAAGAACAGUGCCGGAGAACCCGAGGGUGUUCGACGGCGAUUCCAUUGUUCCGACGAGUUGCACCACCCACCACCACCCUUAACCAACUCCCCUUGAGCCCAGGAGCAAACCCCAAACAACCUUGGAGGCGGCGGAGCAUCGGAGAAGGAGAAUCAAACACACCCAUUUCUAGGGUUUCCGAUGGGUACGACCCAAUUUAGGGCAUUUCCUAGCCAAAUUGGACUUAGCCGCAUGUAUAAAACUUGCUCUACUCGUUCAAAUCUUCAUUCCUGUAAAAUUUGAGAAUUUUUUUAAUUGUUCGAUUUUCUGGCGAGUCGAGGCGGCGACACGUAGCCAGUGGGCCGACGCUGCAUUUUUGAGUUAAAUUUGAUGUUCUAAUGUCAUUUUGAUAACCGUUUGCUAUAGUUCGAUAGUUUAAACCUAGUGUGGAAUACUACGCCACUUGACGAUUUUAUGAUUCAAUGAUCCGAUCAUUGGAUCGUCACCAAACCUUAAUAUGUUCUAGUAUGUAAUAUUGAGGACCAUAGGAACUUUUGGAUCGGGAAUCCAAUGUACGGAUCUUCCCUAAUUGGAUUUGUAAGUUCGUAAUAUAGAACGUUGACCGCUACUUAAUUUGUCAUUGGUAGAGAUCCGACCGUCGGAUCGUGGUAAUAUGUUAAUGUUGUUCUAGGAGCUUAUUGAAACUCUUAGGAAGUUAUGGAUAAAAAAUUCGAGGUGCGGAUAUUCCGGAUCGAGUUACGUAAGGUUGUGGACCUUACCGUCAACCUUUGACCGACGGUUGACUUUUGGUCAAUAGGUUACAAAUAAUUCUAGAACGUCCUUGGGGAUAUGUUUUAUGUAAGUUAUGUAUUCUAUCGAUAAGAAUUAUGAGACGUGAUUUGAUAUUUGUUCUAGGCGACAAUCAUUCGUGACGCCUCGAUAUUCAUGCUAGGAAUUGCAGUAAGGGUGGGUACAGGCCGGGCCCAAAAUUGAAGGAAUCGGAUCGGACCUGUUUGUAAAUAAAACAAGAUGGGGUAGGUUUUGGAUUUUUCAAAAUAGGAUCCGGAUCUAACUCGGCCAGUUGAAAUGGGCUGGUUCCUACGGGUCCAAAUCUUCACUCACACCUAAGUCUGGUCUUCGUCAUCUUGUUCGUUCCCCUCCUCAGCGUCUUCUCCGACGCCUUGAGCAAAUCCUCCAGUAACUCAUCUGUUCAUCAGACGGUGCUCUCAUGCAUUUGUUUUUAGAUCUAGCUAGUGACUUUCUUCGAAUAAUGGGUUAAUAAGUCCGACUUCUCAGCCAAAUAGUGUUCCAGCAUACCGUCUUCGUCAUCUACCAUUAACCAUAAGACAAGAUGGUUUCUUCAUCAGAUUGUGAACACAAAGCAUUUCCUUCAUAACAAAAUUAAGUGAUUCGAUUGAUUUUGGUCUCAUCAACAUAAGACUACAUGGGCUAAAGGAAAGAAAAUCACUUUCAAAAUCAUCAGAAUCGAAGUUAAUCUCGUCCUCAUCCUCUUCAUCAAACCCUUCAAUGGCUGGAGCUAAACCUUUCUAUGGAGGGAGAAAAAGCAAGCAAAAUGGAAAAGUGACGAGGAAAGUGCAAGGAAAAAGAAGGGAAUAGAAAGCCAAUAAAGAAAGAAAAUGAGCUCAUUUUGAGGUUUGUAGAGAUAGAGAAAUGAGACAAAGAAGGGAGAUAGAGAAAAGUAGCUCAUUUUGAGGUGGGUGUGUCAAAUAUUUUGAUAAUUUUAUGAGAAUUGGGAGAAACGGGUCCAACCGGGGCCCCGUUUCCUAAGGCUUUUGCACCCGCCCUGUACCGAUAACUUUGUGAACCUGCCCCGGCCCGCCCCUUUUUUUCUUUACAAAUUUUAGAUUCGUCUUGAACUACAUGGAACCGGCCGGCCCCGUGGGUCUAGGGCCCGUUUGCCCACCCCUAAGUUGUAGUACGGACUCCAAGUGAGUGGGUAUGUUCCUUUUUAUAGUAUAUGAUUGAUAGUUUCCAUUUAUGCAUUUGAAAAAGAAUUUCUUACUUACGCCUAGAUUAUACUAAAAUUUAUAAGCAUUAGCGAAAUGACGGAAUUUAUGAAAUUAUUCCGGAUCCUGUGGGAUGCCUUAAUCCAAAUUACAACUUUGAUGAAUGUUAUAUUGACUAGAAAUUAUGGAAUAGGCUAAUCCUACGGGAUGCACAAGGAAGCUUACUAUAAAGAGAUGCCUUGAUUAUAUUUAUGGUCAUGAAUAGUACGACAUUGAUUAGAAUUGUUGAAUGGUUGUGGCAUGACUAUAUUGAUGUUAUCUGCUCAUUGUUUGCUGCACCCGAUAUUAGUGCUUGCCCAAGGCCAGGGCUAGUCUUUCACAUGUAUGUUUACAUCCGCACUGCACGCUCACCUUGGAUCUAAGUAGGUGUCAGUCCUGUCGUACAGGUUGCAAUAGGCAACUUCGACUCGUAUGUGACCGCGAAUAGCACCAGUCUUCAUGUGAUUGUAGCACUAGAGCGUAUAUUAUGAUUACACCCAUACAUGUUCAAGUUAGAACACCUCUGCAUUAACUCUUGUGUCAGCAUGUGUCGAUGAGCACCCGAUAUGAUAUGUUGCUUAUGUGAGAUUUUGUGAUUUUGGAUGUCAUGCCCUUAUUUACGAGAUAUUGUGCCGUAAUGAAUUUUUAAGAUUGUGCAAGCUACGGUAAGUAUUUUUAUACUAUGCAUAGUAAGUAUAUUUUGGAAAUUAUACUGGUUUUACGACGAGAGAUUACUUUAUUUUUAGGCUCACUUACCCUUGUUUUUUAUCGCCCCUCCAGGUUUUAGUAGCUGAGCUUUUUUAUCGACAAUGAUAUAAUCCUUACCCUAUCUUACUGUACUGUACUUAUGCUCUGACGUCAAUUGUGAAAUGGGUUCAUUCUCGCUCAUAGCGCACUCUUAUAUUUAGGCACUUUUAGGUUUAAAAUUAUUCACAUUUUCCACAUCACUACAUUUUAUGGUUUCAUCACCUUCCAAGUGUCGGCCAGCACAUCUCAAUUUGAAGUUCUAACGGACAUACCGGAUUGGGGUGUGUCAUUAGAUUAAUCUAAAAUAAAUAUAGAAAAAUCAAAUUUGAGUGCAUAAAAAAAUUAAAUAUUUCAUACUUGCCUAGUCUUAUUUAUUUUGGAUAAGUAAUUAUUGCAUAAAAAAAAAGUUUUUAUUUUUUUAUUUUUUUUUCUAAUGUCAAUACAAAUACAAAGACAGUUGACGAUGAGAUGAGACUUUUCUUGGUAUGUAAAAUUUUGUUUGGGUUAACUAUUUGAUAUUAAUAAUAAUUAAAAAAAAACUAAUGAAAAUGGUUUGAAAACUUUGAGUUUUAAUCAAAAUGAAAAAAAAAAGUGUUGUAAGUGAAUAGUAUCAUGAGUGACUUUUUAGAAUAAAAAUAUCACUUUCGUAAAAAAGUGAACAGUACCAAAAAUAUUUCGUUAAAACUCUACAUGAAAACUGAAAAGAGAGGAGCGUGGGAAACAAUCCCCCAAGUACACGUGACGGUGAAUGUAUUAGGGAGGUGAUUGUGAUGUGAUCACAUGUGUGUUUCAAUCAUCUUCUCCAAUCCCAUCACACAGAGCAAAGCACACAACACAAGAGUCUCUCUGCAGUCUGAAGUCUGCAGUCAGGGCUCUGAAGUCAAUGCCUCUCUCUAUCUCUCUCUCUCUCUCUCUCUAAAAUCAUCUCCCAUUAAUAUUCACACACACUCACUCUCACUCUUCUCCUUGAUAUGAUGAUAAGUUUCCCAUUGGUGGCGCACACAUGCUCACGCUCCUCAAAUUCCCAACCCAACCAAUCACCUCCCUCCUCCAUCCCAACCUCACUCCAAACACCUAAAAAGAAAAAUCAACCAAAAAAAAAAAGAAAAAUCAACCAAAAAAAAAAAGAAAAAUCAACCACCUAGAGAGGAAAAAGGGGCAUCUUUAGUCCAACUACUCAGAAAAGAAAUAAAGAAAGACGUAAGUUAAAGUCAAUUGACCAGUAUUUAAUUUUUAUUUUAUAUUUUAGUUCAAAUUUUUUAAUAAAAUAAAUUUUAUGCAAUAAUAAUUUAUUGUAAAAAUAGUGAAAGAGGUGAAAGUCCCACCAUGAUUCAACCAUAAUUGAAUAUUAACAUUCUUGUUGAAUUUGAAAUUUUACACUUAUAAGUAAAUAAGAACAGUAAUAUAGUAUUAAAACCUCUCAAAAGAGAUUUUUGAGAGAGUUUAAUUUAUUUAUAAAUCCAUGAAUUUUAUGGAGUUUAAUUUAUUUUUAGAAAAUCUAUUUAAAAUUUUGAGUGAAUUCUUUCAAAUUCUCUAGAGAAUGAGUGAGAUUUGAGAAUGCUUAAAAUACACUACAAAAUAUCUCACAUUCCCUCGAAUUCCCCAAUUUUUAAAAAUUCUUUAAAAUCAAAUUUUAGGAGAUGUAUUCAAUUGGAAUUUUGAGGGAUUUUAAUUCUUUUAUUGAAUCUAGGGGCAUUCAAUUAGAAUUGUAACUGAUUCUUUGAAAUUCAAGGUGUAUUCAAUCAAAAUUUUAAGUUAGUUUAUUAAAAUCCUUGUAAAUUUGGAGGUAUUCAAUUAUGAUUUUAAAUAAUUUUAUAACAUUCUAGGUGUAUUUAAUUGGAAAUUGAUUUUAAAGAAUUUGUAAAAUUUGACUAAUUAGAGAGAAUUGGAGAGAUUUCAUAUUGAAUUUUAAACAUCCACAAAUCUCACAUCUUCCCAUGAGAUUUUAAGGGAAUUGAUUCAAAAUUUUAUAUGGAAUCUAUACAAAUCAAUUAAACUCCAUAAAAAUUCAUAGCUUUAUAAAUUCAUUAAAGUAUCUCAAAUUCUCAAUUGAAUACACCUGCAUACAUCUGAGAUGUUAUAAAAUCCUAAUUGAAUACGUCAUGACUUUCAAAAAAUCAUUUAAAAUUUUGAUUAAAUACUCAUGAAUUUGAACAAAGAAAUAAAAAAUCUCAAAACAUUUCCAUCAAACAAUAAAAGAAGAAAAAGAGAGAGAAGAAAAAGAGAGAAAAUGACAAUACUCAACCAUAAGAAAACAAAACAUAGCAAAUAAGCAACAACCCUUUAUGUCUUUCCAUUUUCUUUUCUUUUUCCCAUUUCAAAGCCAAAACCAAAAAGCCUUGUUUUUCACUCUUCCGGGUCUUCUUCCAAGUUGCAACCAAACCCCAUCUUAAAGCAAGCUCUCUCUAUUUUUCUUGAGUCGCAGAGCGGUUUUUGGUGGCCGUGGCGGUGACAAAACACCCACCAAUUCCAAAUGGAAUACACCACAAGCUCAAGGCCUCAAGAAAUCAGAGAGAAGCCGUAUUCGUAUUCCCCCAUAAACUCACCGAGGAGCAACAACAAUGGCACGACCACCAACGCCAACAGCAGCGUCUGCAGCAGCAGCAGCCCGGCGGUGGGGACUCAAAUCCCGACAACCCCGAAAGUCUCAACUCCCAGAUCUGACUCCAAUCCCUACCCGACAACCUUUGUCCAAGCUGACUCCUCGAACUUCAAACAUGUUGUCCAAAUGCUCACCGGCUCCUCGGAAACUGUCACUCACCAGUCCUCCCCCAAACCCACAGCCGCCGCCCACCACAACAGCCACCACCACCACCACCACCACCAAGAUCCAACAAUUUUGCCACCCUCCAAUAAAAACUUCAACAUCCCACCAAUCAAAACCGCCCCACCGAAAAAGCAGGGCUUCAAGCUCUACGAGCGGCGGAGCACCAAUCUCAAAAACACCCUCAUGAUCAACACCCUCAUCCCCAACUUCCAAUCGGCUUCUGGGUUUUCUCCACGUCAUCAGGAGAUUCUCUCACCGAGCCUACUCGAAUUCCCGUCACUCACCCUCAGCCCGGUGACGCCGUUGAACGACCAGUUCGACAAGUCGGCGUCGUCGCCGUCACUGGGAAAUUCUUCGUCGGAGGAGGACAGGGCGAUUGCGGAGAAAGGAUUUUACUUGCACCCGUCGCCGAGGGCUACGACGACUCCGAGAGACCCGGAGCCGCGGCUUCUGCCUCUGUUUCCGGUCACUUCGCCGAGAGUUUCUGGGUCGUCUUCUUGAUCAAAUGACGAGUAGAGAGAGAGAGAGAUGUGUAGUAAGUAAUAUUUACUGUGAGUGGGUUUUGAUUAAAAUGAUCAUCAGGAGAAGUGAAGAUUAAUGGGUUUUGGAUGAUUUUUCAAUGACAGGUACAGAUCUUUGUUUUAAUUGUACAAUUUCAUAUCUCUUCCAUAAAAAUGCUAAAAAGCUUAGCUUUCAACUUCCUCCUCCAACUUCUUUUCUUCUUCUUUAUUUUUUGUUUUGCAACUUUUAUGGCUUUUUUUUUUUUUAAUUUCUAUUGAACCAAAUUAAGGAAGAUUGAAAAUAAAAUUUCUAUUGAAAUCUGAGUGAGCCUAUAUGAAUGGGAAUAUGAAUUUUAAUUUUACCACUUCAUUAGUUUAGCAUUUCAUUCAAUUGCAAAAUGCAUUUUCUUUGUUCUUCUCAGCAUGUGUGUGUGGUAGGAGAGGACUUUUCAAAAGAUGAGGGUGUGGCUGUUGGACUGGACAAUCAACAAUAAGAAGUUUCAGUUUUUUUUUUUAUCUUUUAUAAUUACAGCUCAUUUAAACUACAAGAAAUAUAUUCGAAUUUAAGUACAGAAAGUGUAGCACACUACUCUUACUAACUCGGUUAAAACUUAAGUCUGCAAUAAAAGAAAUUAUUGUUAAAUUUUAUUUAUUUUUGUUUUUCGUCCCAUGUUAAGUUUUACUCAUAAAUUAACCAGAGUCAAGGAUAUGUAAUUUGGAAUUUAUAAUUUAAUUAGUACAAUUUUAGAGUAGAUUCAACUUGUUGAAGGGUUCUUCUAGGGUCCCCCCCCCCUCCCCCCUUCCAUUGACGAGUGAGGAGGACCACAUUUCCCGUUUAAUCUAAGGCCAUACAUAUGUGAAACUUCCACCUAAUCAUAUGGUCAUGUUGUUCGUGACUUGUGAGCUGUUGAAACUGUUGAGCUAGCUAAUGCAUUAUUAGUAGUGAUUUCGAACAUUCUCCACUUCUCUCUCUCUCUCUCUCUCUCUCUCUUUUUAUUUUUAUUUUACGUAUUCGAUUUAAAAACCAAAAAUAAAAGAAAAGAGUGCAUGAAGAGAAAAUAAGAUGCGAAAAUGACUUUUCUAGUAUAUUUACGGUACUCAUAUGUUUUGCAACUCACAAAACAAUUCAAUGUAGUAUGAUGUUCUAAUAGAAUGGACAAUCAUCUGGAAUUCAAGCUAGGUCAUGUAGUUCUUUCUUCUUUUCUUUUUCUUUUUUUUUUUUUUAUGUUUUUGUGAAUCAUUUUUCUUAAUUUUCUUUAUUUGUGAAAAAUCACUAAAAUAAACCAAACAACGGUCAAUAAAAUGUAUGUAUCAACAAUUAUCUGGAAUUCAAGCUACAUAAUAUCGUUUUUCUUUUCCUUAAGGAGAGACUUUUGGGGAAAGGGAAAACAUGAUUUAAACCCAAAAUAUUUACUCUUAUUUUUGUUGAAGAAAUAGUACAAAGUUGUCAGAAGCCAUUUAUAUUCGGUGUAUUAUACUACGUUUAGUUGUCUACGCAUGCAUGCGACUACUAAGCCUUGACAUUUCUUAUAAUCACAAUGCAUCAAUUACUCAAAGUCACUGUGAGGAUUGAGCGCACAAGUCCUUUUUGUAUUAAUGCAGGCUUAGUAUGCUUCGUGCUGCACAAAUCCUCGAAUUACAUGAGUUUUUUUGUUUGAGUAAAUUGUAGUUAGGGUCCCUUAAUUUUAACUUAAUUUGAGCAUUAGUCCUUUAACUAAAAAUACAUUAUUAUUGGUCUCUCAACUCAUCAAAACUUGCAUCUAUGGUUCCUUAACUAAAAAUUCAUUAACAUUGAUUCCUCAACUUUAAUUCAACUGAAGAAAUGGUCCCUUAACUUUAACCCAAUUGUAGCAAUGAUUAUUCCAGCAUAACUCGUUUUGACAAAAAAUUUGACGUAGUUGACUAAAAUGACCAUAAUUACACACUUUAAUGAGUUGAUGGAUCAUAAUUAUAUAAAUGGUUAUUCCAACAUAACUUAUUUUGACAAAAUUUUGAUGAAAUGGAUGAAAAUAACUAUAGCUACACAUUUUGAAAAGUUGAGGGACCAAUGUUAAUGGAUUUUUAGUUGAGAUACCAUUGCUCAAAUUUGAUUAAAGUUGAUGGACCAUUGCUAUAAUUUACUCUAUUUGUUUUGCUUUGUACAAAUAGCUCAAAAUAUAGGCAACACUCAAUUGCACUCAUUUGUCUGAAAUAACCGAUGAAGGGUUUCUUUCAUGGUAGUACUCACAUACGAAGGACAUAGCUUUCGUUAGAAAAAGAUAAAAAAAUAAACUUACGAGGAUAUAUUGGUCUGUCACAACCACUGAUAUUUCAUUAUGUAAUAAGCGUGAUGAGUAAUUGUGAGAGUAAACUGCUAUAUGAGCAUAUAUCUCAAUAGAUAGCUGAUUUUUACACAACAUAUUUAGAUUUUAACACUUUUUUUUUAUUUUUAUCCUUCAGACUGAAUAAAUCAAACGUAAACAACGAACAUGAUUAAAUAUGGGUGUAUAGAAGAAGAAACGGCGUGUAUUUGUCAUUUCUGCUCCCAAUAACCUCAUCGUGGAGAAGUUUCCCUCCAACUUUCAUUUCAAUUUACAUGAAAGGAAAAGUAUUGGGAUUUUUAUCGUUAGGGCUUUUUCCGUUUAUGUACAAGUUUACCAUAUGCUGAAAUAAUAUGCAGUAUAUACAAAUAAGGAAAUAAGCUUAGGGUAGGACAAUCAGACAUUCUUUCUCUGUAUGUUUAUCUUUCCCAAAUAUAUGAGUUUGUAAUGUUUGUGAUGUCGACUCAUUUGACUUGAAAGAAUAACAACUUUCUUAACGUGUGGACGCAAGAAAGAAAAACAAGAAACCAGAAAGUGGGGCUUUCUGUUACUCUUAUGACACUUGAGAACGAAAGGAGGAAGAAAGCAAAAAAUUAAAGUACAAUUUGAAUUAGCAAGUUAAAGCUGCAGAGAAAAUGUCAAGACUUUUUCUUUUUUUUGCUUUUCUGACACUCAAUUUCUGUCAUUGUGUGUGCGGCGUGCCCAAUAAGUCGGUGCAUUGAACUGAAAAACCGCCAAAGUUCUUUCUUUUUUGUUUAUUUUUUGCAAUUUGAUGAUGCAUGAAGAUUUUAUCUUUUAUCUACCUGUUUUAGAUUGGCAAGCAUUCUUGCUUUUGUUGGAUUGUUGAACCAGUUUUGGAUUUUAAUGGAAAUUGGAUAAUCUUGAUAUUUAUCAAAGAAAAACUUAGGUGGCUAAUACAAAUUUGGGAAACAUGCCAGCCUCAAGAAAAAAACAAAAGGCUCAGUUACAUAUUGCAGCAUCUAAUUGUUUGGUCUGAUAUGUUUUAAAAGGAUAAUGUUAGGCAAAUCAAAAUUUUGCACUAUUAUGGCACCAAUCAAAUUUGUACUUUAAUUCAAAUUCUAAUUGAUUGUAAUGGAUAUUUAUUAGUGUAGAAUGUGCCACAUCAUUUGGUGCAUAAACUUAAUGUAUGUAGCACCACCCGUUUUAAAAUUGAACAAAAAAAUCCUAACAUUAUAAAUUGUUACAUCUUUGACCCCUUCGUCCGUUUGACUAUAUCAGGUUAAGUACUAGUUUUUUGAGGUGACUUUUUUUUAGAGGUUUUUUGGCGUGGCAUUUGGUUGUCAUUUCUACUUAUAUGGACAACAGAUUGAUGCAACAUAAGCGUUUCUUCUUUAUAAAACUUCUUAUUUGUGACUUAUGAUUUUUAACCUUGCGUUCGUGUCAUGAGAAAACUUGGUCCAAAAACAACGAUGAACCUAUCUUUAGGUGACCUAAGAGGGUGAAGACACCCCAGACCAAACUAAACUACGUCAUUAAUAUGAAUAGAGCGGUCUUUAAGAGCUCCUACAAGAUUAUCCGUUAAAUAUUGCCGAAGCCAUUGGGGAGGAACCUCAAAAACCUAAAGACCAAAGUUCAAAUUGUAACUCCAAUUGGCUAGUUGAUCUGCAAAACCAUUCAAUUCCCUGAAAAUAUGUUUUAGCUCACAUUGCACAAGUUGUCUCAUCAUAUCCCUGCAACUCUUCAAAAGCGUAGUGAGAGGAUGAAAGUAUCUUGCAUAGAUUGGUUCAUCAGUAACACAGCAGGAGCAAAGUCCAUUUCGAUGAUUAAUUUAGAUAUACCUUUUUCAAUAGCAAGCUAGAGCCUGAAGUACAAACCCCAAACUUCAGCUUCGAUAAUCUGUCAUUCCUCUAAAUUAAUAGAGAAACCUCACAUCCAAUCACCACUGUGGUCACGGAAGAAUUCCUUCAACACCAAUCUUGCUCAAAUAACAGGAGGCUCUCCCUUCAGCAUAACAUGAAUCCUAUGACGUGGUUUUUCAAUUUUUAGAAGAGAUUCCAUCCAUCAUAGGCAGUUCCAACAAUAACCAUUUUUAGAUCAGUAUGGAGGGAAACAAACAAUUCCAGGUAUACCAACAUGCAAAAACAAACAAACAAUUCCAUGCUAUCUUAGCAUACCACAUUGCCUUAGACGUCACAUUAGUUAUCAUCCAAGCUUUCAAAUCCAAGUUAAAAGUAUUGUGCAUUUGAGAUGGAUCACGCAAAAUUUCCCAAAUGCAUUGAGCUCUACUACAUUCCUUUAGAAUAUACAGAAUGUCUCCAAUGGCCAAGAACAAAGUUUGUAAGAGGAAUGGGUAGUUAGAUUUCUUUUAGUUCUUUGCUCAUUAGUAAGCAGCUUGCCUUGACUAAUGAGCCAAAGGAAAAACUUAAGUUUGGAAGGGAUUUUGACAGUCCAACUCCCAAACCAAUAAAAAAACAAGCCUUCUUUCACAACCAUCAUGAAAGAAAGUAGAGACUGAGAAAUCCUCCUUAGGAAAGUUAUUGGAAUCAAUAUAAUUAAUCAAAGGAGCACGCAACACCCAACGGUCUUUCCAAAACUUGGCACCAUCACAUCACAUGUGCUAAUUCUCCCUUUCAAACAUUUGCGCAACAAAUCAGUUCCAUACAGAAUUCCUUUUCAAGUGUAAGAGUAGUCAGACUUCUCAUGUAGUUUAGUAUCCAAAUAGAGCUCCCUUGUAUUUCGUCUCAUAGAUUUUUACCUAAAGGCACGUAUCCUUAGCAUGAAUUCUUCAUCCAAUUUUAGCCAACAAAGCUUGAUUCAGCUCUACCGUUUUCUUCAAUCCCACACCUUCAAUACACUUAGGUCUGCAAACAACGCUCCAAACGUAAAUGAAUUAUGUUUUUCUGCUCAGAGUCCCCUCAAAAGAAGUUUUUGUUCAACUUGUCUAGAUAAUCACAUAAACUUGGCCCUUCCAACCAUUGAAAGGAAAGAAAUUCGACUUUGAACUUUAUCAAUCACUGCCCUGUAGUGUGGGUACAAACGGCUUAAAAUUCCGUAGCUUUAGGUUUGUUUUCUUCUCUAUUUUUCUAAAAUGGGAACUAAACCGUCACCUACCCACACUACAGGGUUACAAAGUGUGAUUAACUCAAAUAAAAGAUACUUCUAUGUCCGCUCAACUGUCUUAUCUUUUUUACUUUCCUUACUAAACGAUUUAUUUUUUGUUACGCCCCUCGAAACUCUACUAUAAUGAGACUAAUUUUCAAAAUAUGGAAAAUCUGCAUAUUUUAUUCUUAUAAUUAUUCAUAUGGUUUAUAGUGUUACAUGUUUACGGAGAAGUACAAAUUCAGAUUUCCAAGAAAGAAGUGAUUGUUUUGAAACCAUGAUUCUCUGGUAGAGCUCCAUUCCCUGGUCGGAUCGAUACAAUAACUUCCAAUCCUGAAACAUUAAAUAAAAAAGUGCAUCUUAAACAUCAAUGCCACAAAAAUUUUGAAUUUUGUUUGAUCAGUUUCGUUCAUCUUUCUUAAUUUCUUUCUUUCGUUCUUUACUUUUUACUUCUGUUAUGUUGGAGCAACAAUAAAUUAGAACGGGUAGAGAAGUGUCUAGCGACCUAUAGCCGGGUGUAUACACCAUCCUCUCACAGUAUGUGGUCACGUGCUAGUCAAGUGACCCCUGUUGCGAGAAGAGGGUGUAUAAAACCCGGCUACAUUUAACAUCUCGAUAGGGGUGGGGAUAAACCACAGGCAAAUCAUUACCUGCCGCCUUUGCAGCUACAGCUUCUUGGAAGACAUCUGUCACAAAUAAAACCUCCGAUGGUUUAUCAACUCCAACUGAUUGUACAAUUUCAGCAUAACUGCUACUUUCUCUUUUGUUUCUGCGUGAGAGCGAGAGAGAGAGAUUAGCUAGCUUGAAGUGAAUUUGGAAAGCUGGAAGCAGAACACGUUAAUGUUAAGUGAAAGCGUUUUUUAACAGUAGAAAAGGAUUCUGAGUUAAUUUACCCCACUGUGGUGUCAAAAUAUCCAGACAAAUAUUCUCUUAGGUCCCCAUAAUUUGAGUUACCAAAUAUAAGUCUCUGUGCCAACCUGCUACCACUAGAGUAUAUGUAGACCUGCCGUACAAAAUUUCAACAUUGAAGGUAUGACAUCGAGGAAUUAACAUCAACUUCACCAAUGAAUUAAAUCUAAUUUGUUUGGUUAGCAUAUGCACCAAAGACAUCGGAAACAUUAACGCUUGAUUAGCUAUAUCUUGACCAUGCACGUACCUUUAUGCCUGAAUCAUGCCACUUCUUAAGAGCUUCUGGUACAUCAUCGAAAACUAGUCCCUUCAAUUCAUUCUUUUCAUAUCCAGUUCUCCAGAUAUGACCCUGAAUGCUACAAGUCAGCUAUAUCCCAACAUGGCAAGCAAAUUCCUUCUAAAUAUCCAAAAUUGCUUACUUGCAACUGUUUCAAGGCAGUGAUCUUCCGAUCAGCUUUUAUCAUUGCGUCAACAUUAGCAACCAAAGCUGCAACAACCUCCUCUUUCCCUGCAUCAUCAGGGGGGAUGGGAACAGCACCAGCAACACCUUUUUCCAGGUCUUCUUGAACCUACAAUUAGGAUGUAGAACUUUAAGUAUCAUUUCAAAGUGUCCAGCUUACUUCUAUGAUCUUCCAGUUAACUUCUAAAUUUAACUCCUUAAAUAAAGAGCAAUUAAAUUGCUAGCCUGAGCCCAGAGCCGUCCAACUCUACUCUAUACAUUUUUCAGGUAUAACUUCUGGUAAGGAUUAAAAGGUUAAACUGUGGUUUGCUCACCACAAACUAAUAAGAUUCACAUUCUUAUCAAAAAGAUUAAUUACUUGCAUAAAAAUAAAAAAAACAAAAUGAUUUCUUUUCAUAGCAAUGAAAGUAAAAAGGACUACCUUAAUUCUAAAGCAAUACUAUUAUCAUGCUGUAAAUCAGUGGCAUCGUGCAUUCACAUAUCAUGUGGUGCACUACUAACCCAGAAUUAACAGCUGAAUACUAAUGGGAUUUUACAGGUGUGUGGUCUACAAAACAGCACUCUCGAUUCUUGAACAAAAAACUUACCUGGAAGCGCAACAACUUUAUGUCAUCUUGAGUUUCUUCAGUGUCAUAUGUUGCAGACAAGUGCCUUCCAACAUUAUUGCGGGCAUAUGGAAAGAGAACAUCAGUCACAAACGAUAUGGGAGUAGUAGUUCCCUCAAUGUCAAGAACAAUGCAACACUACAGGAAAAAGUGAAAUCCAUAAAUAGAUGGAAGAAGAAAUAUAAGGUUAUACAAAAAACCAUGAAAUUGUUAAUUAUAACAUUUCUCAACCAAAAGACAAUAUUUGCAGUAAAACGAAAUAAACAUAUAAAGAAACAGAAAACUAGGGUUGACUUCAAAGCCUGAUACUAAAAGUUUCAGAACCUGAGAAAUAAAAAAUAAAUAAAAAAUUUAAACUUACUUGUGACGGCUCAGAUGUAUUAUCUAAAGCUGUAGUCGCUGCCUUCACAGAUAUAUUUCCGUGAAUACCACUUCCUAAAACUCCUUUGACAUUUUGGUGUAUAGGGCCAUGGUUUGGAGUAGUUGGGUCCAAACCCAACUGAUGAAGUUUGAUAGCAGCUUCAAAGAGAUAGUGAUAACAUUCAGCCUGGAAAAGAAAAAAAUCUGAUUGAAUAAGCAUCAGGAUAAAAGGCUCCAUACUUCCAGAUCCAUAUGUUAGCCAUCUGUAUCAACAGUUAACAUAAGCUUCGACAAUUACACUGACUACCUAACCAUUAGCAUCAUAAGCAUCACCUGAGUCUUAGCAUUGAUCCACGAGUCACCCCAGACAUAGAUCCCAUGGUUACGAACAAGCACAGCUGUUGUUUUUGGGUAGGCUUCAAUCUAUUGGACAUGAAGGCAAGCAAAAUACUCAUCCACAUAGAAAUUCAAAGUUUGUAUAUUGAUUUUUUUUUUCCCUCCAAUAACAAUCAAAUAGUUACUUUGAAAACAAAAAACCUUAUCCAUUAGCAAAGCUAACAAUAGGAAAUGACAAAGAAUUAAGUACAUAACCGUGUCAUGCAUAAAAUUAAACAGCUAUAUACUAGGAUGGAGUCCAUCAUUCAUAAAUAGUAGCUUUAUGUCAUCGAAAGCAGAUAGAAUCAUCACACCAAAACCAAAUUGAGUUUAAAACAUGAACAUACAGCUUUGGCAAGAGACUCUGUGAGCUCAUAUUCAUAGGCAGUGUUCUCUAUUAUAGGGACCACAAGUUCAUCAUAAUAACCGUGCCCUUUGAUUCCUUUAAUCAUCUCCAUAUGAGUGAUCUGCAUAUUUGUACACAGAAAUAGGAAAACAAACUAUGAAAACAGACAACCAGUAAAAGUAGGCAGGAAUAUCACAUAGAGAAAGGGCAACACCCACAGGUGUUCCCCCCCCCUCCUCUUCCCCUCCCUCUGAAAAAGAAAGUAAAAAAACUGAAAGGUGUGCACACCAUUAUUUUGCACGUGUUUUUUUACAAAUCACUGCAACAUUAAGUUAUGAACUACCCAAAUUUCUGAAAUCCAUACUCUGCUUUAACUCUUAUUCAAAGCGGGAGUCAAUUAAAUGAAGAAAUAUCCAAAUUUUCAAGCAGGGGGAGGCAAACAUAAAAAUUCGGACAAAAAAAUAGGACAUUGACAGAAGAAUAAAAACAACAGGUUCCUACGUUUAUGUAUUAAUUAGCGCUUCCUUUAUUCCUCACUAAUGGAUGCCAGGUGUAAAAACUUACUCGAAAUUCUUUUGCUAAUGGAUUGAUCAUUGUUACAAGACAAGAUUCCAUCCCAUGACUAUGAAUAACAGCUCCUGCAUUACGCAUAUCAUAUGCCUGGAAAACAAGGGAAAUAAAUAUUAACUACUAAUUUUCAUAAGAGAGGUGUCAGUCUUCCCAAAAAUUAAACUAAUGGUGAGUAUUCAUGAACCCCAGCAUCCUCAAAUAGGACUUGUCAUAAAAUGGAAUGAGAAAACACAGAGACACAGGAUCAAUGGAUCACAUUACAAGGUUAAAACAAUGUUUUUAUCAAAUUUACAUGUGUAAAGCAGUUGAAGUGCCUUUAAGAAGCAACCCGGCCUUAAAAAUAUAGCAAGUAGUACUUGCUCAACAUUAGUUACAACAUGUAUCCAGAACUAACAAACAAAAAGAAAACUUAUAAAUAAGAGAUCACAAUCAUCGAAUAUGGAACAAUGGAACCACAAUAAUGCAUCAACCACAUUUUUUACUUAAUGAUGGUGAAAUAAAUAGUGUGAGCAAAGAGAAAUAGCUUAUACAGAUGGUAGCUCACAUGUCCGCUACAGAGUAUCAACAAAGUACAACUUCUCUUUUCUUUUCUUUUAGAUAAGAAGAUUUCAAAUUCGGCCCAUGACUAAAUUCCAGACUUCUAUCCAAUAUUCCAAUUUGACAUGAUUCAGAUGAGUCUUUGCGACCCUUUACAUCCAGAGUCAUGUAAGGUUCAAAUCAAUCUGCAUUGUACCUUUUAACUGAGAUUGCUUGACAUUUCUCUUUGCGAAAUCAAUUGCCUCUUGGCUUUAUUCUGAUAGGGAUCCAAUAAUCAUAAGCAAUCAAGUCUUCAAGAGUGAUUAUUUUGAUGGCUUAUGAAACGUGGGAAAAGAUAAUGGAUCAAAUUUCUUUUACCAUCUUCAAUAUUUGGAGCAGGUAGGAACUACAGUCCCCACCUGGUCAGCGGCUUUAGCAUGCCACAACCAAUAGCUCUGGAAAAGGUAUUCUGGUUGUAAAACUAAGAUUUCAUAUUGUAUUCUAUGAGAGCUAAAACUUAGAAGUACCACUCCAUUGUGCCAACAAAGUUGUUACCCAGCUUGUACAGUGUAUAAAAUUAAAAGAACCUCAGAAGUUUUCAUUAAUGCCAUAAUCACAUAUUCAGACAUCAACAGUAAAUGUACACAACUGGAGAAGAGUCAUUUCAAAGUUUUACAAUGUUCUGACUGAUUUAUCCAAAUCAAACAUUAGUUGGAACUAAUUCACACUUUCUUUCCAACAAUAACUUUAUAGUAUUUAUAAGAAGCACAAGGAAUUGAUACCUUCAUAAAAAGUGGACCACAAUCAGAACACUUGGGAGGCUUAUGCGGGUACGGCUUCGGAGAUGGAGAACACAAGACAGACCCAUUAGGAGAUAACACAUACAUGUCCUCGGGUACCAUUCUCUCCUUCUGAACGCCUGCACACAUAGGAAAAAAAACAUGAAAAAUUGAGCCCAGAAACAAAAUAGAAGGUCACAUAUUGAAAAUGAACCCACAGUUCCAAUUAGGAAACUCCAAUUUCUUUAUCACAGAAUAAAAACCCAAAAAGCAAAGAAUAUUUUGCCUUUAAGCUUCAAAGAUGCAUAUAACCAAAUGUUAACAGCAAAAAACCAACCACGAUUACAAUGAAAUCUCCUUAAUCAAAACAUAGGCACAUCAUACAAAAAUUACAGAAAUUAAUCAACACAAACCCCACAAACAACACACAAGAGCCAAAAGACUCAACAUUUAGCAUAAUUUACAAAAACCCAGAAAGCAAACAACCAAAAGAACCACUCAAAACAGAAACUUAUUAAAUUGGUGAAAAUCCAUGAAUACCCAGAAACCCCAAAAACCCAAAAAAAUGAACAAAAUGAUUUUAGAGAGAGAGAGAUACCAGACGGAGACAUGACUACAAGCUGCUCAGGCUUCGGAACAGAGUCAUCGUGAACUUUGAUUGUGAUGCUGCCACCCGUUCCUGAGACCCAUCCGAGAUUGUAGAAUUGGCGGCAGAGAUCGGAUAUGAGAACCUUGGUGUCGCUCACUGCUUUGCCUUCUAAGUAGGACUGCGACGUCGUACCGAGUUUCAGUCCGUUCACUGCCAUUGCUGGUCUAGCUAGAGAGAGAAACUGUGAUGGGUGCUGUGCUUCAAUACUAGGCUAAAACCUAAGCAAUAAAGAAUGAGAAAGUUCAAAGGUUCCAAAGUAUCAUUCUGUUACCGGACGGUGACUGAAGUCUGGAUUCUGUUACCAAACGCUAACUCAAGUGUGGAUUGUGAUUGGGCCAAGUGUGUUUUGUUAUUUUUGCAUUUUUAAAUUAAUUCUCUAUUUUUCUUUUUCUUUACGAAAAGUCAGUUAAUCAAAUUCUUUACCAAAAGUUAGUUAAUUUAAUUCUUUUUGAGUUUUUCCAAAUUACCAAACUCCGACGCUCUGACCCUCCUAUUCGUACUUCAUAACCUAAACUCAUCAAAGUAAUAGCACAACGACACAUAUCACACAACAUUCACAUUAGAAAUGACGGGACCUGGGGCUGUUAGUGAGUGCAAUGGGGAAAGUUUUAUUAAUUCAUAGUAGGUACGAAAACCCUAGCAGACCCUUCUAACAUUCGAAUACGUAGCAUGAUCUCCUUCAACAAGUUUUUUUACCUUUGGUAGAGUCACUCGUUUGGAUGUGCUUUUAAAAUAACUAAAAAAACUUUUGAUGAAAAUGGGGUUGAAACUAAUUCUUAGAAAAAAUCCAAGUAAAUCCUGAAAAGCACUUUAAAUGCUUCAUGAAAGAAGCACAUAUCUAGUGUUUCUUCCAAAAAGCUCUUAAAGUGCUUUUGGAACCCAAAAUCAAUUUCACUAAAAGCACUUCUAUUCAUUUUAAAAGCAUUUCCAAACAAGUCCAUAUAUAACGGGAGACCUCUCAAAAAGCACUUUUCUAAUAACUAAGACCUAAAACCUUCUUUCCCAUCAUUAAAAAUACAUAAAAGGAUAAAUCAUUGUUCCUUAGAGCAACUCCAGCGUGGGCUGGUGCUCGGGGAACGGGGGACGAAAUAAGGCCAGAUAGCCGGCCUUGAAGCUCCAGCGUGGGCAGCCCGAGGGAGAGUGGAGGCCCGAGCUCCGGGCCUGUGAGGAAUUGCCAGCCCAAGAGCCCGAGUGGAUGUGACGCCAAGCCUGACAUCAUCCUGGUGUCAGCCCAAUUUUAUAUUUUUUUUUGUCAGGCGCGUAUGACUCACCCGCACGUGGGGGCACGUUAGUCGACAGCUUUUCUAUGUAUGGGGCUUGCAUCGCAGUCUGCCGAGGUUACCGUUGGGAAGCCACAUGGCUUCCCACGGUCCGUUCGAUCUCAACGGCUUUUUAAAUUGGACCGUCUGAUUUGCAAAGGUAAUAAAAAUAAAAAAAUCUUAUUUAAUAUCAACGAUUGAUAUUAUUCUGCUUUAUAAAUAAAUAAAUAAAAGGGAUAAAAAUCUUAUCGAAAUCCAUCACCAAUAAUUGUCUUUUCGGACAAUGACACGUGGUGUAACGAGAACGAUUAAAAAUCUUAUCUGAAAUUACAAAUAAAAAAUUAUUCUGUAUUAUUUAAAAAUAUAUAUAUAUUAUUGCCUAUUGCCAGAGCUAUUCAAGUGCAACGGUGGAGAUGCAAAAGGCAGUUACUGUUCAUUAAGGGCAAUUACUCUCCACAAGGUGGAUUGAAUAGUGAAUAGCCUGGGGGGAGGGCUUCCACGCUGGAGUUGCUCUUAUAACUUUAUCGAAAUAUUUCAUUUAAUUUAAUUUGUGUAUUUGUAACAUUGUAUAUUUUUGGACUUAUUGCUAGUUAUUAUGAUGUGGAAGAAGUUUCUUCAGACGGAACCUAGAAUAACUAUAACUUAUUACAAUAUAGAGUUUAUUUCUAUGGAUUUAGAUCCUCUCUUGAGCUAAUGGAGAGGAUCCUCCUGACCAAUCAUCUUGGGUCGUUGGAUUUUUAUCAAACAGCUACAAACAGGAGGUUCCUUUAAAGUUAUAACAAUUAUAACCGUUGGAUAAAAAUCCAACGGCCUAAGAUGAUUGGUCAGGAGGAUCCUCUCCAUUAGCUCAGGAGAGGAUCCAAAUCCACUUUAUAUUAUAGGUCCAAGCUAGGACCGAAACCUUUUAUGACUAGGUAGAGGCUUCUAUUUAGAGUGAUGGUUUACCAUCAGUAAUGCUAUUCUUACCACAUUAAUAUACCACAUUAUGUGACAUCUAAUGUGGCUGUCCACAUCAUCUAAAUUAAUCUUAAUUUAAUUUAAAUUAAAAACCAUUUAAUAAACCAAUAAUAUAAAAAAAUCUAGAAUUAAAUGGUGAUUUUAGCAUUCGAGGAAUCUUCUUCUUCCUUUCUUCCUUCCCCGUUGCUUCUUCUCACGUUUCUUCUUCCACGCCAUUUUUUUGUUUCAGCCCAGAAUGACGGUUCUAUGAUUUCACAUUUAUUCUUCGCGAAUGAUUCUGUGUUGUUUUCUCAUGCUACUAAAAGAGAAGCCCGAUGAGUCUUAAGCGUACUAGACUACUAUUCUAGCACCUCUGGUCAGCUAGUCAAUCUGGAAAAAAAAACUCCCUUUUCUUCGAUGCUGGCUUCUAUAAAAAGGAAGAUCGCUAAAUGUUUGAAUAUCCAGACUCAGGAGAAGUUUGGAAAAUAUAUGAGGAAGAAUUCUGGGCUGAAACAAAAAAAUGGCGUGGAAGAAGAAACGGGAGGAGAAGAAACGAGGAAGGAAGGAAUGGAGGAGAAGACUCCUCGUAUACAACAAUCACCAUUCAAUUCCAGAUUUUUUUUAUUAUUGGUAUUCAAAAUUAGGUCCUAGGUUAGAAUUCCAUAAAUAACUAGUUCACUAUUAGUUAUUACGCUUAAAUAAUAGGUAUCAAGUUCGAACUAAAUUAUUAUUCCCUUAUUGUGUCAUAAUAUCAAAAAGUAAUAGUGGGUCGUUUGGUUGUGGUUCUGUAGAGACAUUAGCCGCAGUGCAUGAGAUUAUAUACAUAUCCCGGAUAACAUCUUUCUUUCUUCACAGUGUGCAGUACAUCAUCCAAUUCCAACCAAGAAGCAACCUCUGCAAAUUACAAAACCAAAUAUCCAUCCGUCCCUCCCUCAUCCAACCAUGUCAGGCAAAGGCCGUAUGCUGAAGAACGUCAAGAAGUUCGCUGACUUUCAAUACAAAAUCUUCACAGAAAAAUAUGGCCAGCAGCUCAUUGACAUUUUCGAGUUCCCUGUCAAGCUUGUCCUCUCUCCUUUCACUCUUGCUUUCGACAUUGCCGGCUCUGCUCAACGUGGCUUUGGCGUCCCCGAGUUGGUUUCCAAGCUAUCUUACAUGUCAAUCUUUGUGAGCUCUUGUAUCCACAAAUAUUAUCACUUGGGAUUUUUUCUGUCUCUGUAAAGUUUGAUAAUUUAGCUGCUUUUUAACUUUUUAGUGGAAUUUUUUACCCGGUUUUGUGGGUUACUAGGUAUCUGCAUGGGUGUUUUUGGUGUUUUCCGAGUUUUCGGGUAUAGAGACUGGAUUUUGGUAGAAAUUAACAGUUAUUUUGGGAGGUUUGUGUCAUUUGAAAAAUUGGGUAGAUGGGUUUUGUGUGAAUUUUUGUGGCAGUGAAUAUAUAAUCAAUUGGUGAAUGGCAAGUUGAAUUGCAUUUGUAGUUUAGUCAAGUAGGUUAUGAGGUGGUGCUACUAUUCUUGGGAACUUGCAUAAUACUUAGUGGUGUAUUCUGUUUGGGUUUUCUUCAUGCUUCAGGCAGUUGCUACUUUAGGGACUUAUGACAUAGCAUUAGAGAUGGGAAAGAAGGUGAUAUGCCAAAGAUAAUUUAUCCGUUCAAUUUUCACGGUGGUCCUUAUCUUUAGUUAUGUUUAUUUUCUAUGCUUGGUAUUACAGUGUCUAGCACUGUAAUCGUUUGUAGUUGCACUAUAUAUAUCCAUGUAUAUAUGCGUAUAUAUAUAUAUAUAUAUGUUUGUGUGUGUGUGUGUGUGUGUGUGUGUGUGUGUGUGUGUAGAUUGAUCAUCUAACAGAAAACAUGUUAAACUAAGUAGAAAAUGAAACUGAUAUGUAUUAUUGUAUAAGGGUGCUGCCUUUCUAUUAUUUUGUAGUGUACUACUUUUGUUGUGCUAAUUACCAUUCUCUAUCAUUCAGAAUUAAUUUGCACACAAUAAUGUAGAACGUUUUAUGUGUAAAUUUUUAAACCAUGGUCCUAAUGAUAGUUGCUCUCUAAGCUGCCAAAUGAGGUGUAAAAGAAUCUUAGUGGUGAAUUUUUCCUUGGUGAACUUGAUGACAUUACUAGAUUCAUAGUUUAUUGAAGUUAGAUGAUUUCUUAACUGCACUCUUGAAGUGCAGGAACUGUGGAACCUGCAACGGUUGGCAGGCAUUGCGGUGUACCAUGUGCAGAGGAUCAGGGAGGGUGCAAUACCAAGUGAAGAAUUACACCCUAAGAAGGUAGACUUUCCUUCAUUUGGAUUUUGACCUCUAUGUCUGGAAAACAAUUAACUCUAUGAGUUAUAAUGUGCUCCUAUUUGUUACAAAGUGAAAAGAUAUUUAAGCAAAAAUGGAGCUGUAGGAUGCAUGAUUCAACAACUAUUAUUCUUGAAGUUUUAACUUGCCAAAUAUAUGUUGGAAAAAAUUGUAAGUUGUGCUAUAAUUUUGAAUAACAUAUGUCUAUUGAGUCCCAGAAUGGGCUAGAAAAUCUCCAGUCUGUUGCCAAAAUCUGUGAUAUGAACCUGAUAAGAAGAUUUGACUGCUCCUUAUGGGUCUCAUAGUAUACUCCUUCAAAACCAAACUAUGGUUGUCAUUCUAAAAAUGGGAGUCCAUUUGAAUGCUGGAAUUUUUUAUAUUUCUAGGCAAUAUUUCUUAAAAAGCCUCUUCUGUUUGACUAAAAGUGGGCGUUAAUAGCAUUUCAGAAACAAAUUAACAUGUUGCAAUAUGAUUUUUGAAACAAUAUAAGCUCUGCUUCACUCUUUCUCCUUGUAACCAUAGUUUCAGACAAUCGAGGUUGGUAGUUAAUGCUGGAUUAGUUGAACAUUUUAUUUUUAUCUUUUGUUUGUAGUAUGUUUCGUCUAUUUAAUGGUUAUUGUUUAUAAAUAUUAUCAUGCAGUGAGUCCUUUAUUCAACCACCAAUAUGAUAUCAUCUUCAUGCAUUUUAUUUCUCUGUGAUCUUUAUGCAGUGGAGAGAAAGCAACAGCUGAAUGUGUUGCAGAUGCCAUUGCUGAUAAUCGGGCUGAGUUGGUUCACCUUCCAUCCUCCAUAAAUCUUGAUGCGCCAUUGCCAUCUAAAGAGUGCCCAACCUGUGAUGUCACGGUAAACCCUUUGGCCCCACGUAAAGUUGACUUAUUUACAUAUAUUUACCACUAUAUCAAACUCAUGAUGAAAUAUAUACUGUAUUGCAGGGUGUGAUGGGCUGUACGGAGUGCAAGGACAAAUUACAAGUCAGAAUCUCUGCAGAUGAUGUGAGCUAUUUUUGGUUUUAUAUAGUGUGAAAUUAUAUUAUUUUAUGUCUUAGCUUGAUCUAAAACUCUGAAUGUUCCAACUUGAUCUUUACUUUCACUGUGAUGCAUAAUUCAACACUAAUGUGUGAACUUGCCUCAGCAAUCGAUAGUUCCAAAUACUCGUAGAGUUCUCAGUACAUUAGUUGAUUUAGUGUUGUCAUAUUUGGAGUUGCUUUAAUAUGUUUCAGAAGGGCAGUGUGUUAUUUCAAGCAAACGUGUGUCAAUCAUUCAAAAGGAAUUGGUUUACCACGAUGAUACAAAUCAUACAAUCCAUAUCCAUUUAACUUGUUAAGAAUAAAAAAACUCUAGCCAUGUUACUUUGUUUUAUUUAUCUUUUCAAAGUUAGUUUGUAGAGGUUGCACUUGAUGCGAUGGCAAGUGCCUUCGCCCAUGAGCGGUAGGUCUCGGGUUCGAGACUUGGGAGCAGCCUCUCCAUAAAAUGGGGGUAAGGCUAGCCGACAUUCACCUCUCCCAGACCCUGCGUAAAGCGGAAGCCUUGUGCACUGGGUACG
rnacentral:lncRNA from 1 species